UUUUUUUUUUAUGUUUUUUUAUGUCCAAAUAAAUUAAUUAAACAAUAAAAAAAUGUAAUGAUAUGUCAAACUUUUUAUUUUAAAAAAUUGAUAAAUAGUUAUAUAGAUUAAUGGAUAAGAAAUUGAUUCAUUUUAAAAGUGGAUGAUUCCCAAUUUCCAACCAUGAAAAGAAAAUAUACUUUGAUAAUAAGUAAAUAGAAUUGUAAAUGAUAAAAUUUCGAGAAAUAUUUAUAAAAUAUAGUAAAAUUUUAACUUCUAUCCAUUUUUAUCAAUACCACCAACAAAAAUUGAUAGAAGACAUUGAAUUUUAUUACGUUUCAUAAAUAUUUUGAUUCGUUUGAUGUAAGCUAAAAAAAUUUUCCAUUUCAUAAAUAGUUUGAUUCGUUUCGCUAUAUUUGUGAGUUUGAGCUUUUCAAAUGGAAACAGAGUUGAAUUUUAUAUAAUGAGUUUUGAAAAGUGUAACAAAUAAAUAAACUUUCAAUUUUGCUUUUAAUAAACUAUUAAUCUUUUACUGGAAUCAUGACCUACAUUUUUUAAAAUGACACAAAAUUGAAAAUAUUAUUGUUUUGAUAAAUACAAAAUUAACUUUAUAUCUUAUAGAUAUCUAAAAAUACUGAAAACUUUUUUACACACAAAAUUGAAACAUCUCUCUCUAAAUAUAUACAACCUUGGUAUAGGGGUAAGUUUUUUAAUCAAAGAAGGGAUUUUCUACGAGGAUCAACUUUUCCGUGGUAAAAAUAUGUAGUUUACAGAAAUGAAAACAUAACGGAAAAAUUCAAAGGUCCAAUGCAGACCAGAGAGUUAGGAAUUGAUGAAAUUGAAGAAGCCUCCGAUCAGCCAAUGUGAAAAGCGCCAACGUCGCCAGUUCUGGUGGAGCAGGUGACUUCGUGGGCAAAGGCCAAACAAGAAGAAAUACAGCCGCUAAGAGUCCAACUCAUACUUAACAACUUCCAACCAUAGUCAAAAUCCGAAAAACAUGAAGCUGUUUAAAACGGGAGGAGUGACUCUGAUUAGCGAAGCUCAUGCUAGAUGGCAUGCUUCAUUGGCGCGGCAGUGAGUAGCGAGAUUGACUGCUCAAACUUGGACAGAAGGACAACACAACAUGGCUCCGCACUCAACCACAGACCUGAUUUUGUCAACCACAAACGUUCUGAUUCUGUUGACCACAUUGAGCAUAACGAGAUGGAUCCAUGAAGUUCUUCGGUUCUGGAGUUCUGCCGUUUACAGAUUAAAAAUUAGUAUAUGUUUUAGCCAUUUAGAAGGCUUUUAUAUAACUUCUAUUAGCUACAGGUUUAUUAGCCCAAGCUCAACCCACGCCCCGGCUCUAACUUCUCAUUGUUUAUUUCUAAUAGGAAUCUACAUGAUCUCUUCCUGUAAUACAUGUUUGUUUCUUCCGCAUGAGAGCAUAUGAUUUAUGAAUGUAUACUUUAAGGAUAUGAAAAACAAUAGAUAUAUGUUCUAAAAAUCAAAAGCAAAAGUCAUAUGAAUAAUCAACGUACGGGAUAUAUUCCAAUUAUCAAAGCACAAAAGUAUGGCUUUGUUGAAAUAACUUGAAAUAAAAAGUUAGAAAACACAAAAAGAAGAAAAAUGGAUAAAUUCAUCCUUUCUUUUAAAUAACAUAGUUUAUAGACUAAAGAAGACAGACCUGUAACGAAGGACAGAGAUAUAGCUUAGUUGUUGAUGGUGGAAGCAAUCUCAUCCGUACAAGUUGUAUGCUUCCCUAUUUGCCAUUUGCCCGUGAAUAUGGCUGGCAAGAGAGAUGAAGUGGAUAUUAAUAACAGGAAAUUUGAUGUUAUAAGGAAGCAAUAAUACAAAGUUAUAAACAUACCAAAUGACAAAUCAAAUGUGAUUUUAACAUAUUUUUAUGACUCUAAAUCUAAAGAUUAACUGUGAACUGCCUGCUUCCAAAUACUACAUGAUCUUUCACAAACAAAUAAUAGAACAUACAGCAGACUCAAUGAAAAGAGCUUGGACUGGCAAACGAGAUUUUCCAUUUCAGAAGCAAAUUUUAUGUUUGUUUUACACAUUUCUCCACUUUUUUCUCUUGAUUUCUCGGUUUAAAUAUAAGGAUAUAAGGAUAUAAGAAGUAAGAACCCACUACAAAAAAUCUCUAGAACCAUGAAAAUUACAAAUUCAAGGAACUUGUCACUCGAAAAUAUAUUUAACUAACCACUAAGUAACCAAAUAUAAACAAGUAAACGUAGAAUAAAUUAUAAAUAGCCAAGUUUCUAAAUCUAAAAUAUACCUAAAACAUUUCAGAUCUUAAAUAUAUUUAAGACAAUAAAAUAGAAAAUAACACAAAAAACUAUCUUUUACUUCUGUAAUAAUUAUAAAAGAAUACUUGACCUCAAAAUUAGCAGGUCAUGGAGAGAUUCGAUCAACUCCAGAAUAAAAUGAAAUCACUAUGGCCUCAAUUUACUAAGCUCAGACCUCAGAAUUCACAAGUCAAACUAUGAUAUUCAUCAGAAAAGGCAACUAGGAAGCAAAUUGAGUGAAAUUGCUAUUAUUGAAACAAUCAAGUAGGCGUAGUCUAUGAAUAAUGUGUGUUGGAUAAUUCUUGUAUCAUGGACAAACGAAUUGAACCAACCUCUGGGUGUAGCUUAGAAACUUAUAAAAAGAACUCUAUUUGUGAAGGUCUCAGAAACCACAAGCCAUCCAUUUCUGCUAGUUCUCACUGCAAAGCUGAGAAAGGACAAAAAAAGGGCGGGUGUAACAGGUGCAUCCCAGUUUUGAAAGCCAACUGGAAGGCCAAGAAUAUGUACAUUACACUUACGGUGAUGUUAAUAUUCUGUCAAAAACUUGUGAAACACAUAAUCGAAUGGGCACCAUGAUCCAACAGAGUUCCCUUCCUGUAGUGCCACUGUCAACACCUUGUCUCAUCGACACAUAGAAAAUGUUUCAUGAUCAUCCUCAUCAAAAGGAAUUAGUAAGCCGAUCAUAAAGCAAAUAAAUAAUUCUCUCGUAUAUUCUUCCCCAGUUUAAUUGCAACACAUUUAGCAUCACGGAAGAAUAUAAGGCUGGCCAUGCAAAUUUGCUACCAGUUCCAGGCUCAUGCCAUCACUAAAUUGAAAUCUAUUGUUAAGUCUUCAUACAAUGUAUGACCAAUCUUCUUCAUUUUCGUAUGUAGAUCAUGAAGUAAAAGAUAAAUAUUUUCAAAUUCGCGAUGAGAAUUGUCACCCACUACGAACACAUGCACUGUGUUUCCAACUUCUAUCCAACUGCAACCAGGCUGCUUCUUCAAUCCUUUGUCCUUCAUUUUCAUCCUUACUCCGGCAGCUUCUCUCCAUUUUCCAGUUGAAGCAUAUAUGUUAGAUAACACCAAAUAGGUUCCCGCAUUCUCUGGCUCAGUUUCUAAAAGUUUUUCAGCCGUUAACUUACCUAGAUCUAUAUGCCCAUGAACAUUACAUCCGGCAAGAAGAGCUGCCCAAACAGAUGCCGAAGGCUUGACCUCAAGCCCCUUAAUGAAAUCAAAUGCCUCUUGAAGCCGUCCAGCUCGACCAAAAAGAUCAACCAGACAUGUAAAAUGAUCUUCUCUUAGUUUUAUAGACCUAUCUCUUACGAGGUUUUCAAAUAAUUUCAACCCCUCAUCCACAAGACCAGCAUGACUACAAGCAGAAAGCAAUGCAAUAUAGGUGACAUUAUCAGGACGAAAACCCAAUGCCUGCAUUUCAUCAAAUAAACUAAUUGCUUUGUGGCCAUGGCCAUGAUGAGCAUAGGCAGCAAUCAUACCAUUCCAAGAAACCACAUCCCUGUGGCCUAUUGAUCCAUCAUCAAAUAUUUUGCGAGCCAGUUCUAACUCCCCACAUUUUGAAUACAUGUUUAUUAAAGCUGACACCACAUCUGCAACUUCUUGGUAAACCGUCUUGCUUAUUAUCUGGUGAAUUUGCUGUCCCUCACAAAGAGCAGCUAAUUUACUACAAGCACCCAACACACUGACAAAAGUUCCUUCAUUUGGUUUUACGUUGUUUGCUGCUUGCAUUUCUGAAAAGAUCUUCAAUGCUUCUUCACUUCGCCCAUCUUGAACGUGUCCAGAAAUCACUGCCGUCCAAGUGACAACAUUUUUGUUGGACAUUUUAUAGAAAAAAUCCACUGCCCUUUCUAGUUUACCGUUUUGAAUGAACCCAGUAAUCAUAGUGUUCCAUGAAGACAGUUCCCUCUCUGGCAUUUGCUCAAACAGUUUGAAUGCCUCGUCAAGUCGCAUAUUCUGAGCAUACCCAAUAAUCAUUGUAUUCCAGGAAACCACAUUUCGCACGGGCAUUUUAUCAAACAGUAAUCGAGCAUCAUCGAUUCUACCAUUUUUCGACAAACCAGCCACCAUGGUGGUCCAAGAAAUCACAUCUCUCUCUGGCAUCCGAUUAAAAAGCUCCUGGGCUUCAUCUACCCUCCUACGUUGCAUGAACGCUGUAAUAACAGUAUUCCAAGACACCACAUUCCUCUCAGGCAUUUUUUCAAACAAAUCCAAAGCCUGAUCUAUCCAACCUUUUCGUGCAUACCCUUCAAUCAUAGUGUUCCACGAAAUGACAUUCUUAACAGGCAUGGCAUCAAACAAUCUUCUAGCCUCCUCAAUCCUGUUCCAUCUUACAUACCCACUAACCAAUGCUGUCCAAGUAACAACAUUCUUUAUAGCAUCAUUUCUAUCAAAUAACGUCUUGGCUUCCUCAAUCAUUCCACAUUUAAUAUACCCAGUAAUCACAGCAGUCCAUGAGACCACAUCUCGAUCAGGCAUUUCUUCAAACACCUGACGUGCUUCUCCAAUUUUUCCUUCUUUACCAAGCUGUGUGAUCAACCAGUUACUACGAGCAACAUUCGAAUUGGCACUGAAAUCUCUAACUGGUGAUGAGAUUUUGGGAACAACCUGACAGGUAGAGAACUGUGAUGAUAAGAUGGAGUUAUGCAAAUUGCACAAGAGGAACGCAUAUCUACCGAAGCUAGAAAGAAGAGUUGUGGUUUUAUGUUUACCACAAAUUUCUCCAACAGAUAUCUGAUACAGUAAAGACAUUCGUAUCCACUAACUGGGUACCUCCGCCGCGCCGGAGAAAAAGAUCGAAGAAAAAGGGAGCGGCUGUUUUUGUCGUGAUUAUGUGGAAGGGACAAUUUUUUUUCCAUUAAUUUUGGUAAUAUUACAUCUUUCUCAAAAAUAUCAAUUUUGACCUCAACGCCAAUGGUUGAUUUUUCUUAUAUCUUAUGAGUGUUAAAAUUUGCUAUUUAAAAAAAAAAAUCAAAAUCAUUUUACUGCUUACUUUCCCAUGUGAGUCUAAUUUAAUAUUGGCAUUUCUAAGUAACAUUUUUCCAUUUGUUUUUCUUUUCUUUUUUUUAAUUUAAUACAUCUUUUAACAAAUUUAUUAUCAUCCAAAUUUAUUAUUAUGUCAUCAACAAUAGGCCACAUAAACUAUUAUAUAUGUUGUGACUGUUUUGAUUUUGUGUUGAUCGAUUUUAGAAAAUGUCAAAUAGUCACAAAUUAAAAGUUAAUAGACACUCUAGUUUGGGUUAAAAAAUAAAUAAAAAUAUUGUUAAAAACGGUUCCUUCCUUGAAAAACAACCAACAAAAGAAUCAAUAUGAUAUAAAAUAGGAAUUAAAAAACAAAGAUCAAGUAAAAAGUAAAAUUUCAUUAUCACAAAUAAUGAGCAUUGUUUAACUUACAUCGUGUUUACAAAGUUAUGCCAUCAAUCACAAAAUCCAAUGUUCGAUUCACCCACCCCACAUACUAUCAGACAAAAGAAUUCAUAAAUCUCUACUAUCUUAAGCAAGUAUACAAAUAUAAACUUGCAAGGCAGGGAAGUUAUAGCUCAUUAGCUCUAUCGUUGCUCCAUAUCUAGUCUAUUAGAAAAAAGUUGUUCACUAAAAGAUACUGAGUGUCUCAUCAUACAAUUGAACAAGUCUUCAAUCUAUAUUACCUUGAAUUCAAAGUACUUUCAAAGUUUCUCUCACACAUCAACAACUUUAAAUUGUUGGUCACAUUGCGACAGCCUCACAAUCUAAUUUCGUUAGUAGGGGCGCUUGACAUCCAUUCACUAGCUAGAUUAAGGUGAAUAGUCUUCAUAGUUACAGGCAAGUCUUCAACCUCAAGUUAUCUAAGCCCCCAAGCCAAGCCACCAUCUCUGAGAAGUUUCAUAGUUAUAAAAGCCCAAUCUAGAGAAUAAAAAUAAGAAAAUGGCAUUGAAAUUAUAUAACAAGAUAUAAAAGGGAAAAAUUACAAUACAAAGCACUUCUAGAGGGGCCUCUAAAAAAAACUACACUUCAUACGCUAUUUUUAGCAAUAAACUAAUAUGUUCGUCCCAUGGUCAGUCCCAGGUAGUAAUGGAAGCACCGCUGCUCCAUAAGACAGAUGGAAUAUGAGACCACCCAAAAUGGAGGAGAUCCUUAAAAAGGAAAACCAUCAACAUUGUUAGGCAUUUUUAUAUGAAGUUUACGCGGCUCUAACUCGCUCUAUUUACAAUCACCUUUCACUAACCAAUUCCUAAUGAUGACAAACAUGCGCUUCUGAUAUCUUGAAUAUUUCUCAAACAACUUCCCAACUAGUAGUCUUAACAGAUCUAUACAAGCAGAUAAGAGUCAGCCAUCCUUUUCUAGUUUUACAAUGGAAAUUAAUCGUCUAAUCUCCAAUUGGACUUUCAGAAAACUAAAAAGUAUAUUGACUGGCUCCUACUUAGAGAGACCCUAUUGAAGAAUAGAUCCCAAACAAACGUUCUUUCCAGCUAAUUUUCAAUUAUCAUAAGACAGUAUGAAAGAUUAGUAUAUCAGAUACAGUUAAGAUGUCAAUCAAUAUUCAACCCAUAGUUGUAAAAUCUUGACAAGGAGGAUAAUAUUCAAUUGAAAUGAACCAAUAAAAUAAAGGAGAUAACUGAUAAUGGAUUGCAUAGUGAAAGAGUAGAAUAGUACGAAAAUGUAUAACGCCCUAAAGUGCUUCAGAAUAACUGGGGGAUGCUCCCAUCUCAUAGAAGAAAAAAGAAAACAAAAUUAGCACAUGGAGUUCAAUGACCAUUAAGUUGAUAUAGCAGGCAUCUGGACCAAAUUAAGUUCAUGUUUGAAAGUGAUUUUGAAGUGGCUAAAACCAUUUUUGUAGUGUUCAAAAUCACUCCAAAACAUUCAUUUCAUUACUCAAAAUCAAUUCAAUAUUUAACUUUACACGUUUAGAGACAAUUUUCAUAGUAUUCAAAUUGAUUUUGAAGAAAUAAAAGCAUUUUUCGAGUGAUUUUCACUUCUCAACAUGACACAGAUCCAUAUUUUCACCAUUCCAACAACCCUUCUAUUUGAUGGAAAUGACAUAUUUUGGAUGCCCAAUGAUCAAAUGCUAAGCAUUCGUUUGUACAAGAAGCAUAAAAUUGCUGCCACAAAAACUUGGCAUAUUAGCUCUUCAAACUUGAGAAUGUCAGUUGAAUCAAUGAAGAGGAAACCGAGUAAUAGUUCGCAUUUUAGGUAGCUAUAAACAUGAAUAACCACUCAAAUUGCAACCUCUUCAAUUUCUUGAAAAAGCAAAAGACUCGGCAGAUCAAUUGUUGCAAAAUGGCAUUCCAAACCACAGUUCAAAUGAUUGAGAGAGAAAAGAUGACCCGACCGACUCUUGAAACCCUAUCAAUAUCACAAGAACUGGAAAGAGCAUAAUUUGCAGAAAUCCAUGAUUGGAAAAUCUCAAGGUUGCUCUUCCGUGGACAUGAAUUAGGUAAAAAACACAAUUACUAGACAAAAACAAACAUUCAAACUUCAGAAAUGAAAACAAAACGGAAAAAUUCAAGGCCACAAUACAAACCAGAGAGUUAAGAAUUGAUGAAAAUCGAAGAAAACCCGGUCAGCCAAUGUGAAAAGCGCCAAUAUCGCCAGUUCUGAUGGAGCUGGCGACUUCGUCGGCAAAGGCCAAACAAGAAGAAAUACAGCCGCUAAAGGCACCCCAAACCAUAUCGGCGAUCCAGAACGCCAAAUGCAAUGGCAAUGCCAUGGCCUAAACUGUGUGUCGUUGGAGGAAAGAAGGUGGUUGGGAAGUUUCAGAGGAAAUCCAUUGAAGGAAUUGAGAGAUUAGGAUUAGAGGACGCCAUUGGAGAAAAGAAGCAGAAGAGAAUUUGGGUAAAGGUAAAAAGGCUGGAAGCUAAAGAUUGAAGAAAUGUUGACUCAUAGCGCCUAAAUAAAGCCGAUUUUACAACAAUUUCUUUUUCCGGAAAAUUAGUUUUUUAGUCCUUUUAAUGUAUAAAUAAAUAAAUAAGCCUAUAUUAAAGGAGGGCAAAAAAGUCCAACUUUAUAAUUAACAACUUCCAUCCCACUAUAAUCAUAAUCCAAAAAUGAACAUGGAGCUGUUUAAGGCAUUGAGUAGGGAGAUUGCUCAAACAUGCACAACAGUGGAACGAGAUGGCUUCCUAUUCUCGACAUAAAUGUUUUGACUUAACCCCUUCUUAAAUCUUUGUAAGAUCAGUUGAUAUAUCAUUUACGCGAUCAUCUAACUAUCCAUAAUAAGUGAAGUUUUGGAGGGGCUAGUCACUCGAGUAAACUUGAGUUUGCUUUGAUUUUGAAUUGAGCAAGUGUAGAUUUCAAUACUGAAUGCUGACAAUGAAUCAUCUAUUCAAGACCUCUUUUUUUAAGGAUGAGAUUUUAGGUAUAUUCCCGUAGUUGUUGGGUUAUUUAAUCACAAGCGCAACUAUAUGAAACAAAGUCUAUUUGGUCUUUAGGUUUCAAAAUGUUUGAUUUCAAUUUAAUUUCUAAAUUUCAACGUGGUAAACUGAGAGUAAGUUCCUAAAAUGACUUGUAAAACCUAUAUUAUGAACAUCAAAUAAUUCAAUUGUACUAUGUCACCGAUGCAAUUGAAAUAUAAACUAGAAAUCAAGCUCACUUUCUAUUUUGAUAUGUUUUCAAAUAUAUUAGUCUAGGUAAUUGAUUUGUAUGAAAGUCAAUCCAACAUUGAAACCUAAAUAAAUUAAGCCUUGGUAACUCUUUCAAUUUUUUAAAAAUAUGACCCAUGUCUAAGGUCAACUAUUGUAUGUUUGUCUAACCAUAUUUCAGUAUUAAAGUAUAGAACAUGUAAACCAUCUAUUUGGAUACAUAUUAAUUAUUCACACACUUACAUUAAAAAAAAUGCAAGAUGGAUUUUCAAAGAUUUCGACUUUCCAUAAAAAAUCUUACAUGCAAUAAAUAAAGGGAUAAUUAUAGUAGGUAACAAUUUUAAAAAUAAAUAAUUAAAUAUAUAACAAUAUUUUUAAAAAACUGUAAAUAUAACAAAGUUUAUAGACUAAUAUUUUCAAUGAGAUAUAUUAGUGCAUAGUCAUUUAUCAAGUCGAUGGACUUCUAUGAGUUUGACACUUGGUGACAACCACAAUAAUACAAUUCUUAGGCAACUCACAAACUAAGGCGAGAGAGCAAGAGCAAGAGGGAAACGAGGAAAGGAAAAGCAAUCAAUAAAUAAGUUUAGUAAAAACAGUUAAAUUUUAUUCUUCCAGAAAAUUUGAAGUCAUCCCUGCCAAAAAACACAUAAACAAAGUUCAUGAACUGUUUUACAUUUUACAUUUUUGACACAAAUGGGGCAGUCAAAGACAAGGAAAUGAAUAGAACGGAAGAAAGCUAAAGAAACAUGAAAGGAGUGAAAGUGCUCAUUGCUCAAGAAGUGAUCAAGAUCCACACUCAACUCAACUCUCACUUGUCAUUGUUUGUUUCCAAUAGGAAUUUACAUGAUUUCUUUUCCUGUAAUACAUGUUUGUUCCCUCCGCAUGAGAGACGUAUGAAUGAAUACUUCAGCAAUAUAAAAAACAUUGAAACAUGUUCUAAAAAUCAAAAGCAAAAAUCAUAUGAAUGAAGAACGAUAGUGUUUAUUUCAAUCAUCAAAGCACAAAAGUAUAUGCUGUAAACUAUACUUCGAUUGCUUCUUCGGUAUAUGGAUUUGUUUCGUUGAAAUAACUUGAAAUCAAAAGUUAAAAAGCACAAAAGGAAGAAAAAUUGGAUAGAUUGUUCUAGUUUCCAAAGCACAACCAUUAGCUUCUUCAAAUCGAUAUUUUGAUUGCUACCCGCCACGCCUUUUUCUAAAUAACAUAAUUAUAGAUUAAAGAAGACUGACCUGUAAAAGAGGGAAGAAAUCUAUCUUAGUUGUUUGAUGGUGGAAGUAAUCUCAUCCAUACAAGUUGCUUGCUUCCCUAUUUACCAUUUGCCUGUGAAUAUGGCUGACAAUGAGAGAUGGAGUGGAUAUUAAUAACAGGAAAUUUGCUGUUAUAAGGAAGCGACAAUGUUAUAAACAUACCAAAUGAUAAAUCAAAUGUGAUUUUAACAAAUUUCUAUGACUCUAAAGAUUAAUUUUGAACCGUCUGCUUGCAAGUGUUAUAUGAUCUUAUAUAAACAAAGAAUAAAACAUACAGCAGACCCAAUGAAGAGAGCUUGGACUACCAAAACGAAAAUUUCCAUCUCAAAAGAAAAUUUUACGUUUUUUUACACACUUCUCCACUUUUUUCUCUUGAUUUCCUGGUUUAAAUAUAAGGAUGUAAGAAGUAAGAAACCAUUACACAAAAUCUCUAGAACAAAGAAAAUUACAAAUUCAAGGAACUUGUCACUCGAAAAUGUAUUUAACUAACCACUGAGUAACCAAAAAUAAACAAGUAAACGUAGAAUAAAUUAUAAAUAACCUACUUUUCUAAAUCAUAUCUUAAAUAUAUUUAAGACAAUAAAGUACAAUUUUAACAAAAAAAAUUAUCUUUUACUUUUGUAAUAACUAUAAAAGAAUACCUGACCUCAAAAUUAGCAGGCCAAGGAGAGAUUCGAUCAACUUCAGAAUAAAAGAAAAUCACCAUGGUCUCACUAUGGCUCUAAACCCUAGGUUCAGACCUCAAAAUUCACAAGUCAAAUUAUGAUAUUCAUCAGAAAACGCAACUAGGAAGCAUAUUGAGUGAAAAUGCUAUUAUUGAAACAAUCAAGUAAGCGUAGUCUAUGAAUUAUGUGUGUUGGAUAAUUCUUGUAUCAUGGAGAUAGGAAUUGAACCAUCCAUUUCUACUAGUUCUCACUGCGAAGCUGAGAAAGGACAAAAAAAUGGCUGGUUUAUCUUUCUUGCUUUGAUUUAAUUUUCGUAACAGGUGCAUCCAGGUUUUGAAAGCCAACUGGAAGGCCAAGAAUAUGGACAUUACACUGUUACUGUGAUGUUAAUAUUCUGUAAAAAUCUUGUGAAACACAUAACCGAAUGAGCGCCCUGAUCCAACAGAGUUCUGUACCCUACCUGUGGUGUCAAUGUCAACACAUCUCAUCGACACAUGGAAACUGUUACAUGAUCAUCCAAGUAAGAAGGAAUUAGGUAGCCGACCAUAAAGCAAAUAAAUAUUCUCUUAUAUUCUUCCACAAUUUAAUUGCAACGCAUUUAGCAUCAUUGAAGAAGAUAAGGCUGGCCAUGCAAAUUUCCCGACAGUUCCAGGCUCAUGCCAUCAUAAAUUGAAAUCCAUUGUUAAAUCCUCAUGCAAUGUAUGACCAAUCUUCUUCAUUUUCGUAUGUAGAUCGUGAAGUAAAAGGUAAAUAUUUUCAAAUUCGCAAUGAGAAUUGUCAUCCACUACGAAUGCAUGCACUGUAUUUCCAACGUCUAUCCAACUGCAACCAGGCUGCUUCUUCAAUCCUUUGUCCUUGGUUUUCUUUCUUACUCUGGCAGCUUCUCUCCAUUUUCCAGUUGAAGCAUAUGUGUUAGAUAGCAGCAAAAAGGUUCCUGCAUUCUCUGGCUCUGUUUCUAAGAGUUCUUCAGCCGUUUUUAUGCCCAUGAACAUAUCUGGCAAGAAGAGCUGCCCAAACAGGUGCCGAAGGCUUGACCUCAAGCCCCUUGAGGAAAUCAAAUUGCAUCAACGCUGAGCUUCAUCCGAUUAAAAAGCUGAGCUUCAUUCUCUGGCAUCCGAUUAAAAAGCUCCUGAGCUUCGUCUACUCUCCUAUGUUGCAUCAACGCUGUAAUAAUAAUAUUCCAAGACACCACAUUCCUCUCAGGCAUUUUUUCAAACAAUCAUAGUGUUCCACGACACGACAUUCUUAACAGGCAUGGCAUCAAACAAUCUGCUAACCUCCUCAAUCCUGUUCAAUCUUACAUACCCACUAACCCAUGCUGUCCAAGUAACAACAUUCUUUAUAGCAUCAUUUCUAUCAAAUAACGUCUUGGCUUCCUCAAUCAUUCCACUUUCAAUAUACCCAGAAAUCACAGCAGUUCAUGAGACCACAUCUCGAUCAGGCAUUUCCUCAAAAACCUUACGUGCUUCUCCAAUUUUUCCUUCUUUACCAAGCUUUUUAAUCAACCAGUUACUACGAGCAAGAUUUGAAAUGGUACUGAAAUCUCUAACUGGUGAUGGGAUUUUGGAAACAACCCGAUAGGUGGAAAACUGUGAUGAUGAGAUGGAGUUAUGCAAAUUGCACAACACCAACGCAUAUCUACCAAAACUAGAAAGAAGGGUUGUAAUUGUAUGUUUAGUAUAAAUUUCUCUAACUGAUAUCUGAUAUAGUAAAGACAUUUGUAUCCACUUACUGGGUAUCUCCGCCGCCUAGGGCUCGCCGGAGAAGAAGAUUGAAGAAAAAGGGAAGGGCUAUUAGUAUCGUUUCUCAAUUAAUCGCCGGCUGAAUUAAAGAAAAACAAAUAAACUAUUUACAAAAUAGUGAAAUUUUGCUCUAUUUUUUAAAAAAUAGUUUUAAUAUUGGACUAUUUUUUAAGAUAAAAUUUGUCCCGUCGCGGAAAAUUACAAUAAUUUUAUGAGAAAUCAAUUCCUAUCAGUGAUAGAAGAUUAUCAUUUAUAUAAUCUAAAAUUUUGCUAUAGUUUGUAAAUAUUUUAAUUUAUUUUACUAAUUUUAAAAGUGUCUCAUUUUAUUUAAAUGGAAAAUUGUUAAAAAUAUUUAAACAUAACAAAAUUUUAUUAUCUAGCGAUGAUAAACACUAAUAAACAUCUAUUAUUGUCUAUCAAUCUUCAACUAUAGAUUAUACUAGUCUAUUUCAUAUAAACAAUAACAUCUUGUUAUAUUUAUAAAUGUUUUUGUUCAUUUUCUUGAAAAAAAAAAAUAUCGUAAAUGACAAAAGUAUUGAAAAUAUAACAAAAUUUUAGGUUCUAUAAAUUAUAUACAACAAUAAGCUUCUAUCAGUGUCUAUCAAUAUCAUUAAUAGAUAUUGAUAGAGUAAUAGACCCCCAAUAGAUAAAUAAUGAUAUCUAUCGAUGUUUAAUAGUGAUAAAUUUGAAAUUUUGCUAUAUUUUAUAAUUUUUUUAUUUAUUUGGUAAUAUUUAAAAAUAUAUGCGCUUGUUUCUUUCUUCUUUUUUUUUUUCAUAUUUGAGAACACCCACUUUUGUUAUCCCCUUUUGUAAUGGGAUAGUUAUAAAUUUAGCAAUUAUAUUUAAAAUAAUUAGGUAUAUAACAACAUUUUAAAAUAUUUACAAAUAUAGCAAAAUUUGUCAAAUUCUAUCAAUAAUAAAAGUAUAGAUUAUGUUUUAAAUAUUGAUUUGUCAAUAAAAGACCAUAUGAAUCUAUCAGUUAAUUCUAUCAAAAAAAGUUUAAUUUUAUGGCAUUCAAGAAAAGUAAUCUUCUAGCAUCCAAGAAAAGUUUAAUAUUCCAAGUUUUCAUUCUGAAUAAUCUUUCAAGUCUUCAAUCUUUUAGAAGUUGUUGAUCUUUCAAAAGUUGUUGAUAUCGAGGUUGAUACGAAUUUGCACGUAUCAACCUUGCUUGUAGAAGUUUGAAUAUUCGAUACUUCAUAGCUUCAAUUAUUCCUUCAACCAAAGACAUUCUCAAAUGAGUGGCAAAAGUCUCUAUUUAUAGAGAAAUUUCGUGAGCUUUUGGGUGGGCUUUGACCCAUUUGCUUGAUGGGUUUGGGCUUGUGUCCAUUUGCCUAUUGGGCUUAGGCCAUCCGAUUGUUGAGCUUGGACUUGAGCUUGACUCCAUUUAUUUUAUUGGGUUUGGGCUCAUCUGCUUGUUGAGUUUGAAUUUGGUCGGAUUGAGUAAAUUUAAUUAUUCAAACUCAAACAAAAAUAUAAUUAUCGCAAUAUUUGCCAUGAUGUCGCAGAAUUUAUUUGUCUAAAAUUUCUUGCUCAACAGUUGCUAUAUCCUAAAUUAUUAUUUCUAAAAAGACAAUCAAUUAUAUUUAUCAUUUUUAUAUUAAAAAACCUUAAAAGAAGAAUAAUAUUUGUGAAAAAAAAAAAACUAAAGAUCAAUUGCUCAUAAAUCUAAAGCUUGAAAAAAUCUCCAAUAACAAUAAUAAAAAAAAAAAAAAAAAGUAAGCUUAUAAGAUUGAAAGCCCUUAGCAACACAUUUCUUGAGUCCUAAAUGGGACAACAAAGCAAUACAAUUAUACAAACCUUCCAUAAAUACCCAAUUCCCAUUGGAUGGUAAAAUUUGGUAAAGCAUGCAUUUCAAAUAUUUAAUGAGCAAAAUGUCAUCUACAAAUAAAUGGUCUCACCCUUCAUACUCAUUAUAAUCAAAAGACAUUACCACAUGAUCCAAAUUAGUCUGUGGUGGUUGCCCUACCCAUUUAUUCUUAAAGGUCACUUUAUAUUUUAUAUCAAAAUCGAUCGGUGUUUAAAUAAUCGACUACUCAAACAGUCGAGACUACAUUCAACCUAAAUAUAUGUUAUAGAUAGAUUUAAGUAUUUUAAGUUAAUAAAAAAAUUUACUUAAAAUAAAUAAAUACCCCCACAACCCAACUUAUUAUAUUUUGGUCGUUUGGUUGAGAAUAAUCUAUAUACUCAUAUCCUUAUCAAAAUUGUUUAUAAUUAAUAAAUACACUUGUUUUUUGUGUUGAGUAUCAUUAGAUAAGUUAAAUAAUGGAUUUAGUCCCUGGAACUUCUAAAAUUAUAAGUUGAAGUUUCAAUUUUCUAAUUUAAAAAAAAAAACACACACCCACACACAUUGAACACAAAACUUAAAACUUCUAGUUUAUUAAACAUAUAGUAUAAUUACAAGUAAUAAAUUUGAAAUAUUUUUUUUAAAAAAAAGAAUACAUAAAACUAAUUGAAAAUUUUAAGAUUUAUUAGAUAUAUUUUCAAUUUGAUUGAGGAGAUAUAGAUGAAUUCAAUGUUAUAAACAUAUAAUAUGAUUACAUACAAAAUUCAAUUUUCAAGUAGUGUCAACAUAAUAUCAAACUUAUAAUAACAUAUAUUUUGAAUCUAAAUAUUGUUUUAUUUUCUACUUCAUAUUAUCAUCUCUAAUUAAGAUAUCAAUCAAAAGAAAGUUUUUAAAAAACCAUGUUUUUUCUUCUAAGUGGACCAAUUGACAGAGGUGACAUCCUUGAAUUUGAUAUAUAUAUAUAUAUAUAUAUAUUAAUUCAAAUGGAAAUUAUUGAUUGAAGUAGUUGAGAGAAAGUAGAGUUUGUUUAAUCUAAAAAGUUAUUUAAUAGACUCCAUAAGCAAUUAACAAUUCUUGAAAUUUAGUGGUUUUUAGGCCACUAAAGAUUUAAAAAAUCUUUAGACCAAACAAAAAGGAAGAUCUAGUAUCUCAAUAAUAGGUCUAUUAGAUUAAAAUUGACAAUUCAUAAACUUUUUGGAUACAAAAGAGUAGUUUUAAAGUCGUUAUUAAAUCAUUCUUAAGAUCUUUUUUUACACUUUUUACAUAAUUUUAAAUGUUUCGAACUAAAUAAAUGCAAACAUCGAGGUUCAAAAUAAUCAACUAGCAAUUUAGUGCCAAAACUUUUUAUAGUUCAAAUAGCAUACAAAAACAGUAACGAUCCGUUUAAAUCCUCCAACCAAUAAUACCCUAGAUAGUAAACCAUAUACUUUCAAAUGUUUAAAGAAUUUAGAGAGGCUAAAAGGUUUCAAAAAGAAGAAAAUUAAUAGCAAAACCCACUCAGUUCAUAUUAUUUUCAAUCUCAUUUUCGUUUUGUCAUCAAUUAUUAGUACUUUCUAACACACUUUUUUAAAAAAAUUAAUCUCGAUUACGUUUUAGUUCUCCAAACAACUUUCAACUCAUGUUAAUGUUUGAAUAAAUGGUUAUUAUCUGUGAAUAGAUGCAUCAUGAGUGAAUUCAUUAUUUCAUAAAAAGUAUUAAUAACUAAAUUAUAGAAAGAACAUGACUUUUCGUAGACUUAUUCGGUUAAGAGAAUAUAUAUCAAUCAUCUUUUGCCUUCUAAAAGGAUUUUCUCACCAUUUUCACAAUCUUGACGUUCGAUAGCUGAUCCACAAGACUUUGUUUAUUAAUUUUCUAUACGAGGUGUUACCCUUAAAAGAAUGAUGAUCUGUUUUAUCAUAGGAGACAAUUACUCUCGAUACUCAAACGCUACGAUGAAUAAAUUUGUCUUAAAAAGAUGAUGUGAAUUUGUUUGACUCAAAUCUAGUGAUGAUAAUUUUCAUAACAAUUUGAUAAUCUUUAUAACAGAUAAAUCAUUUAAAAUGUAAAGACGAAAGUGGUAUUUGUACGAACACUCUAUUGUAAUGUUUAUUCUUUUUUUGUUGUUAUUAUUAUUGUGAAAAUGACAAAAGUUACAUAAAAUGGCAGAUUCUUAGUAAGAAUUGGAUAGUGAAAGGCAUUAAUUUUGAAAAUGACAUGUGAAUUAUACAUUAAUAGUUUGGGCCAAGAGCGGGUGGUGAGACAGCGAUGAAUUUAAAUACCUUCAACUAUAUAUAGGAAUAUAAUUCAUUUUGGUGAAGACUUUGUAAUAGUUCAACUUUCUCACAUCUCACCUCACAUUUUCAUCCAUCCUCCAUACUACAAAAACAUUCACUUUCCUAUUCUUUAAAUUCAUGUUACCAAACUCUUUCUCUUUUACAUGAUAUCCUUUUAACAAAUAUUUGGUCUAUUUUCAUUUACAUUUUCAACUUAUCAUUCCAAUACAAAUUUUAUAUAAAACCGUUUUAAUCAAAAUUUAAAAAUUAAUAUAAAGUAAUUCGAAACUUAAAUCUUGCUUGACGUGUAUUUAUAAGUUUCUAUUCAUUUUGAUAGUUGGACUCUUCAAAUAUUUUAUUUCAAUUUUAAGGACGUUGUUUCUUUGUUUUUCCUUUUGAAAACAUGGAUGAGUUUGGUAACCAAUUAUUUUUUUUUAAAUUGAUUUUUGGUGAUUUUUAAUUGUGAGAAUUGGAAAAAUGGUCGGAAAUAGUUUUUCUAUUUUGUUUUGUGGACAAAUUAGAAUUAGAAAAUUGGGGUUUUUUUUAAGAUUAAUAAUAAAAAAUAAAUUUAUUACGUUUAAUUUUAUUUAUAUCGACCGAAAAUAUUUUGCCUACUUUACUAUUUUUGACAAAUCUCUUUAUUUUUAUGUUAACAAAUACACCUUUCAAAAUCUUGUUUUAAUUAUUUUUUAUUUUCAAAAUUAUUUAAUAAUACGAUCGAGUAAUUCAUAAUGCUCACCUAACGUUACCAACCUCUAAGAUUUCUAUGCUCAUUCAUAUUCUUAAAAUAAUAAAAAAAAAAAACAAAUUUUUUAUGACAUAAACAAAAUAAUGCUUAGAGUGAAAAUGAAAAUACCGAUUUGACAAAAAGAAAAGGAAAACUCACAAUAUUUCUCUCUAUAUAUAUAUAGAAACUAUAAAGGUGUUAGAUUCAAAGUUUUAAAUAGUAAGAUAAGAGAUAUAGGUAAGUAUUAGCAUAAUAAUGUUUGAGUUAGUAAAUAAACACUCUAGUUAUUAUCAUAUCAAAUAAAUACAAAGAUUAGAUAGAUUGGUUUGUCUCAAGUGAGUCCAAAAUGAAAUUUGUAGAAAGUCAAAUUUUACCAUUUUAUUUUAUUUGCUUUGUGGGCAUUGAUCAUUAAUAAAAAUAAUCCAUUUGAUGCAUUGGGAUUUGGUAUGUUUUGGAUUUUCAAAAUUAAAUAUCAAAAUAUGUGAAUGUAACUGAAUUUCGUCUAAUAUAUGCCAAAAAUACACGCAGCCAAUUUUUAAUUAUUUGAGAAUGUAGAUUAUUAUUAUUUAUUUAUUCUCUUUAUGGUUGAUUUAAGAAUUUUUAAAAGAAAAUAAUCAAUUUUAUAAAGAAAAGAGUAUAUUACCAAAAUAUUUAUACUUAAAAGAAAAAAUGAUUAGUUUUAUUCUAUAAACCAUAAAUAGUUUGUCAAAAUUUUAUAAUUUUUGAAAAAAUCUCAUUUAGUUAUCAAUUUACACCAUAAAUUAAUAAAUAUAUCAAUUUAAUUUCUUGAUUUUAACACAUGCAUUAUAUUUAUUUAAAUUAUUUAUUAUAUUUUAUUUAGAUAAGUUUAUGAAUUAUAUCAAUUUAAAAUUUAAAAUUAAUAUUUUUUUACUUUUUAAAAAAGAGUGAUUCGUGAAAAUAAAGUUAUUAAAUUUAGAAUCACAAGAAAUGUUUAUUUUGAAUUUGAGCACAACUUUUCAUACUAAAAAACACAAAAAAUGGAAAGUAACUUUUAAAAAAUAAUAAUUUAAAAUAUGUUUUGUAGUGAUGAAAGUAUAAAACCUUUUUAGAUUUUCUCAAUCCAUUUUUGUUGAAAAGGAAAGAAUAUAUAAAAUAUACUUUCGUAAUAUAUCAAUUCUUUCUUAUUUAGUUUAGAAGAAUUGGAGUAUAUGCACGGAUAUUUGGUAACGGUAUAUUAGUCUUUUGCCUUUUUAUUUGUAGAUUUUUAUAAAAUAAAAAAAUCAAUGGUUACUUCUACAAAAUCAUAAGGAUUUUUUUUUUAAUUUUUGCCAUUCAUAAUAAAUAAAAUUUUUACUAUCUUUGUAAUUAUUUUAUUGUAUCACCAAUCAAUGUAAAAAAUUGAGACACGUAGCGAAAUUUAAUUAUUUAUAAGUUAGAAAUAUGAAUACUAAUUGAGAAGAAAAGAAUCAGAUUUAAAAUUAUGCAUAAAAAAAUCUGUGUAAAAGUAAAUUUAAUUACCUAUCAAACCUAGUUUUUAACAAUUAUAUUAUUUAAAUUAAUUUCCCUUAAAUUUAUGGUGAAACUAUAAAACCAAAAGUAUUUAAAAAAAAAAGAUUCUACUGGGUAUUUGAAAAUUUCGGUAAAAAGUUAGAUAAAAAUUGGAUGAAAUUAAUGUUUAUAAGCUUGAUUUUUAUAAAGAAAAAAUCUAAAUCUAAAUAAUUACCAACACAUGCUUUAACAAUUUAAUUAAAAUCAUUUUUUUAAAGAAAAUUUAUUGUAAAUGAUAUAUAUAUGUAUUUUAUAAAUAGUUUUAAUAUUUUGCUAUUUUUAAAAUAUUUAAAAUAUUCAAAAUUUAAAUCUAUAUAAAAGUAAAAAUAAGUAAGUGUAUUUUUUUGAGCGAAUUUUGUAAUUUGCCAAAAUAAACCAAGUAGGAGAAUCAUUUAUCCAAACUCCAAAGUGUAAAGAUGCUAUUUUUGCAAAGACCUUUUCUUGAAAAAACAAAUAAAAAAAAAAAAAAAAAGAAAAACAUUUCCAAGUCCCAACCGCGUCUCUUCUGGUCAUUUUCCGUGACUAAGAGAAGAGAGAGAUUUGAUAUCUUCUUCUUCUCCAUCAUCUUCUUCUUCUUCGCCCAAUUCAGCAUUUCCUCACUGCUCUCAUUUCCCUUUAACCGCCAUUUUUUCUUCUCUACCAGAGCAUGAACUUUGAACGACCAGAACUAUUAGAACAAGAAGAAGAAGAAGAAAAAGAAAAAGAAAAAGACAAAGCUUUUCAGUUUACAGAGUGAUUGAUAACCAACGAAACGAAACGAAACCCAGUUCUUCAAUUCUUUAUCUAUGGGCUGUUCAGCUUCCAGACCCAUCACUUUCCAUUCCACUAACCCAGAAUCUUCUUCUUCUUCCUCUCCUCCCGUUCCCAGAGCUUUCUCUCUUCCCACCCCUCUCAUUCACCAUCCCCCCAUCUCAGACGGCGACACCCACCAUCUUGUUACUCUAACUUCAACCACUUACGGUUCUCUCCUUCUUAUCGACCGUCCCAAGUCCAAUCCCUUGAGAUUCUACGGCGACCAAAACGCUGACCGCUCUCUUUCGCCCCACACGGAUGAUUCCGACCACGCAUUGUCGCCGGAUUCCGUUAUCAAUACAUGGGAACUCAUGGACGGCCUUGAUGACGCCUUUGAUUUGAGUUCCGACGCUGUUCCUACCCCUGAACUCUCGAUUGAGAAAACCCCUUUCAAGCCCGUUGGAUCGGUGAAUUUCUUGGAGAAAUCGGUGGAUUCUGUUGCGCCGUCUUCCUUAGUUAAGCCGCUUUGGCAACAUUUGUCUGAAGAAGCUCUGCUUGCGAAAUUGGACCCUAAUGUUGUAUUCAGUUACCGACGAGCUCUUUCUUCCCGGCAGUUAGGCUCCAAUGGGUACCGAAAAAACGUCAAAUCAGUCGGUUCGAGUCCGGUUUGUUCUUCAUUCUCCAAUAAUUGGCUGCGUCUUCCCGGCGGAGAAGGCAAAGUAGUAAUCUACUUUACGAGCUUGAGAGGAAUUCGAAAAACCUACGAGGAUUGUUGUUCGAUUCGUACAAUCUUCAGAGGUUUUAGAGUUCCAGUGGAUGAACGGGACAUUUCCAUGGAUUCAUCUUACAGAAAAGAGUUGCAGAGUGCAAUCGGAGGGAAGACAGUGAGUUUGCCGCAAGUGUUCAUAAGGGGAAAGUACAUAGGUGGUGCUGAAGAAAUCAAACAGCUAAACGAGUAUGGCGAAUUGGGGAAGCUUUUGGUGGGAUUUCCAGUUUGGGAUGUGAAAAGCGAGUGUGAAAGAUGUGGGGAAGCAAGGUUUCUGCCAUGCCCUAAUUGCUAUGGCAGCCGGAAGGUGUUUAAAGAAGACGAAGGAGAGUUGAGAAGAUGCCCUGAUUGCAAUGAAAAUGGCUUGAUAAAGUGCCCAGAUUGCUGCUUCUGAAUCUGAAUGCAAAUAUUUUAGGUAUUUACUCGAUUACUUAUUCCUACAAUGUUGAAAAUCGUAUUGCUUCUUCAUUGCUUGCUGCUUGCUCUGUAAUUGUAGGAUUUAUUUGUUCAUUUUCCAUGAACAGUGUACAAUCAUUAUCAAGGGAAAAAAACAGAAAAAAAAAAAAAAAAAGAACAAGAAGAUGAUGUUCUCAUAUGUUCUUCAACAUAUAUUGAGUUAUGUAGUAUAGACUUUGACAUCAUUCUGUGUUGGGAUGGUGUCCUAAACAUGUUAUAUGCAUUCUCAAUGUUGUUUGGUUAUUAAAGAUGUUCAUAUCGUAUAGGUUGUACAACUGUGUUCUUGAGUUCUAAAAGAUGUUCAUAUCUUACGAUAUGAUAUAUAGGUUGUACAACCGUGUUCUUGAGUUCUAAAAGAUGUUCAUAUCUUGAAACUGUUUUCUCAAAUAGUAUGAACUACUGAUGUUUGACAUGUUUCUAUGUUUAUCUUGGGUCCCUCGUUAGGUUUCUAUGUUUAUCUUUGAAUGUCGGUGACUAAGACUUCUGUAAUUAUUUGUUAGGCCUUAUUCUUCUUGAUUUGAGUUUUUUCUCUAAUGGGUUCCCUUUAUAGGUUUCAACUUUUUGGAUGCCCUUCUAUUCUUGCAUUCCUUUUCUAAAUGAAAGUUUAACUUUUCAUAAAAGAAAACUGUUGAUUUUGACAUACCCUUUUUUGACUUGCCAUUUUAUUAGCACUUAUAUGAAGAAUAUUCUAAUAUGUCACAUGUUUAAGGACUAGAAAGCAAAAUGGGGGGAAUUUAAAUGAAUAUCUUAGAUAGGUGGCUACCAUAAUUGUUUAAUCCAUGACUUGCUUCUGGUUUAUGAUGACUUAUCUUUUGACAAACUAUUUUCAUAGUUCUCUUAACACUUAAAAAAGGUUAGCUUCUCUCUCUAAGUACAUUUCCAAAGCUUCUCAUCAGGUCUUGUAGUUUGCUUCAUACUUGAAGCGCCUUGUUUUGUAGUUUUUCACAUUUCAAUGUUCUUCUUUUGGCUUUUUAUUCAAAUUUGACAUGUAAUCAUCAUUUGUUGAAAAAGUUGGGUUUCCUUUUGGUCUCCUUUUUAUAUUCAUCUCUUUUGGCUAGGCCUUUCUUCUUCUUCUUCUUUUGUUCUUUUGUUUAUCUUAGUGAAAAGUUGGUUUUUCAUUAGAAUAAAUAAAAAAUGUUGAACAGAGUCAUGUGCUAGACAGUUAAGCAGAUUGUUUCAACACUAAAGAUGACUAAAGCCAAUAAUAAGAAGAAAGCAAGAAGAUAGACAUUCAUUUUAGAAUUGGUUUCUGAAAUAAUAGUCAGUAAUCACAUUGGCAAAGUUGUUUGAGUUCCUAAUGUUUUUGCAUUCUUGGACAUUAAAAGAGCUGGACGUGUGCUAGGAGGUUAUCAAAUUAAUUAAUCUAUGUUGACCGCCUACCAAAAAAUUAAUAUCUUGACACACAAGUAUUGUAGGAUCAAGUAGGUUGUCUUGUUAGAUUAAUCGAUGGGCACGUGAGCUAGUUAAAAAACUCAUGGUUGUCAAAGGAAAAAGGACUUGAAUGCAUAUCCCAGAAAAAUUGCGAAUGUCCUUUAUAGGUUAUGAAACUUAUCCUCAUAGUUUUAUCCAUGACUUCAAGGGUGUUUAAAAAAUUUAGUCUAAGCUUGGGUAGAUUUUUAGGGGCUAUUUUGAGAAUGUUGGAAUGAGGGAGGAAUCAUAACGAAAAUCUGAUCAUGAAGUGUGAAAACGUCAAAGAAAAAUAUUGGCCACUAUGUGAACUUAACGAGUUUGUUUUUUUUUUUUUUUCUUGUGUAGUAUUUGGUUACAUAGUUUGAAGUGUUUUUUAAACUAUAUAGAUAAAACAUUAGUGUGCUCGUCUAAAAGCUACUUGCAUUAUUUCAUGCAUACUUUUAGUUUUUUUUUUUAGUCUUUUUAGCUACCUUUAAACAUUAGUGAACACCUAACAAAAUUAUAGAAAGCACUCACUCACAAAGUCACAGAGUUGUCUUUGGGAGGGUAAGUGAUUCAAAUGAAAGCAUUUGAUUUGAACAUUCCAUAGAUACCACUUUAAUUUUCUUUUGAAAAUGACCUACUUUUAAAAUCGUUAUAAAGGUUUAUGUUUUUACUAAUGGAAAACAACAAAUUCCUAAUGAAAACAUUAUCUACCGAAAUUUGAAAAAUAGUACCACGAGUUGUUCAUUGCAUAAUUGUACGAUAUGCCCAUUGCUCCAUGUCUUAGAGUCCAAUGCAUAUCUUUUCAAUAAGAUCAACCCCACUACUGUUCCCAUUUCUAAAUCCAAAAGUUGAAGUUUAAUUUUAUAUUCUUGAGUUAUAACACUAACAAUGUUUUAUUUCUAUUUUUGAUUUAUUGAUAAAUUUUUAAGACAAGAUUUAUCUCCAAUCGUAAAUGUCGAAGGGUUAAUUUUCCAUCCAACAUAUCUUUUGCUUUUUUUUUUCAUCUAGUGUGGGAGAUUUGGAUCUAUGACUUUGCAGUUAAUUAUACGAACACCAUGCGAGUUGAGCUAGCAUAUUUUAAUAGUAACAAUACCUUCUUCUUUUUUUUUACAGUUUUUUUAAAGAUUGCUUUGGGAUGUUAGUCCAUUAAAAUAAAUAAAUAGAAUCAAAAUAUGCAUUUGAAAUCUUUUUCUUACAUAACAUAAAAUGGCAGGUUGUCAUUAAUUUGAUGCCUUUUAACCAAAUUACACAAAAGGUAUGGAUUUAAACAAGCUCGAGUUUUGGGCUGAUCAGUCAAGGAAAUAAUCUAGUUGUGGUUGAUUUCAAACUUUAUAACCUUGAGCAUCAAUAACUGCCAUGACAUUGUCAAAAUUACACAAUAAGUGCUUGUUAGAAAAAAAAUGCAUUAUAAAUAGUCACACUAUGACCACAUGAGAGGAGAAUAGAAAGUAAUGUCCUAAGAAGAGUUUUAACUUUACGUUCUUUGUGCUUAACUACACUAUACAUUAUGUAUACUAACUUAGGCAUUCAAAAUGUGGUAAGUUUGACUCAACACUUUGUGAGAAACUUUCACACAAGUGAACUCAGAAUAUGAGACUAGACUAGAAGAAUCGAGUUAGCCAAUAAGAUUAGGUGAGGUUCACGUGAGAUAACAUCAAAUGCAUUCGGGCUUCCAUGCAUCAAUAGUUAUCAUAUUUGCUUAAUGAAAAUUUGUCGAGCUUUCAAUGUAAAAAACGAGAUGAACGAAAUGACAUGAAAGGAAAAAGCUAAUUUUUUGAGUUUUUAAAAUUAUUGAAUUGUUAAUACGUGCAUCAAUCAAACUUAGAAUUGUCCAAAUUUAAUGUUAUUAGAAUUUAUAAGGUUACACAAUUUUUUUAUAUAAUUUUUCUUCAAACGGAAACUAAGAAAGUAGUGAAAAUCAAACAGAAAAUAAAAUUUGUAACCACGACAAGUCUAAUUGUAGUCAAAGUACGUCUAACUCAACAGUAAUAGAUAUGCAUUAUCUUACUUUUGAUUCAAUACUGGAUACUCGAUCUCCACAAUUAUUACUAAACUAAAAAAUAUGUCUAGUAAACCCAAACUUUAGGUUGAAAAUGAUAACCAUUGAAGUUAAAAGUUCAAUUCAAUAUAAUUGUUGUCAUAUAAAAUAAAAACAAAUUGCCCAAAUUCUUUUAUUUGGUUUAUGGUAUAUAUGUAUUUUUUUUUUUUUGCUAACAUAACCCCAAAUUUAUAGACACAAAUAGUAAUAAUAAAUUCUUCCAAGAUCGUUUUUAAAAAUAAAAAUUAAAUUUAAGGGCUAAAAGAAAUUAUGCAAAAGUUGAAGGCAUAAUUGAAAAUUUUGAAACGAAUUCCACAGUGAAUUUUACGAACUUUUUCCCAUUUCUAAAGCAACAAAAAAAGGAGGAGAAACUGUAGGCUCUAUUAUCGGAGAGAGGGAGCGAAAAUGGAGGAAGAUGGGUUUGAAGCAGAGCCGAAUCCAGUGGAGUUCGGCACUUGCUUGAGUUCCUACAUCGACGAUGGAACCACUGAGAGCCAUAGAUACUUCCUUUCUCGAAGAACAGUCGUGGAGAUGCUUAAGGACCGAGGUUACACUAUCAACUCCCCCAAUAUCGACUUCUCUCUUCAACAAUUUCGAGAAACUUUUGGCCAAUUCCCCGACGUUGAUCGCCUAAAACUAUCCGCCGCUCAUCACUCCGAUCCCUCCAAAAGAGUAUGUCUCCACCGCUUCUUGCAUUGUUUAUUCCUUCCUGCUUCUUGUUUGUCUUAGUUAGUCAAAUUAGGGUGGGUAAUGCGAGUAAAGAAAGAGUGUCGAUUCAUUCUGUAGAUUUCUUUGGGAUUUAUUGUUGAAAUGAAACGGACUGAAUUGCUUACCUUUCUCUACUAGUUUAUGAUUCAGGGAGGGACGGAUUACUGAGGGAAAUGCUUUACUUAGCCUGGACGAAACGUAGAAAUUAUUUAGAAAUGUCUGAAAGGUUGAUAAUAUAAAUAUAGUACCUUCUUGUAAUAUUUGUUAUUUCAUAACCGGAUGUUGAUUUUGCAGGUUCUUGUAGUGUUCUGUGGAACUGGUGCAGUAAAAGUUAAUGCUAUUCGCAAUAUUGCUGGUCAAAUUGCUAAUAAGGAUAGUUUGCAUGGUCUCAUUUUAAUUGUGCAAAAUCAAAUUACAAACCAAGCCAUGAAAGCAGUUGAGCUCUUCUCGUUUAAGGUUGAAAUAUUCCAGGUUCGUUUCUUGAACUUGUGAUGAAUUUAUUUAGUUUGACAGAAACAUGAGCAGCGUCUUGGUAAAUGCUUGGUCUCAACGAGUCAUUUAUUUGUUGCCAUGCUGUGUUUUUAAUAUUUUCUUCAUACUUAAGUUUUUGGUGUAUUCAACACAAUGGUCAUUGCUGAAGUUGUUUUCUUAGUAUACUAACAAACUGAAGUUGGCAUUGACAUGGGGAGCCCUGGUGAGGGAACAAUUAACAAUAGAGUUUGCCAUGAUAGAGAAGAGAAAUAACUUAAAGAAGUAGAUGUUCGGGUAUUGAGACAAUAGAGUGAACCCGACAAUAACGAAAUGUAGUAAUACGGGAAGGGUUCUAAACCUUUUGUUUUUUUUAUUAAUUUCCCGGAGAGGGUGAUGGGAAGCUUAUCGUGUUUAUUAAUCUUGUCCAAGAACUUUUAGCAAGAAAAUAAUAAUUUUUUUAGAGAAAGAAGCCUUCAAUCAAUAAUUCAUGGGGACUGUCAAUGUAAAAAUAGUCAUUUUUUUGUUGAGGAUCUCAGGGUGGAAAGAUAGGGAGAUCUCACAAUCUUUAAAAGAUAUAUGGUUUCGAGAUGCCCCCAUUUUUCUGUAAUAACUUCCUACAUUCUAGCAAUCCUCGAACAAAUUCAAUCUUGAACUUAGAGAAUAAGAUUUUUUUGUUUCGUUUUUUCGUUUGCUCUUGUAUAUUCUUUCAUAAUGAAAACGUGGUCUUUUUUAGAAAGAUUAUCUUAAAAAGUUCAUAUGUUUAAUUAUAUGUUGCUCAUUUUUUAAAAAUAAUAUUAUUUUAUGGUUUAUCUAAUUUUGGUACAUUUUUCUAUAUUUCCUCAAAUGACUGCACUGUUAUUUUUUCUGGUAUCAGAUUACUGACUUGCUCGUCAACAUCACAAAGCAUGCUUUAAAGCCAAACCAUCAAGUACUGACGGAGGAAGAAAAACAAAAGCUUUUGAAACAAUACAGUAUAGAAGAAAAACAGGUAAGAUAUUGAAUAGUACCGUAAACAAUAUCUUGGCAAAUUAUAUUUCCUUCCGCAUGAUUGCCUGUAGACUAAACUGUUUCUCAUCUUAAACAUGCUCCCCUGAACGACCAACAAUUUCUUCUUUUCAAUAUUUAUGCUAAACGCUGAUAAGAGUCAUAUGUCAAAGGACAUCUUUCAAUAUUUUCGUGGCUGCUACAGCUGGGAUUUUGAAUGAGCAUACAGUAUCUCUAUCUCAUUUGGGACUAUCUUUUUUUUUUGGGGUAAAACUCAUCUCAAGUGUGACAUCAUAUAGGCUUAUUUUGUCCUCCAAUCAUUAAGCUUUAUCAGGGGGCGUUUAGACUUCUGGCUUGGCACCUUAAGCUUGGGUGCAAUAACCUGUGGUCUUGGGAAGUUUGGGUCUAGGAAAAUUGUGCAUGAGAGGGUUUAGGGAGUUUUGUUCUAGGAAAAGUGCAUAUGAGGUGCAGCCUUACAGGUUUAGGAAAACUAUGUGUGGUGCAUGAAUAAUGUACUACUCAAGCCGGUUGGUGCCUCUAAUUAAACCUGAGCUUUGGAACUUCUCUUCAAAUGGGUUUGGGCUUAGAAAGUGAAUCCCUCCCUAAGGCCAACCUAGGUUUUUGUAUAUUAAAUCUAUGGUUUGGCAAAGGGUUUUAGAAGAUUGAGUUUAUAAUAACUGUGUCUGCUGUGUGAGUAGAAAGCUUUGGUUUGAGAAAACUGUGGGAGGUUGAAUAUAGCGAGUUACUGUUCAAGCCUAUUGGUUUUUCCAAUUAAACCUGGGUUUGGCAGCUUCUCUCUGAAUGUGGUGUGACUUCUAGCCAAACAUAUGCACAAAACACCCCCUUAGUGCUAAGGAAUGAAUGAUUGUGAAGAUACGGUUUUUGUGGGCUCAAGUGACUCAGCCCAUCCCAUCAAAAAAGAAAAGGUGACCCAUUACAUGAUACCUUACUUCAGACAAAAAUCAAUAAUUAAUAUUUUGUGUGCUUGGUAGAGGGAAUAUAAUGAUUUUUUACGGUUUACUUUUUAUAAAAAAAUCUAGCUUUCAUUUAGAAAAAAAGGAAGGAAUAAUUGAACUUUAAAGAGCUCUUUCCCUUAGUUACAACUUGAGUAACAGGAGUUACUACGUUAAAGCACAAAAACAGUUGCAUAUCUCUAUUUCGUUUUGACGUCACUUUAGCCUUUUGGAUCAAUUUGUCCAUACAAGAUCACAGGAAGGGGCUAAAUAUUUCUUAGAGUUGUUGAAGGUUCCAGUCGCCCUGUUUGGAAAAUAGAAAUUGUGAAACAAAGCAAUACAACCAUUUCUGCUAUGUGCUAUUGCUUCUUGAAUUCUCAUGGACUCUGUUUCUUAAACUAGUACAAACAGUUGUUCAACCUCAUGUCUUCAUGCCUACUUUUGAUACAAUGCAGCUUCCUCGUAUGUUACGUACGGAUGCUAUAGCUCGAUAUUAUGGGCUGGAGAAAGGGCAGGUUGUGAAAGUGACUUACGAUGGCGAUAUGACUAGGGCACACAUAACUUACCGGUGUGUUUGGUGAUGGACCUAGAGAGGCAGGUUUCACCAAUCAACUUUUGGAUUUCUUCCCCCAUAAAACUCAGAUUAGUUUUUGUCUUAAACAUCUAUGUUCCAGAACUUCUUCUAUUUAAUAGGUUUCGAGUGCAGAUUUUUAUGAUUAUGGGUUUCUUCAAGCAAUCUGUAUCACAAUUACUGCAGCCAUCCUUAACAAGGUACUUGUAACUCCCUCCAGUUGUGUAUGAAAGAAAAGGAAUGAAGCUAGCUGUAGGAGAUGUAUUUAUAUCCUUUUUCAUUCCUUCAUGUGUGAGAAACAAAACAAUUUUCUAAUCCUCACUCUUAACUUGUGAAGUAUUUGUUUUGGAUGGCAAGAGACUAUGAUGCUGAUGCCUGGAAAAGAGGAGAAUCAACCAAAUUUUAAAAAUAAGAAUAGAAGUAUUCUUUUACUAAAGAUAUAAAGUAUUUUAAUGAAUUUACUUAUAUAGAGCCUUUAAUCAGAACAAUAUUUUGUUUCAUAAUAGGUAGCAACUUUUCUAGGGCAAGUUUGCUUAAUAAUCAAUUAACUAAAGUAUUUAUAAAUAUAGCAUAUUCUUACUUUUUAUCAAUGAUAUUUAUAAAUAUUAAGAUAGACCUACACUCUAGUUGAUAAGUUGUAUUUGUAAAUAUUUUUACUAGUUCUUUUAUAAAAAGAAUUUUACUUUUGUUUUUGUUUUUUUGUUGGAAAAGAUAACCAUCAACACCAAUAGUUUGUUUCCUUUACAUUUUUUCUUUUUCUUUUUGUUGAAAAGCUUCAAAAUGGCAUAUCCAAAUUGUGCUUCCUUCUUUUAAUGCCUUUAAUGUGGAUUUGGGUGUGUGGGACAUGUUGGAUGAACUCAAUAUUUAAUGUAAAUUAAAUUUUUUAACUAGAAAAUGAAAGAAUAAAAUAAAAUCUUAAAAUUCUUUUAUCAAUUUUUUUUAUUAUAGGAUUGUUGUCGGUGCAUUUUCUAAAUUUCGAAAUAAAUUUAAAUGUCAAAGUGGUAAUUUAAAUAUUUCAAAAUAGUAAAUUUAAAUGUCGAUAAUAUCUAAUAUAACUAAUUACUUGUCAUAGGUUGUUUUUUUAAAUAUAGCUAUAUGAUAUUACUAAUUACUUGUGAUAUUUACUAUAUUCGUAAUAUGCAAAACAAAAAAUUCUUUUCGAUAUGUUUUUGUUCUAUGCAAAAAUUUGUAAAUCGAUUAUUUUAAUUUGUGAUAUCCGUAAAUUAAUAUCUGUAAAUAUUACUAUAUUCGUAAUAUGCAAAACAAAAAAAUGAAUUUUUAAAAAAUGCUUCAUUUUAAUUUGUCAAACAUUACCAUUUUUUUCAAAAUAAAUUUUUUAGUAAAAUUAAAUAAUUUAUAAUCUAAACCAAACCCACCCAAAAUAUUUCUGUUAGUGAUGAUAGAAACGGAUUAUUUUUUAUUAGUGACAGAAAUGAGAGAAACUAGUAGAAAGAGACUUCAUGUAUGAAUUAAAUGCUGUCAAUUCUUCUAUUUUUAAUUAUUUGUGCAUAGGAAGGGGUUAAUACAUUCUCAAUCCUAUUGAACCAAAAAGACAAAAAAAAUCCACUUUCAAUCAUUUUUUGAACGGUAGCUCGAUCAUCUCACUUGACCUCUCUCUUUACAAAUCAAGAAAAGUCACCACUUGACCUCUCUCUUUACAAAUCAAGAAAAGUCAAAUCAAGAUUCGCUACAUGUGAUAUAUAAACUUUGAUAUAAAGAGAACUCAGCUUUUAUAUCCGAUAGAAAGAUAUCAAUUUUUUUUAUUGAUAGAACAGAUAGAAAUGUAUCAAUUUAUUGAUAGAACAGAUAGAAAGAUAUCAAUUUCUAUAAGGUGAUUUAGGUUUUUAUGGACUUUCUUGGUAUUUCACCAUCUGUUCUGGACUUGGGUUAAUAAUUUGCUAUGGGCUAUAAAAUAUUUUGCCUAAUUAUUCUAUUUUCAAAAAUCCCUUUUUAAAAUAGAAAAAUGAUUUAUAUUCGUAAAUUCUUGUUCAAUGCCUUAUAUUUGAAGUGUUUUAAAUGUUACUUUGUUUGCAACUGAAUCUUUGAAAUUAUCGAGUUGUUUUAAACUUACUUUCAAUAUAGAUAUGAAAUUUAAGUAUAUUUUAUAAAUAUUUAGUAUAUUUGAAUAUUUAUGAAAGAUAAUUAAUGGUUGAUAUAGAGGUUGAACCUUCACACACAUUUAGAGGCUACGCAAGAUGGAUAAUUUAGGAUCCAAUUUAAUAUAUAAUUAAAAUUGUUUCUAAAUAUAUAAUUAAUCUUUUUAAAAAAAUUAUUAAUCCAUUAAAGAUAUAAUUAAAAUGCCUAACAUUUUUUAAAUUGGUCAAAAUUAAUAUUUAAGCAUUUGUUAAAACCGACACUUAAAGUAGUAUUUUAUUGGAAGGCAAAAGUGUUUUAUGAUUUUGAUAAAAAUCUAAAAUUUUGCUUUAUUUUUAUUUUUUAAAAUAUUUGAUCAAUUUGGUCAUUUUCACUAUAAUUAAAGACUUUAUUAAUAUUUAAUUCGAAAAUUACUUGUCGAUCUUAUCAACUUCGUCAUUUUGACGUCACUUUCAGAGAGAUAUUAUCGCGUAGAACUAAGACACCGUAAACCCCAACUCUCCUCGAAUCAAAGCUCCAAGUUCCAACAAUGCCGAUCUCAACAUCAUCCGACCCACUCAUGUAAGUUUCUCUCAAUUACUUCACGAACGCGAGAUAUUUAUUUAUUCGUUCUGAACUCCAUCCCAUUUGAGAGAAGUAGAUCGAAGCAGAGAUGGGUAGCACCCCUAACGAUUUCUCUGUCGUCAUCCUCCCUUCUGAUGGUGGCAUUGAUUCCCGCCCACUUUUGCCUGACAAAGAUAAAGAGUCUGAAGACGCUGAUCAUUGGCACGAUUGUUCUCAAAACCUUUCCUCCGAUGAGGACUUUUCCGAUCUCGAUCUUUUGCAGUUUGUUCGUCUUGAGGGCACCGACAAGACUGGGAAUCGUAUCCUCCGUGUCGUUGGAAAGUACUUCCCUGGUAAAUAAGCUAAUUGAAGAAUUAUGCUCUCAUUCAUAAUUAGUUCUUCUAUACGUUUACGUUACACUCUUUUUGCGUCACUAUUCAGUUUAUAAUUCAGCCUAGUUUUUUGGUCCUGGUCUGGACUGUCUAUCAUUGAUUGAGAUGGAAUUUAAUUUAAUUUUAAUGUGAUCAUAAUUGCUACUUCAUUAUGAAUUCCUUCUUUGUAAACCUUCCAGAUGUUAAUUUUAAUGUUCUUACAAGCUCCAUUAGAGAACUUAAUUUCUAUUUAUCCAAUAAAUCAGCUUCGUCAACUAUUUCUAAUUUUGAGACCAAGUGGAAACUGAUUUGGAAGUUGGAUUAAUUAGACCCAUUAAAGAUUCGUGGCGAAUUUUUAGUUAAUCUCUUCUUAAUAUGUUGUUACUGUUCUUAGCCUCUAUCUUCUGAAUUUAUAGAUGAACAAUUCGUGGCCAUAUCUUCUGUUGACAUCAUCACAAAGUAGAUAGGUCUAAUGGUUGUAGCACAAAACUUCCGUUUAGAAAUAUUGUUUAAUAUUUUCUUGUAUAAGAAUUCAGAUAACUCCAAUUUGUUUUCUAAAUAUGAAAUUUCUUCUAACACAGCUGUGGUUGUAAGUGGGGAGCGGCUGAAGAGAUAUAUCUUCCAUAAAUUCCAGAACGAAUUGUCUGAGGGUCCAUUUUGCAUUGUGUACUUUCAUACUACUGCCCAGAAGGAUGAUAAUUGUCCAGGCCUUACCAUUUUGAGGUGGAUUUAUGAAGAACUUCCAUCUGAUUACAAGGAUAGACUUCAAUUUCUCUACUUUGUACAUCCUGGUCUCCGUUCGAGGCUUGUCUUGGCGACUUUUGGCCGUUUUUUCCUAAGUGGCGGGUGAGUGUGUUCGCUAUGCUGGUUUCCAAAUGUAACUGACAUAUUGAAUUUGUUGACAUUUGAUUAUUUUCCUUAAUUAAUUAAGUUCUAACGUUACUGAACUGUUUAUUUAUAACUUUUCACUUUUAGGUUGAUGGAUAUGAUUCAUCUUCUUAUAAGUGCUUCAGUAAGACAUUAGUUUUCUUCUUUUGGAUUUCAUAAAAUUUGAAAAUUUUACUAUUGCUAUUGCAAUCUAUUAUCAUUUUCUUUUGCUGCAGGAAUUUUCAUAGAUUUUUAGUCAAUAUGUUUACAAUCUCUCUCUCCCUCUCUCUCUCUCUCACAUUAUUGAUGUAUUAUUUGAGGAAUGAAAAGGGAAGAAACAGAAAAUCGUUCUUCUUUGUAGGGAUGUAUGCGACAUUAUAUCUGUGAGAAAUUAUUAGUUUUUGAGAAGUUUUCUUCCCCCCAAUUCUUAAAAGCAGCCUACUAGAAUAUAUAAUCUUUAGUAGUGGGAAGAACCAGUGGUACGACUGAUUAUGGUUGCUUACAUCCUUGAAAUUUUGUGAUAUCCGUUUCCUCUAAUGUAUGUCUUGAGUAAUUGAUGGUCCACAUGUGUUUGACAAGAUUUGUUCUCUUUUGGUAGAUUGUACUGGAAAAUCAAGUAUCUGAGCCGCCUCCAGUAUCUUUCAGAAGAUAUAAAAAAGGGAGAGGUUGAGAUUCCUGACUUUGUGAAAAGUCACGAUGAUGUUCUUGAACACAGACCACUGACAGAUUAUGGCAUUGAACCCGACUCCCUCAAUGUCACGGAGGUACCUUUUUCUGCCAACUCCGUUUGGAGAUAUGAGGAGAGAUGGAUGUCAAGGCAGUACAUGACAUAGUAAGCUUGGUUAAAGAAGUUGUAUUUGAUCUUAGGCAGCUCCAAGGCUUAUGAGCAAUUAACACGAGCUAUAGCUAAACAAUAAAAUAUCUGUACAUUCUGAUUGUGCUUUGUUGUGUAGCUUGAUUGGUAACUUCUUUAGUGUUGCUUGUAAAAACUAAAGGGAAUGUUGUUUAUAAUAAGCUACGUAUGUUUGAUGCUAAUUUAUUUGUAUGGUUGUAGUUGAUAGCUUAAUCAACAUUUUAUGCUAUGCAUCGUUGCACUUGCUUUGAUUAUUGGAGAUUUUAGCUGUGGAGGAUUACUGUGUUGUGUACCUCAUAGGUCUGGUCUUUAUGGUUCUGUUUCUUAUUAAACUUUUCUCGUAUCCUUACUCACUGAAAUGAUCUUGUUUAUGUCAAGAGAAAUUACGGUAUUUAGGGUGAGUUUGAUACGAUUUUUGAAAAGGAAGUACAACCUAGAGGAUCGGUGGAAAAAUAUUUCCUUAUAGCUUAUUACAAGCAUUUUUCAAUCUUUUUUAUAAAACUUUAAGAACUAUGGAAGGUACUCUUAGAACAAGUAUUUCUCUUAUCAAAAGUACCUACUCUGCAUCAUAUGUAAUUCAUCAAGAGAAUUCUCAUUGAGAUGGAGGAAUCUGAGUUUUCCUAUCACGGGCUGCGUUUUUCCACAUGGCAAGGAACAAGAAAAUCCAAAAUCUGGUUUAUGGAUCAUUUUGUAGUAUAACUGAAUUACAACACAACACCCACCACAUAAUCAUUAUAGCCUUUCAAAUUUACUAACAUCUGUCUUGAAUGUGAUAACAGCAUUCUAUGCAAACAGAUCUGUCUUGAGAAUAAGGACCCAGGGCUAUAAGUAUCCGACUAACUUGAAAAUUCCUUGCAUAUCUAUGUUCUUUCACUCUAUUUAUGUAGAUUAUUCAUCCUGUUCUUUGUUAGAGUUAUAUUAUGUUGGUUUUCAAUUAUUUUAGGAGUGAUUUUUUUUUAAACUGAAGGAGGAAGGACCAAGAGACAUAAUUUGAAAACAGAGUUGAAAUGAAGAAGACUGUACAGUUUAGGAGCUAGACAGAUCACCGAGUUCAUUGGAAGAAGAAUAAGCAGAUUUCACAAGCCAAGCAAGGUGAGUUCAAAUAUAACAGUGGCUAAAAACUUCAGGAUUACAAUCUACGUUAUUUAACCUUUUUGGGGUCUGAAGUUGUAUAUAUAUAUUUUUUCCUUAUCUGCCAUGUUGUAUUAGCCUGUUAGGAAGAUAUACCUUUUUGUGGUACUAUAGAAGAAGGAUUUGGUUAGAAUCAAAUCUAAAACUUCCAUUUGCUCAAGAAAACCAUAGGCCAGUACAAGCAGAAGUCUCAAUCUCAUAGAUAAAGUUGUUUUAUACAAUACACUAGAUCAGUGUUGCUGAUAUUGAUGGAACAUAUAUAAACACUAAUUACAAUAGACAACAGGACAAUCAUCCAGGAGAAUCAGCAACAUGCCUCACAAAGCCAACAGCAACACAGGGCAAAAAGGCUGCACCCAAUCCACAAGUUGACAAGGUAAGAUUUUGUUUUUCCUCACAAAGAAAAAAAAAAAAAGAAGAAUAGAAGGCAGUGAAAUGAAAACACCCACCAUCCUUCGAUAAAACUCCUAUCUCCUCGUUUUUUUGUAGUACCCCAUAACUGUUUCUUCUUCCCUGUCCCAACGUUCUCAGUUGGGUACCCUAUAGUUCAAACAGUUAGAAAGAGAGACAGAGAGACAACAAAGUGAAAAUUUUGAUAGGGAGAGGAAGGUGGAAAGAACCUUGUGGGUGAUGGUCUUGUUUUGCUUCUGAUAUGGGCAUCUUUGAAGCUUUGGAAGUAGAGAUUAGUGUCUUCCAUUACGUGUGUGUAUAUAUAUAUAUCGAUUAUCUCUUCAGUAAAAAGUUUGUGGAGUUUCGUAGAAAGGGACAAAGCUCAGGAAUAUGAUUCUGAUAUUGAUUGGCCAACUUAACUAUAACUUGAUUCCUUCCGUUCAAAGACUGGUUUUAGCUUUGCCAAUAGGUGUCACAUUCUAGAAGACAUUACCGUCAUGGAAGUAAGGUAACAGUUUUUGCUUAUAAUACCCUCGAAGGUUUCUAUUAGAAAAAGCCAAUUAAAGAUCAUGUGGAAGAGAAUAAACUGAGGGGAACGGAUGGAUGGUUCCUUGUAAAAUUAGUCGAGAUUGAAUAAACUUUUUUUAAUUUAAACAAGAAAACACAUAACUAUCAUAGGUUGAUUUAGUAGUAAAUGAGAAGACACCGUCUCAAUAAAUGAUUAAGAGAUCACGAGUUCAGUUUAUGACGGACAUCUACUCAGAACUUAAUUUUGUACGUGAUUUAAAACCUUAGACAUUAUAUUUAAGAACCACGCAAACCCAACAUCUCCAAAGCCAAUUUGAUUUCAACCUCUAAGAUAGGGUAGAUUCAUGUUAUUUAGGUGAUCUAAGAAACCAAGGAUCGGACAAAGUUUUGAAACUUUCACAACCAAGAUAUCAAUUCUCACUUAAGUGCAAGUGAUUGAAUUCUGAUUUUUUGGUUCGUAUUAGUUCGAGUUUGGUCAAGUUAAGUUGUGUUCAGAUAUUUACAAUUUAAAGAAAAAAACAGAUACAGUGUAAUUUGAGAAUCAUUCUACAAAUUAGUUGUAUUUAUUUUUGGUUAUUUUAAAGCUUUAUGUGUUUAGGGCUAAGUUUGGGAGAGUGGGGUGAAAGCCCAACUAAAUGAGUCAGAGGUCCAGUGUUUGUCAAUAAAAUUACAAAAUCAGAAGCCAAAACCAUUACUUCUAUUUCUAUAUUCGUCUACGGUACUUGUGAACAAUGCUCCAUAUUAGAGUAGGGAAUGAAUGAAAUGGAUACGUUUUCUCGACGAAGAAACAAAGCCAAGAGGGGGAGAGAUCGACGAAAUCAACAACAAACUUGCCAAAACGUAUAGUAAUGUUUUUCGUUUUUUAUUUUUUAUUUUUUACUUUUAGUUUCUAAAAAAAUUUGUUUUCUUGAAAGAAAACUCUAAAUGAGAGAAAAAAGUUACUUUUGUUUUUAAAUCAUUUACCAGCUAUAUAUUUAAAAAACAAGAAAAAUUCAAAUGAAAACCAAAAUGAUUACCAACUAAUUUAAUUUCUUUUCCAUUUUUUUAAAAAACAAGAAACUUUUUAUCUCAAUUAUAUAUAUGGUUUUUAUUUUUAAUAUUUAAAAACAUAAUUUAAAAAACAGAAAAAACUAAAAUAAAAACCAAAAUGAUUAUUGAAAAGAACCAUUUAUUGAAAUUUCAAGACGAAAGUAAUUGAAAGAAAAAAUAGGAAAUUAAUAAGAAAGGAAAAGGAAACUUUGAGGGACAAUUGUAGUUUAUAAUGGAUAGCAAUAACUAAGUAUAUAAACAUUUUUAAAUAGUUACAAAUAUAGCAUAUUCUAUAUUAAUAUUUGCAACAUAAUUUUGUUAUUGAAUUUGCAAUUAUCCUCGUAUUCAAUGGAAAUGUAUAUUUCGUGGAGAAAAUCAAUGGAAUAACAUAUUUUUCAAAAAUAAUAAUAGUUCUAAUAAACAUUUAAAACAAAUCUCAUAAAUAUUUUGCAAAAGAAAGUUAAAGAAAUUCACCAACAAAUUAUGUGGGUGCGCAAGAACCAAAAUUCUCAAUGACAAUUUCAAUAUUAUGAAUAACUUUGUAAAAGAGGUAUCUACAAAAAGGUUAUCAAUUUUAAGUAAAGUCACCUUAAAAAAAUUAUGGAUUUGCCAUUGUAUACCGUGGAAUUUGUGACUUGUGAGGCCUUCAAUUUUAAAGUCUCUAAUGUUACACACAUAAACAAAAAGCAAUGAUAAUAUAAACUGUCAUUUACCCUAUGUCUGGGUAUAUGGUAAAAGAUGGGACGAUGAAUAUUCAACUUUCAUGAAGAAAACGUUGGUAGAUUGUUGAUUAUUGUAUAGAAUUGUCAAUCUUCGUUUACUUAAUUUUCAACUAUGAAGUUAGAGAUUUGAAAUCCUUAUUGUCUUGCAUAAUAUAUUACUAUUCACUAGUUAAUAGAUUAACGGUAAUGUGUAAACAAAACUCAUAGAAAAUCUAAAUCAAUUAGAUGAAAACUUUAACUCCAAUUGAUGAGUGGAGAUCAACUAAACGGAAGGUCGGAAAAAUAUUAUUGAAGGAGAGAAUGUUAGAUUUAAAUUUGAAAAUCUGCACGUUUGUUAAUACCCUUCUCUCACAAAUCAAACCACCAAAAAUCCAUUAGUCAUAUUGUAGCAAACCCAUCGAAUAAUCACUCCAACAGAAAGAGAAACGAAAGUAGAAUUAACAGCAAACAAUGAUGUUGUUUGGGAUUCCAAGAAAUAAAAAGAAAAAGCAGAGAGAGAGAGAGAGAGAGAGGAUUUAAGAUGAGUAAUAUGUUAAUACAAUAUAAUAAAAAGAACCAAUGGAGGAUUGAAGGUGUUAAAAGUGGAGUUAACAGAGUGUAGUGAUGUAAGUGAAGUGAAGUUACAAUGACAUAGGGAACCAAAAGACAGCAAAAAGAAUAAUGAAAACAAAACAUGAAGUUAAAAAUAAUAAUAAAAGAAAGAAAUUGUAUAUAGAAUUAUUGGAAUAUUGUAUGUGUGUGUUUAAUGAAGAGUCCCAUUACAAUCUAUCUUUUUUACCAAAACACACACACAAAUAAAAAAAAAACUCUGUCUUAGUCAGAAAGAGGUAAUGGGUAGGUCACACCUUCUUUCAAAAUUUACCCAUCUCAGAAUCAGUGCCUUUUCCUAUAUAUAUAUAUAUUUUAUAUAUAUACUCCAUAUUCAUUAAGAAUUUUGAUACUAUAUUAGAUAAAAAUGAUGUUCUAUUGUUCCUCAAAAUGAUAAAACAGUUUCUCUCCAUGUUUAUGGGAUUCUAAUUACUGGCCCAACACAUCAUUAACAAAAACCAGUUAAAGUUUUCAUAACCCAACAACCUAACUCUAGUCUACUACUAAGUAGUAUGAAGUGAGAAUAAUAUAAAUGAAUAACCUUAAGGAAAAGGUUUUGAACCCUAGAAUUAACUGCAACAUUUGGAGAGAGAGAUAUAUAGAGAGAGAAUUAAAGAGGGUUUUUGUUUGUGUAGAGAGAGUUGGGGUUUUUGGAGACAGUAUUCAGAGUUUGUUUCUUUUGAAAUAUUUUAGUUUUGGUUUUGUUGUGUUGUGUUGUGUUGUGGUGUUUGUGUGUAUUUUUGGGGUUGAAAGGUCAGCUCAAAUGUCUUAAUCUGAUUUUACCUCUUUUGAUGCUCACAGCUAUACCAAUUCUUCUCUUUUCAUUGUCUUGUCAAAUCAACUCCCCCAAUCCCCUUCUAUACUCACAUGCUCUUCCCCCUCCCUAAAACCCUUUCCAUUUUUCUUUUCACUUCCACUUCCAAAACACUAUAAUUACACCCCUACUCUUAUAUCAAAUAUAAAUAUACAUUCCAUAUCUUAAACGCUUCAUAUCAAUCUUACCUUUUGAGUCUAUGCGUCUACACUAUACAUCAAUAAGAAGAGCUUAUGAGUGAUAAAGUCUAUAUCAUAGAUGUAUUAUAUUAUAUUUGUAUUUUUUCUAAAAUACUUAUACGUGACUUCACAAGUCUAAGAUUUGAAAUUCGAAUUUCACAAUUGGUAGCUACAAUAAUCUCCUAACAAGACCAUCCUUUCUUGUCUCCAAAGUCUUUUAAGAAUGUGAAAGUUGUUUCUACAAAUCAACAUGCAUUAUAGAAAAAAAUUUCAGCAGGUCACGCAACACAUGAUUGUUCUAAGCUAAACAUACUCAGCUGUGAAGAUUUCAUAUGAUUGAGUAAUUGGAGAAAAAUGUGCACAUUAUUGGUAUGGAUAAUAACUUUCAAUUCUUUUAAGUGUUUGUUUGUUAUAUUUGUAUGUCUUCGUAACUUCUUUCAUUCAUAUGUGAUUUUGAUUUAUUGACAUUUCUUUCUUAAAUUAGGCCAUUACAAUACUUUUGUUUUCAAUUUUUAUAACAUUUUGUAAAAAAACGUGUGGUGGAAAAUUAUACGAGAACAUAAACUUAAAAACAAAAAAUCGAAAUGAAAAUAUAGUUGUAUUUCCUUUUUUUUUUAAAAAAAGAUAGGUGCAUAGAAGAAGAUCUAGAAAUUGAGCCUAAUUUAGACCAUUGUUUUAAAUGUAUUUAAUAUAAUUUGUAUAAACCAUGAAGUUAAUUAGUUGUAUAGUUUCCGUAAUAUUAACUAUCAAAUGUUAUUUAAUUGAUUUGUGGUUUUAGGAUCAACAAUAAUCUUAAUUGGAUGUAUUAAUGAUUUUGCUUAUGUAGUUAGUUAAUAUAUCACAAAUCCCUUAUAAACUUUGUUUUAUUCACAAAAUUAAGAACUAUUCUCUUUUGUUUUAGCUCUCUAACAAAUUAAAAAUUAAAAUAUAUAAUUAAGUAACACAAAUAGACAAACUAAAAAUCAUUUUCUCAUUACCACAUUAAAUACUUAUAUAGUUUAAUAAUUUCAUGACAUAGUUAAUUUUAAUCUAAAUUUUUUUGGAUAAUUUCCAAGCUUAAUUCUAUAGAAAUCUUUCAAUUAUCGUUUUCGGGUUAAAAUUUAUUAUUGAUUCGAUAAACAACAUAAGUUUGUUCAUACAGAAAAAACAUAAAUUGUAUUUAAAUGUAAGAAGUGUCAGACGAGCUAGUUGUCGACAAUGACUUCUAAUUUAUGCAUGAUUUUGUUUGUAUGCAUUGUCUAUAAAUUUUGUAUGGUAUGAUGUUGUUGGCAUGAAUGUGAAGUUGAUGGUGUACAAAUGUGGGGGAAUUACAAGAAUUUUCUUUGUAUUGACUUUUUAUCUUUAUUUCUUUCUACAUAAUGUGUUUGGUUGAAAAGAAAGGUGAAAUAGUACUUUGUUAUUUAAUAAAGCAUUAAAGUUCCAUCAACAGUCAAUACAAAGUCACUUAUACUAGCAAAAUAGGAGAAGAAAAGUAUAUUAAAUGUGGCAAAUUAAACCCCAACUGAAUUUUACUGUGACAUGAAAAUCAAUGCAUCACUUUCAAUUUCAAAUGUGAAAUAUAAUCAAAAGCAAAGGAUAUGAAUUAUGAAUACUUUUAUUAUUAUUAUUAUUAUACUAUAAAUUAAUGAAAGGGUUGUUUGAUUUUAAGAGAGAAUUAAUUAAGUUAAUUGAAGGGACAUCCUUUCCCAAAAAGAUACCCUAAAAAAGCUUUUGAAUCACAUGUUGGAGUGCCAAAAUCUGUUGUAAAGUCCACAGUUCUCUGUCCCAUAAAAUAACACUUUUCUUAUUGAAUAUAUGUAUAUGUAUAUAUAUCCUAAUAAUUAGGUUUAAUUUAACCAUAGAUUGGAUAAUGCAAACAUCUUGUCAAACACUACAGCUUUUCUUUGUCUUCUUAUUAACAAAUAUCUCAUGUUGUUUUCUUUCAGAUCUUCAAUCCAAACCAUUUGUUUCUGUUUUUUUCAAAGGCUACUCAACUCAUAUAGGUUUUUAUUAAAUUAGAGUCUUUGCAUCCAUGGAAUUCGGUUCAAUUGAAUAAUUAUGGUUGUUUAGGGAAACAAAAAAUAGUUAGGAAAGGACUGUUUUGGAAAAAUAUUAGAGAAAUAUGAGUUUUUUUUGGAUUUAUUGGAUUGUAUCUUUCGUUAAAAUAUUAUUUCUCUCUACAAAAAUCUUCACAACCACGACCGUAGAGAAAUAAAUAUAAGAAAACAACUUAAUUUUUCUAAUAUUUCUAAAACAACCCUAAUUAUCCCAUUCAUCCCGAUGAUUAUGAUCAAUGUCAAGGAAUCCCUAAUGUAAUAGUUUUGGUAAUUGUUCAUACAAUUUAGAGCAUAUUUAAUAUAUAUAGAGAGAGUUAUUACAUUGAGUAUAAAUGUAUAUAUAUACUAUAUAAUAAAAUAAAAUAAAUAAUAAUAAAAGGUUUGAACUUGGCCAAGGUUCAACAGAUCGACCUAAAGUACUAUUCUAAGAGUUUAGCUUCAAAUAAAGUUUAAAUCAAACCAAUUGGAUUGAACUUUUGAGUGAUUUGAAUCGUUGUUUUUGGAUCAACCCAUAGUUCUACAAUUUAUUUCAAAAGUUUUGAACAAAUUUUUUGGGUUAUCAUUGUUCCAUUUUUUCAACAGGUUUUGUUCCAGUCUUCAAGUUCAAUUGAAUUUUUUUUUAAAUUUCAUUAUAAGAUGUUAUAACAGAUUUUUAUUUUUAUAGAAGUAAAUAAUUUAGUCAAAUUAGUCCAUUUUUAUUCGACAACAAUUUAGUCUCCAUCUUUAAAUUUAAAAUAACUAAUUUAGUUCUUCAUCCUAAAAAUAUGGUUAAGCUCGUCAAUUUUAAGCGAUGAAAAUAUCAAUAAAAUAUUUAUGUUGAAUUAACAAAUAUUAAAAAAAUUAAUACAUAGACAUUUUAUCCUUUAUAGUUAAUUAAAAUGUCUAAUUAAAGUAUAUUAUAUUUGACACGAUGAGUUAUUAAGAGAGUUGUAAUGUAGUUAAGAUGUUCAAGUAUAUCAAUGAUGAAAGAAAAAAUGAUAAAUUUUUUGUGAUGGAGAGAGAUUGAUUUUAAACAUAGUGUAUGAAUAUAUAUAUAUAAACAAUCAUAAAUUUCUAAAAUAAAAAGAAAAAAUGAUAUUAAACAAUAUGUGUCAUGAUUUGACCCUAGAAUGACCUUUGGACUAGUUGAUGACACAUUUUGUUUCAUAUCUCUACCAACCACUCUUUUUCUAGAACCCUAGUGGAAGUCUAAGCCUCCUCCAAUCUAUCAAAACACAUACACAAAAUAAUGUGAAGUCAAGGUGAAGAAAUCAAUGAGAGUAAUGUGAAAAAGGGAAGAAAACUAUAAUGGAACCUAAGUACAUGGUUGAGAGAGAGACUUAUAGUUUCCACUCAAAUUAGUGCAAAUUGUAUGGCAUUGUGAUGAUGCCAAAAUUUAAGCUCUCUCUAUGAGUGGAAGGUCAAAGGGGAGAAUAUAUAUAAAAGAAAUUUAGUGGAUGUGUUAUUUCUUUGGAUUCUACUUUCAAGUGGUAUCAACCUCACUCUCUAAUGCUUUUGAAAAUCCCAUUUCCCAUAUCUAAUUCUAAUUUCAACCCCAAAUAUAUACCUCAUCAAAACUAUAGAAUAUUUUACCUUUUACAAAUUUCCUUUAAUAAUUUUAGAUUUUAUUUUAACUCUCAAUCCUUGUAUAAUAUUAAAAAUAUGUAUGAUUGAAGAAUCAAAUCUCUAACAUCAAGAUUUAUAUUAUUCAUCAUAUCCCUCUUUAAUUAUGACUUUAUAUGUUGAUGUCAAAAUAUAUGUAUUUAUGUGUUAAAUACAUCUUCUAUGAUAAAUGAUGAAAGAAAUAAAGUUAUAUACAUAUAAGAUAGCCGAUAUGAUUUUACCUUAGUUAAUGAAAAUAACUCGACAAAAAAGACAUUAAUAUCCUAGAUUUUUAAUUUUCUUAAAAGAAAAAGAAAAAGGGAUAUUGGAAAUAAAACUUAACUAGCUAGGAAAAAGAAAAAAGAGUUGAAAAAAAAAGGAGGAAGGGAUGCAUGGGGGUGUGUGUGUAUGUGUGUGUCAAAGGUUGCAUGAUUUGGGGGCAAAAGGCAGCAUUGACUGUAUACAAAUUUUUUGUGAUGGAGAGAGAUUGAUUUUCUUUUUUGUUUGAGGAAAGAGAGAUUGGAAUUUGGUUGAAAUAUAUUUGGUCAAAUCUCACUAGUAUCUACAUGCAUAUGUAUCUCUCACCUUUAGGGCAAUCAUUUUCAAUCCAAAGGUCAAAAUUGAUCAACCUUCCAUUUCCCCCUAAAAUUCUUGAGAAGAUAUUGAGAGCAAUAGAGUCAAAGUUGGAAUAAUCUAUAUUGGUUUUGUGGUUGUAUCUUAUUUUAGAAAAAAAAUACUCUAAUUUUACCCUAGACUGCACAUCUAUUUGUAAUACAGUCAAUUGAGGAAUUGUUCGAUUAUAAUUUGUAAAUAGUACAUUUUUAAUUAAUAUUAGAAUGAGUAUCAACUUAGUUGAAUAUUUUGGAAAUUUUGUUUUAUGUUUGUUUUUUAUUUAACUUUUUUAACCUUGGUACUUAAAUAUAUGUGCAUGUUUUUUUUUUUAAUGUACAAGUACAAGUGGUUAAAAUGAAGUACAUUCAAUAUAUCAAGUUUUCAACCUUCUUUCUAUUUUUAUUCAAAAUAAUAAUUACCAUUGUGAUUCGUCAUGAUUAUGAACACUAUUUUUAUAAUAUAUAUAAGUAAUUUUUGUAGGCACUAAUUAUUAUGGUAGUGACAAACGAAAACCCUCCUACACAAACACAUUGAAUAACAAGAAAAAUCAUCAUCAUCAUAAGAAAAUAUUGAUGUCAAAUCAUAAAAAAAUCUAGUCACAACUUGUUGGAAAGAUGAAAACUUGAUUUUUCUAAAAAAAAAUUAAGUCUUCUUAAUUCCUUUUUCUUUUUUCUUUUUUUACAAUUUGAUUUAGCCCACUUACAUAUAUUUCUUGAUAUUGAUGUAUUUUGAGGUUGAAAACCUAAUUGAAGUGUUUUUCUUUCCAUAAUUUAAUUGAAUUUUUAUAGAAAAUAACUAAUGGAAACUAGGAAAGGAUUUGAAUUGACUCCAACAAUUUUGUUGCACCAUUAGAAAUGGAAAUUUUGAUUAGGUUGACUACAUUUUCCUCCACAAAAUUAAAUUUAUAUGUAAUAUUUGUCAUUGAUAAGAGAGAAAAGAAAAAGAUUUAAGAAAAAAUGUUUGAUGGGAUUCUCAUUCAUUUCCCAUUUGUAGAAUUGUCUUUUCCAUUUCCAUUAACAUUACAUCUAAUUACCAACUCACCCUAAUUUUAGCAUCACAGAGAACAAAUAAUAAUAAUAAUGAUGAUGGAGAGAGAGAAAUAAUAUAUAAAUAGGGAAAAAUAGAGGAACAAAGCAACAAUCAUAAUGGAGACAGAGAUAAAUGGGAGAGACGUAAGAGAAUCAAUAAUCUUUAGUCAAUAGUCAAUAAAAUCUUAUGAUUGUAACCAAUUAACAGACAUCAUCUAGUUGGUAAGAAGCUUAACCUAAUAAAAUAUCAAAAUCUGUCUUCUCCUCUUCUUCUUCUUCUUCUUCUUCUUUUCUUUUAAUAAUAACAAUACCAUUUUUUUUUAUCAAGAACAAACAACACAUAUACUUCUCAAUUGAUUGUGUGUGUGUAUAUAUAUAUGCAACUGUUAAUGUGAUUGAUAGCAUUCAACCCAUUUAUCAACAGUCACACACAUAUGCAUUGGGCUAUACUGCCUAGCUAGCUAACACCCCUCAAAUGUAUAAUUUAUUCCCUAAUCCAUUUGUUUCUAAAUCUUUAAAUUAAUAUUUUCAUGUUUAAGAUUUGUAGUUGUUAUUAGUUAUUUAAUCUUAAUGUUUCAAAAAGUGGCAUAUAUAUAACCCUAUUUUAGCUUUUUAAUGAUUGUUUCCUUAGAUCAACAAAUGACCUUUAAUAUUUAACGAACAAUUUAAAUCAAAUUCAAACUCUAAAGAUCAAACGAUCAUUUGGAACGUUAGUGGAUCAAAUAAAGAAGAGCUAAAAAAAUAUUUUUUUAAUAAGUCUCGCUCUUAGUUUUUUAUAUUUGAAUAUUUUUUGUUGUUUUCAUUUUUAACAAUUUCAUAUUGUUAUUUGGUUCUUAAUUCAACACGCAUUCUAAUACUCUUACGGUUUACAAUAAUCUUGUCAAUUUCUCAAACAUUCCCUAAGUUCUUAUUAAGAUUAAAAAUGAUUAAUCUAAACAUAUAAAUUCAAUUAUAAAGAUAAUUGACAUGCAUAUAUAUAUAUUUUAAAGCUUGAAAGUUAAAAUCUCUUAUCUAUGUUUCCUCUACUAAAAACGUAUUAAUUUUGAGUAUUUUUUUUAAUGAAAAAAUUACAUAUAACUGAAAGAUUAUAGAGAAUCGAAACGGUAACUCGUGAUAGGUAAUUCUACAAACUAAAUUUGCGAAGACUUGGAUGUGUGGUCAUGAUAAGCUAGAUCAUAAACUACAUACACGAUUAGUAAAAAAAAUGUUGGACAAUCAAACCUCCACUUUAAAGAUAUGAGCAUUUCAUUAAAUGAAUCAACUUUUUCAGAGCAGAGGUUUACAAAGUCGCUUAAAUAUGUGUCUUUGUCCAUUAAGCGACUUCAAAGAAUCAAAGACGGAAAGUCUAUUUGGGUUGACUAUAAAAAAAAAUCUUUUUAAAUUACUUUAGUUUAAACUCAUUUUUAAAUAACUAUUUCAAAAGUUAUUUUUGUAGUUGCUAAAAUUUUUAAUUUUUCUUCCAAAUAACUUAUCUUCAAAAAGAAAUAUUUAAAAAGUUAAACCAAACAUAUUAUCUAUUUGAUACCAACGAGUUAUGAAUUCUACCAUGAAACGUUAUUGCCUCAACAUACUCACUAGAGUUCAUUUUCUACUUUAGCUAACUAAAAAAAAGAAGAAAAGAAUAAGGAAAAAACUCAUUUCUUAAGUAGGGAUAGAUAAUAUGGGUGUGUGUUUAGGAAAUUAAAUGUUAUAUUUGUUUAUAACUAUUUUAGGAGAAGUUCUUUUUAACAUGAUCUAGCUAUAGUACUAACAAUUUCAUUUAUAUACAAAUAUAUACACAUUUGAAGUUAACAUACAAAAUAUAUAUAUAUAUAUAUAUAUAUAUGAUAUAUGUAUUAUUUUAAUAGUUUUUAAUAGGUUAAAUAACGUAAAUUUCAAAUAAUAAUAAUAAUAAAAGAUUGAAAGUUACGAAUAGACAAAAUAGUAAAGAAACAUGAUUUAAUUCACCUUUAACAUUAGCACAUUACACAUGCAUAGCAUAUAUAUUAUGGUUCUCUUUGUUUAUAAAUUGUAAUUUAUAAUGUGAUUUGGUUACCAUUUUUUUGUAAAUUAGGUUUUUUCUACAAAAGCUUUGGAGAUAAGGAGAUCAUUGAUCAUAUCCAUUUUCAUUGAGCUAAUUAAUUAAGCUCGUUCUUGAAGUUCAAGAAAAAUAUUAAAAUUUGAAUUUUAUCUAAAAAUAGAGUUUUCUUUUCUUUUUUUUUUCAAUCUAAAAUUGAAAUACUUAGAUAUAUAUAUAUAUAGAGAGAGAUAUUUGAUCCGACAGAAAUUAGAGGAAUGGAAAUUGCAUCCUCCAUUGUUGUGGGGACGAUUCCUGAUUAAGUUUCGUUGAAGUAAUGAUAUAUGUUUGGACAAUUUCAUUAUUAAAUUACAAUCUUGGAGACAUUCAAAAUCAUUACAUUUUUCCAAUAAUAUCAUAUUUAUGGCUAAUAAUCAUCCUCACUCCCUUGAUUGAUUCUUUUUCAAAAAAUUUAAAUCUUUCCAGGAUUGAUUAACUAUGCUUAAUUUAAUGACCAUAUUUAAAUUUAUGUCAUAUUCUAGUUUUAUGUUCUUUUUUAACAAAAAAAGUUAUUAAUAAUAGUUGUUUAGAAUUUAAGUAAUAAAAUUCAGAAAUAGAUCAUAAAUGAAAUAAAAUGGCCAUGUAUAUGCAUGAUUGUUCUUUAUCUUUCUGUUUUGGUAUUAUUUCUUAAUUAAAAACAUUAUAUCACAAAAGAAAAAAAGAACAAAUAGUUUCUUUAGUGCAAUGCUACCAAAUAAGUUACCUCAUUUUUGUAAUAAACAAAUAAAUAUAAACUUAAUUCAAAUCAAAUAGUAUAGAAUGCAUAUUGGGUUUAUGAAUCUCCACUCCAAUAUUUUGCUCCAAACUUUUUACAAUGAAAUGAUUUUUUUAAAAGAGAUGAAAAACAAAUAAACUUUUUAUAAAAAAAAUCUAUGUGGAUGUAUGACAAAUAGAUGCCCUCAACAAUGUCCAUUAUUUGUAUCUUUCUUUGUGGUUGAUUCCAUGACCAUUCAAUAUAGAAAUGUAAAGUAUUAAUGUAUACACCUAAACAAUUAUCCCAUUUAAACCUUAAACUUUAGUCUUUUGAAUGUUCGUGUAAUGAAAUAGAGAGUGUAUAUAUUAAUGUUAUUGGAUGAUUUUUAAAGAUAGAACAUAAUUAAUUAUUUAACUUGAUUGAUAUAUUUGAGUUUAAACAAAUUAUAACGUUCACAUAGCAUUGAUAGAAUGAAAGAGUGUAAAUAUUAGUUUCAAUGAUUAAAAUAUACAACUAUUGGUACAAGUUUUAAUUGAUACAACCAAAUUUGGAGAUAUAAAUUUUAUUUAUUUUGCAAGUGAUAAUUUAAAAGUAAGGAGAUGACUCGAAAAAGAUUAGUUUGGUAUGUGGUUUGAAUUUUGUUUCCUCCUCUGUUUUUAUAUAUAUAUAGAAGAAAAUUUACCAUUUUUGGUUUCCAAUUUUUCAUAAAUAUAUGAGCUAGUUUUUAAAAUAUUUUUGAAACCUUAUUUAAAAAAUUUAAAGAUUAAAAAUAUACAUUUAUUAAGAACUCAAAAAUCGAAUAAAUCUAUUCUUAUAUAUACAAUGACUAAAACUAUAUAUUUUUAAAAACUUACCGAAAACACACAUAUUCUUUAAAUCUUGAGAAUUGAAAAGAUCAUUUUUCUAUAUAUAUAUUAAGAAGAAUGAAAUUUUUAGUAAAUUUGACAAAAUAUUUACGACCUAUAACAAAUUAUAGUCUAUAAAAGACCAUUGUUGAUAGAAAGAAUAAAAAAGGUUUUAAUAUCGAUACGUUCUACAUUAUUUUAAAAAGCAUGUUGACGUGACACACAAUAAAUAGAAAGAAUAUGAAAAGAUUUUAACUCUCACGUUAUAUUUGAAAAUAUUUUGGGACUAUACAAAAAAAAUCAAAUAUCUUUAAUUAUGCUAAAUUGAUAUUUUCGAGUGAAUUUAUUUGUAUUUUGAACGUUUUCUAAAUUGUUACAAAUAUAAAUAUAUACAUCUCAAUCUAAACUAUAUAUAUUAUAACGUAGGUCAAUUUGGAGGUGUUAAAAGAAGUUGAGUGGAUAUUAAUAAUUUCUACAACCAUGAAAGCUUCGGUGUGUGUGUGUCUAUAUAUAUAUAUAUGUGAAAACUUUCAUAUAUUAUGAAAAUGUGUGUAACUUUGGAUAUGAUAUGAAAUGUAAAUAUCCAUAAAACUUUAGUAUGCAGUAUGUCCCAUUAAUUUUUACUUCUUGAGGACCCACCCACUGCUUCAUGAAAUAAAAUACAAAAAAAAUCUGUCUGUGUGCAGUUUUUUACUGUACAACCCACUCCCAUCCCAUGCCAUUUUACUAUGUAGUAUGCCAUUUUCUUUUUAAUCUUUUGGUAAAAGAAAAUUACAUCAUUUCAAUGGGCUCCAAGAGUUACUACCCCUCAUUCUCAUCUGAAUUCUUUUUAAGUCUCUUCAAAAGGCAAGUGUUGGGGAAAUGACAGUCAAUAUCAUGUAUAUGUACUCAAAUUUGAAGACAAAAUCCCCACUCAGUCGUUUAAUCUUUUAUGUCUCUUAUAUUUGGUGCUGGAGAUGUUCAUUUAACUUGAAUUCCAUGGAAAAUGAGAAAGAAAGAAUGAAAAAAAUUUCUUCAUAUUGCUAAACCAGGAGGGAAGCUAGCUUCACCCCUUGUCACAUUUUUUCAUUUAUUACGAUUGUAUCAUUAUUGUCGUGUUAUACUAUUAUACAAAAGUUAUAUUUAAAUUUAAAGUUUUAUUGUUUGGAUGGUUUAAUUUGAUCAAAAUUAUGAAGUUACUUUUGAAACGAAGGUACGAUGAGAACGUCAAUAACAUGUCAAUCUAGUUGAGAUAUUAGAAUAUGUCUUCUCAUCUCAUGUCUCACUCUUAUACAUUUAUUAAAAAAACAAAAAUAUCAAAAUUAUGAAUAUAUUUGAAUUGAUCAACGGUUUUAUAGAUUGGUAUUUGAUAUACGUGAUUAUUUUCUAGUACUAAAACGUUUGGGCUACUUUUUUUAGUUCAAAUUGUCAACAAAGCAUCAAUCAUAUAAAAAAUAGUGAUAGAUUUAACUAAUUAACUCGAAUGUUUUCAAUGUAGUUGUUAUUUAAUUACCAAAAAUCUAGAAUGUAAGUUUUUCCAAAAGCCUUAUUGUGAAAAUUUACAUUUUCUUGAAUGAUAUUGUUACGAUAAUAUUACCGUCAAUUACGUGUUACUAACUUUUUAGAUCACUUGAAAGGUUCUAAAUUUCACCGGUUUUAUUUUUUAAGAUUAUUUUUUUAUUUUUUUAUUUGAUUAAUUGAACAUACUUAAAAAUUUUAAAUAAUCAAAUAUUCAAAUAAAAAAAUCCUUCUUGAUAAGUAUCUUAAAUAAAAUUGACCAUUUUAUCCGUCAAAGAUGAAAAAUGAAAAUGAUUAAAUGGGUGAAUAAAGAAUUCCACAUCUUUUGCAAAUAGUUUUAGAUGUUUUAUAUAUUUUUUUUUCUAAAAAAGAAUAAAAUUUAAACAAGCUUACUUUAGCAAUAUAUGUCUUAUAUCUUCAUCAUAUAUAUUUGGCAUUUGGCCUUCUGUUUUUUAGCUUUUCCAUGAAUCUUAAUUAGACCAUAUAUCAUUCAAAAUUAAAAUUAAGAAUAUAUAAUAACACCCCUAAUUACACAGUGUAGGAUGCCUAAUGUUUGAUACUCAACUUCAAUGCAUUUUUAUAUAAUAUUAUGCACAAUGGUAGAAUUUUUCAGUCCCUUCAAUAGACUUCAUAUUCAGAUUCUUUUCCAACCUAAAAAUAAAAUUUUGAUUUUGUAUUCCAUAAAUUUAUGAAUUCAAUUUUAGUAGGUCAUUAGCUAUUUAAAAUUCAUCAAUCUACUACACACAAAAUUGAAAGUUUAAAUUUCAUUACACAUAUAUAAAAUUCAUCGGUUAAGAAAAAAAAAACAUACAUUUUUUAAAACUACUAAAUAUUUUUAAAGUUCAAGAAUGAUGUAGCUAACACAAAAUUAAAAGCUUAAAACAAAAUUUGUAAUUAAAUUAAAAUUUUAAAUCAUAUUUUUUUGUACUUUAAAGAAAAAGUUCUCAAUUUGUCAUCGUCUAAAAUAACGUUGUCAUUUACUUAAAUAACGAAAAACGAUCAAGUCAACAAUUUCAAUUAUCCCUUAAAUGGCCAAAAGCAAACAUGUGCCUAACUAAGGACUCACUCCAAAUGGCACAAACUCACUUCAAUUAAUCCUUAAAAGCCAAAAGAAAUGUGCCUAACCCAAUUAAACUUACCCUUAAAGGCUAAAAAAGAGUGCCCAUCUCAUCCAAGUUAACUCUUAAAUUUAAGAUUUAUUAGAUAUUGGAGAAAUGAGUUUCAAUAUUUAUUAAAAAUAUUGAGAUAAAAAUUUGGACAAUUAAAAAGCAUCUCCAUGAAAAUAAACAAAAUUUAAAGUAUGAAUUCAAGUAAUUUUUGUAAAUAUACAUUUUUUAUACACACUUUAAUAUUUAAAAUUUUAAAAUAUCUAUUUUAAUUCUUUCACAAAUCUUUAUUAAAGAUAAUUUUUUUUAUACCCAAUACUCAUAUCAUAUCUUAGGGAACCCAUUAUAUAACUAUUUAAAAUACACUGCAAAAACAAAAUUUGAAUAGUUGUCAAACAUUCUAAUUUUUCUUUCUUUCACCCUUAGAUCGAAAGUGAUUCCAAACAUGUUCGAAACUUUAUUUUUUAAAUUACAAAGAAUAAAAAAAAAGAAAUUAAUCGUCCAAAUUUUGAAUACAACCAAACAAACGGUCCAAAAAAAAAAGAGAUGCAAUAAACCUCUAGAGAUUUUCUUCUUUUUUUUCAUAUGUUUUUUGUUUUUUCUAAGAAUUAUUGGCUGAGAAGAAAAAAUUGUUCAAAGAGACAGCCUCAGUCUGAAUACAAAAGUAUGUUUUAUUAUUCUCUGCUUCGAAAGUGCUAUAAAAACUUUUCCAUUGCAUGAGUUUUUACUAUUUUUUAAAAUGAAAAUAUAUGUGCAUCGUUUAUUAAUUAAAUAUUAUUGAAAUGCAUUCUAAACAACACUCAUUUUUAACCCUAUUUGAUCAUGAAGUCAUGCAUAGUUAGACGUAUCACAAAUGGAUCUUUUCUUUCUCCUUUUUAAUAUUUUUUACUGCAAUAAUUGUAAGUAAUUACUGUUGAUACGUUAAGUUUAUGUUUGUUCUUUAUUUAUGUGUAACAAUUUUGCAUGCUAACCUCCAGUUAUAUGAGUUUCUAUGUUUGAUUUAGUUAAAAGGUUUACUGUUUAAGUUCAUUUAAACACAUGUUUCAUUCUUAAAUCUAUUUGUUUGUUUUAAAUUGGGCUCUUAAGAUUUUAAAUUAAAGUUAUUGUUUUCAACAUAACUUUUCAUUGUAAAUUAUUUUAAUGAUUUAUUAUUAUUUUCAUUAUAUAAUCAACAACAAUCUAAACUUGUUUUGAAAAUUGAAAAGUUGUCCCAUUUCAUGUGCUCAACUAUUCGUCUUUGUAUAGAAACUUUUCUUUAAUCUUUUUGAAGACAUCAUCAAAUUCAAAUUCAUUAAGCUGCCAAAGAACUCUACUCACGUUACUUAAUUAAACACUCAAAUUUAAAAAAGAAAUGAUAAUCACAAAUUAGUUUAACAAAAACUAUGCUAUCAUAACAACUCAAGCCUCAUCUUGGAAACAUAUAUACAGUUGAUAAUAUGAUAGUCUAACCAAACAAUACUAUCCAUCAAACCUUCAACUUUGAAGAAUGGAAUAAAGACCUUAUCCAUUGAAACCCAUGUCGGUGUUUAAGAGGUGUAAAGGAAGUAAAGAGAUAUGGUGUGUGUUGUGGGCAGUGGGAGUAAAUAACAGAAAACACAGGGGGGGUAUUGUGGAAGAAGUUGGGUAAUAUAGAAAAGUAAUGUUAGAGGUAGAGAGGGAGAGGAAGUUGGUGUACAAGUAAAAUGCACUAAUUAAAACAGGUGAAGAGAGAGAGAGAGAGAGAGAAUAAAAAGAAAAGAAGAGGGGGGAGAGGGAGAGAGAGUGAAAAGACAAGUCAAAUGUCAAAUCUAUGGUCUUUGAUAUCAUAAGACAGUCAGUGGGAUGUGCUGUCAAUCCAAUGGAUUUCAUUUCAUUUCAUUUCCUCCUUCCUUCCUUACUUCCUUCCUUUCUAUCAAAACAAUACUAAAAAAUAAAAAUUCCUUCAGUUUUGGAGAGGGCAAAAUAACAGUCUUCUUUUUUCACUACUACUAAAGUUUCAAUGUUUUCAUCUGUAUUUUCUUCAUGUUUUUGUGGGUUCGGUCUUGAUGUGAAAACUGAAUUCUCAUAUAAAUCUAAAGAUGAAACACCAAAACAAACUAAGCAAUAAUGUGAAUAUAAUACUUUAUUACAAAUAACACAUAGCUAUAAUUCAUAAAUAUGAAUAUUUAUUGGAUUCUACUUAUAGAAUUAUUAUUUGUUUACUAAUUUAAAUAAUUUUAUGAGUUUUUUUUAUUCUAUAGUUCUUUUCUCAACACAUUUGAUAUUUUUAUAAUUAAAAUUUUUAUAUGACAAUUAAUAAUAAGUGAAGUAGGUAAAUAUAUAUAUAUAUUAAGAAAAAGAGUAAAUCCAAACCUUCUGAAAAUAUAUUUAUUGUAUUUAAAAAACAUUUGCACGUGCCAAAGAAGUUCCCACGUGCACAUUUUCCUCUUUCAAAAUGAAAUUAAAAUCCAUAGGACCCAUCCAACACUCUUCUCCAUGUCCUUUUUUUUUUAAAAAAAAAUUAUUAUUAUUAUUAUUUCCCACUUUAUUUUUUCUUUUUUCUUUUUAGUAAAAGAAAAAAGUUUCACCCAUUAUAUUUGAAUCAAUAAGAUAAAGUAAUGUUCUUUUUUCAAAAUUUGGCUUCACUCAAUUUCAAAACUUAUAUAUAACGAUUCUAUUUUUGUAAAUUCGAAGGAAAACAAUAAUACCAACAAACGUAUAUACACUAAUAUUAAUACCUACAUCGUUUAAAUUUUUUUAAAUUAGUUUCUAAAAAAAUAUAUAAAACAAUUUAGACCAUUUAUUUUUCUUCAAAAUCAUUCAAAUAAGAUUAAUCUUCUCCAAAAUAAAGAGAAAAAGACAAACGGGAUGAAAAUUGCUCGUAUUUAAUCAAAAUUAACUUACAUUAGGGUUUUUUUUUUAUAUUAUUAUUAUACUUUGAAGCAUUAAUAAAUAUUAUCUCUAAACUUUAGGAUCUUACAAUUUUUAUGUUAUGUAAAACAUAAUGUGAUCAUUAUAAAUCCAUUAAUAUCACUAUUGAAACAUAUAUUAUCAUUUCAUACUAUCUUUAACAACUAAUUCCUAAUUCCUACAGACUACCGACUUUAGAUUCCAGCUAUAUAGUAGAAUUGGAAAUCACUUUGUAAUAAAUUUUGUUAUUUUCAAUUUUUUUAAAGAUUGAUUAUUUUAAAAAAGAAAAAAAAUGAUGAUUACCAUUUAAUAUUGUUAAUCUAGCUAGAACAAACAAAAACAUAACAUUCAAAAUCAUAGUAUAAAAUUAUAAAUGGUAAAGAAAAUGUAAUUUUUAAUAGUAGGUUUUUUCUUUUUUUAGGAAAACAGUAAGUCUAUUUUAGUUACUAUUUCUCGAAUACAAUAAUUUAGUAUUUCUUUAUCCUAACACUACACCAAUUAUUAAGCCUAAGGUUGGAUGUUAUCAAAUUAUACUAAUUUGUUUCCUACAUUAGAAUGAAUUUUUUAAAGCUGUAUUUUCAACUAAAAGUUGCAAAUAUUUAAAAAGUAAUUUUUUUUUAAAAAAAAAAACUCAUGAUUGAAAUCAUCAUAUCUUACAGAUUUUAGUCCCAGCCAUUAGUUAUAUUUGCUGCCAUCAUUUAGCAGUAAUUUUUUUUUAAGAAAAAAGAAGUUUGUAGUAUAAGCCAUAUUGAGGUUAAGACAUUUCCAUCAAAGCAAGUCAACCCACUAAUUAUUUCAAUAAUACCCUGAAUAUAUAAUUGGAGAUCAUAGGUUUACAUCAUCACCCAUUUGAAAAUGUUAAAGAGUAAAUAUUUUAUUUCAUUAUGGGGAUUUAUUAAUGAAGAAGGUUAGGGACUGAAAUACAAAGUUACAUAUAGCAGUCUAAACUAAAGAAAAAAGGCAAAGGGGGAAAAGUAUUAAGCCAUAAAAGAAACACUUUAAAAGCAAAAGUAUAGCUAGCCAGAGAAUGGACGACAAAAUUACAAAUUGUGGAAGGGAGGAAUGAGAUAACGAAAAGGAAAGAAAGCAUGUCUAGAGAUGCUCCACCCUUGUUUAGCCAAAACACUGAUUUUGAGAUUUUGUACGACUCUAAUAGGGUUUAGUGUUAAUGAAGAAGAGAUGGUGACAUACAAAUUGUCCACGUAUAUUCAAAAACUUAAGUUGGUAGGUGGAGACGAAUUUGAUUAUAUAUAUAUAUGUGCUCAAUUAUGAAUGAUGAUUCAACUUGUUCUAUAGAAAACAUGUACAGAAUGGUUGAAAAAUGGUAAGAAAUAUAACAUGAUUUUACUUUUUAAAUAGGAUUGACAUCUCUGUUAUAUUUAAUAAGAAAAAAGGAGGAUUCAUUUAAAAACAAAAAACAAAUUGUUUGUUUAUUAAUUAAAUCCGCAAUAUAAUAGGGAUGUACAGCCGCCCAAAAGAGCCAUCCAUUUUCCAAUUCUCUCAUUCUCUCCAAAAACAAAACACAACCACACAAACAACUUCUCUCAAAGAUUCCAACCUUCCCCCUCUCCAGAAAAAGAUAAAAAAGAAAAACCAGAUGAAAUUCAAAACCCUUUUUCUUCUUGAUCUUAACAAGAAGAGAAACUAACGAAUUUCCAGUAGCGCCCGCGCCACUGUCGCGAUGAGCCAUCUCGAAGACUCUCUAAGAUCCCUUUCUUUAGACUAUCUUAAUCUUCUAAUCAACGGUCAAGCCUUUAGCGACGUGACGUUCAGCGUCGAGGGGCGUCUUGUCCACGCGCACCGAUGCAUCUUGGCGGCUAGGAGUUUGUUUUUCAGAAAAUUCUUUUGUGGGACGACGACGGAGGCGGGUGCGUCAUCCGGGUUGAGCCCGGUUGGAUCGCCGUCUCCGUCGACAGGGAGUAGUAGUACACAAGUGAUUCCAGUAAAUUCGGUGGGGUAUGAAGUGUUUUUGUUGUUGUUGCAAUUUUUGUAUAGUGGACAAGUUUCUAUUGUGCCACAGAAACAAGAACCAAGGCCUAAUUGUGGUGAUAGAGCUUGUUGGCAUACACAUUGUACCUCCGCCGUUGAUCUUGCCCUUCAUACUCUCUCCGCCGCUAGAUCCUUUGGCGUUGAACAGCUCGCAUUACUUACUCAGGUCAGCUCUCUCUCUCUCUCUCUCUCUUUUGGGUUUUUGAUUUCUUAUUAUCCCAUGUGGGUAUUUGAAUUUUUUUUAUGUUGAUGAACUUGUGGAAUUUUUUGAAACUUUUUACCUGAAAAACUAUGUUGAUGAAUUUGUGGAGUUUUUUCUAGGUCUCUUUUAAGUAAUAUGUAUAAUUUCUUUGUUUAAGAAAACACUUUCUAAAUUGAGUUUUUUUUUAAGAGGGUCUAUAUAUUAUGGAUUCAUUUAUACUCAUAUUUUUUGAAAAUUCACUUUCCUCAUUUGGGUUUUUGUUGGAAAUGAAAAUUUUUGAUUAGAAGCUACUCAAUCUAAUUUUUUUAAUGAAUUAAGAUUUUUUUUAUAAUAGGAAAGGGGAAAUAUUAUUCUUUUUAUUAUAGCAUUAUGUGUUUUUAUUUUGGUGUUUGGAUUUUUUUCUCUAUUAUUUGAUUUACUUUUUUGUUUAUUUAUGCAGAAGCAAUUGGCAAGUAUGGUGGAGAAAGCUUCCAUUGAAGAUGUAAUGAAGGUUUUAUUAGCUUCAAGAAAACAAGACAUGCAUCAACUUUGGUCCACUUGUUCUCAUCUUGUAGCUAAAUCCGGUCUCCCACCCGAGGUACUUGCCAAACACCUUCCGAUCGAUAUCGUAGCGAAGAUAGAAGAACUUCGCAUAAAGUCUUCUUUAGCGCGUCGUUCUCUAAUGCCUCAUCACCACCACCACCACCAUCACGAUCUUUCGGUUGCUGCCGACCUCGAAGACCAAAAGAUUCGUCGUAUGAGGAGGGCUUUAGACUCCUCCGACGUUGAGCUUGUUAAACUGAUGGUGAUGGGUGAAGGUUUGAAUCUUGAUGAAGCUUUAGCCUUACAUUAUGCUGUUGAGAAUUGUAGCCGUGAAGUUGUUAAGGCUUUGCUUGAGCUCGGUGCCGCUGAUGUUAACUACCCUGCUGGCCCGGCGGGGAAAACCCCACUUCACAUGGCGGCGGAAAUGGUUUCGCCCGACAUGGUUGCUGUGCUACUUGACCACCAUGCUGACCCAAAUGUCCGAACCGUCGAUGGUGUCACACCAUUGGAUAUCUUAAGAACCCUAACUUCAGAUUUUCUCUUCAAAGGUGCGGUCCCGGGAUUAACCCACAUCGAACCAAACAAGCUCAGGCUCUGCCUCGAGCUUGUCCAAUCCGCUGCAUUGGUUCUCUCUCGCGAAGAAGAAAAUGCCAACGCCAACGCCAACGUCAACGUUUCAUCAUCUCCAAUUUACCCACCGAUGAGUGAGGAUCAUAGCAGUAGUAGCAGCAACAACAACAAUAUUGGUAAUCUCAAUCUCGAUUCGAGAUUGGUUUACCUAAAUCUCGGGGCAUCGGGACGAAUGGGAGGUUCUAGAGUGGACGGAGAAGAUGACAACAGACAUGGAUCACAAGGAGGAGGAGGAUGUAUCCCAACAAUGUACCACCAUUCCCAUGACUUUCGAUGAAAAUUAAGCAUAACAUCAAAAUCUCUUAUUAUAUAAAAAUUUCACAAAACAUCAUCAUCUAAAUUAGAAUUCAAAAGGGGGUUAAAAAUGUUGAUUGAAAAAGGUAACCAAGAUCAUCAGCUAGGCUUUCUUGGGAAUCAAAUUAUCAUUGGAUCAAUUAUAUGUUUACAAUAUGUCAGCUUUGUUUAUUUUUUUAAAAUUUAUCUUCAAUUAAUUCAGUUUUUUUACCUCUCUUUUUCUCUAUAUGCCUUGUAUGUUUUUUUCUUUUUUUCUUUUGUAGGGAUCUUGAGUUGAAGUGAUGAAGGUAUGAAGUAAGAGAAGUACUCAAAAAUUGUGAGAAAUCAAAUGAGAUGAGACAAGAGAAAGAAUCUGACAUUAAAUUUCCCUUUAAAAAAUUUCUUUCUGCUUCUUCUGAUUGGAACACAGUCUCUCAGGUCAAUCUUUUCAAACCCUUUUGGUCUUUUUUUUCAUAUACUUCUAAUUCCUAUUAAUUAAUAUAUCUUUUCUACCCUAAAUUCUAUAUAUAUAUACACAAUAAUACGAUAAUAUAAUAUUCAUUUCAAACUUAUCAUAAUGAAAAACUUUUGUGGGUUCUAAUAAUAAUAACAAUAAAUUAAAACUAUAGUCUAAUUAGUUUAUAUCAUUUUGGGCCCUUUGUUAUUUCAUUUUCCCACUUCUUAAUAUUAUUGUGUCCCCCACCUGCCCUCCAUAAUGCAAAUUAGUGAAUGCAAUAACUUUUGGUUUUAUAUGCAAUGGGAUCUCUCUAUUAUAUCCUAACUUCUUCUUCUCAUGUAUCUCAUUAAUAUUUCUAGAAAGAAAUGUAUUUAAUCGUACUUAUUUUUGUACAUAUCAUUUAGACUAUUUGUCACGUAACAAAUUUUUUUUAUAUUUAUAAUUAAAGUAGGAAGAUGUUCCUCUUAUAACUUUUUUUUUAAUCUUAGAUUCAUGAACUGAGAUUAGGAAAGGAAGCUUAGAAGAAGAGAAGAGAAAUGGGAAUGGGGAAAGAAUAAUAUUUCUCCCAAUAUAAACUUUUUACUACUGCCCAUUCCAAGCUAUAUAUUGGUUGAUAUAUCAAAUUUAUCAUGGGUAGCUUUAUUUUUUUCAAUUGAAGGAUUAUUAUAUUUUAAUUUACUUUGGUGUAUAGUUUGAUUUUAGUUUAUUUAGAUUAUUGAUAGACAAGUAUAUCUAAUAUCAAUUAAUUAUUGAUUGAUUAGUAUAUAAUUGAUUCCAACUAGACAUACAAAAAAAUUAGGAAGUUCAUAUUUCAAUUCAAUUAGGUUUAGUUUUACAUUAUUUGAUCAAAUAUUUUCUUUCUAGAAAAACAUUACAUUAUAAAAUUAAAAAUGUCACUUCUUGUCAAAAUUUUGGCACAUAUGUCUAGAUAAGAUAGGGGAUAUUGACUAAAAGGUUUUUGCUUUUCAAACUUUUUGAGAGAUGGAUUUAUUUGAUUUUUGGUUAGUUGAUCAUAUUGAUUAAUUAAACAUCAUCUAUAUAUUGGGUUAUGGAAAAACUCAAUUUGGGUAUGACCUUGACUAAUAAAAAAAUUAAUUUUGUGGUGAAAAGAGAAGAGAAGUUGUGGCUGUCAUGCAUGAGUGCAACAUUGAAUGUGGCCCAAAACAUUGAUUGAAGUUAUUAAAUAUAUCUAAAGAUGGAUUCUCUUCUUCCUCUAAAUACUCUAUUCUGUCCCCUUUUCUUUUCUUUUUUUUUUCUCUUUCCUUAUUUGGGAUUGGUUUGAAUUUCAAAACCCUAACCUACCUCUUUGUUUCUCUUUUUAUUAUUACAUGUUAUGUUAAGGUUUUGUUUGGUUGUUGUUUUAAUUAAUGUAUUGUGUGUGUUCUUUAAGAAUUUAUUGACCCCAAAAAUUACACCAUAUAAUUUGCUGCCAACCCAUGUAAGUUUUUCUACCCUCUUUAGUCCUUUGUAAAUACCAAAAGUACUUUUGGGAGAUUUAAUUGCUUUGGUGAGAGCAUUUAACUAGGGAGGAAAUUAAAAUGAAGAUAGUUUUAAUUUGGUUAUUUAAUGUUUUAGGAUUAUUGUAAUUCAAUCAUGUGGAGUGAGGAUUUGAUAGUUCCUCUAUUCAGUUAUAUAGUCAACUUUGAUUUGCAUGUUUGGUUGUCGAUAAAGUGUUUUGGUUAUUGUAUUUUUCGAAAUGGCUCGAGUGAAAUUAAUGAUUUCAAGAUGUCUCGAUACUUGGAGGAGUUACUUAUGUGUUACUCAAGUUAUGUUUAGGUCAAUUUUGUUUUAUGUUUUUGUUAUAAUAGAUAUGUAAAAUAGACGUUCGUAAGGACCAUUCUAGUCAAUUAUGCAUGUUCAUUGUUACUACUUUGAGUUAUUUGGUAAUUAUACUACUUUUACUAUUUAUCAAAAGCUCGUACGUAUAUCGCUCAAAAGCUUAUGCGCUACCUAUUAGACACUUUUAAAAUGACUAACUAAUGUUGGAUUGCAGGGUUUGUAUACCUUCUGGGUUGUUUGAGAGAAGGAUCAAAAUUGGGUGUUUCUCUCAUCCCUUUAUAAGUUAGUGUUAAAUAAUUUUCACUUUCAAUUCGUACAUUUAUCCAUUAACAUCGUCUUUCCUACCUUCUUUCUUCCUAUUUUCCUAACUUUAAGACUAUGUAAUAACUCUCCACGCACCAUUAAAAUUCACUUGAUCAAUGUAUUCUAACAGCCCCAAAAGACAUUAACUCAUUUCCACUAUGAUUAGUUAGAUAAGUCAUAAGUGGUAAAAUUUCGAAAGACGUGCUUAAAACAAAUGGGCAAGGCAAAAAGAAAAUGGUACACUAAUUGUAUAGUCUUGGAAUGUAAAUAAAAGAGGGAAAAUAUUCUUUUUUUUCUUGUGUUUUAAUUCCAGUUACUAUUUGAUUCUUAGGUUUGUAAUGUAUUUUUGGUAUUACGUUUUAAGUUUUGAGUUGUAUUUCAAAUUAAUUCUUAAAUUUUAACAUGGUUACAAUUUUAUAUUUGGGAGGUUUGAGUUUUAUUUUUUUUAAUUUGAUACGAAAGUUUCAGCUUCUUUUACUUUCAAAGUCAUAUUUAUCCAACUUCAACAAUAUUUGAUAUACAUAUACACUUUUCUUCGAAGUAAGCUCAUAUUAGUUGUACUUUAAGAACAAAAUUAGUCACUCUAAGUAUAACUUAGUGGAAAAAAAAUACUAAUAUCAAUUUUUACAAACCUCAACGGUUUGAUUGUACACACUACAAUUAUUGAAUCGAGACAUCGACAUUUUAAAUUAAGGUCAUUUACGUUGUAUUGUAUGUAUACAAUACAUAAGAAUGGACUAGGAGUUUAGAGACUCGAUCACAUAUAUACAUAUAUUAUAGCUUUAGUGUAUAUUUGUGGUGGAGGAUUAUUAAAUACAAGCAUCCCAUUAUCUCUAUUUGGGCGUGUUGUUGUUGAUUAUUUAUUUAUUUACUUUUUAAAAGGGUGUUGCUGAAGUUAUGAUGCCUCAUUAUUCAUUUAAUUAAACUUAUACAUAGUUGAUUAUUAGAGGGAUUGAAACCUUAUUGAAAACUAACACAUCUACGUACGUCUAAGUUGGGUUUGCUCAUUAUUUUGUGUUUGAUUAGUUUAUAAAAUAUUUGACUAAUAGGAUUCACUGGAUAUAUAAUGCUCGAAAUCUAAUCAAAUAAUGGUUAGUUUUUUUUUUUUUUUUUUCCUUUUUUGUGUUUUAAAGAAAGAGCAGAAUAAAAAGCUUUAACUUCCUUUUGCAUAAUUUUAGCUUUUGUUAGGUGUAUGAAUUUGGGAGAUUAAUUAUUCUUUGUCAUUGCUUUCACAAAGCACUAAAACUUUGGUCUAAAACGGAAGUUGGGACACUGACUUUUUAGAGUGUUAUGGAAUAUAUAAAGAUUUUGAACCAACACAAAUUAGCCAAGUUGAUAGACAACCAUAUGCUAAUGUUGGCAAUGACACUUUUUAAUCAAUUUGGCGGGGCACCAAACUCAAUUCAAAUCAAAUUAUAGCUAAACCACAACAUUAAUCAAUAUAAUUAUAAAAAAAAAUACCACUAUCUUCUUAUCAUAGAUACACAUUGUAGUCCCUUUCGAUGAACUUAUAUUGUGGGUGAUAAAUUGACACUAUCUAGAGGUUUUGAUAUAAUCACUAGUCUUUACCUUCUCUAACUAACUUACUUGUCCAUCAAUAAAUGAGAAUAAAAGGUAAAAUAAGAAACUGAGAUGAAUUUAUACAUUCUUAAAAGUGAUUAACUGAUAGAAUUUAGGACGUUUGGAAUAAUUGAAUUCUAGUCAAGAUGAGCACUAAACAAAUGUAUGCCCUAUCACUCCCACUUGUAUUGGUUUUUCCAUUGAGUCCUUCAAUAGGGUAUGUGGAAGUGGAACCCAUCCAUCCUCGAGUACAAUAAAAAGAUGAUAAAUUCAAACUAUAGACCUUUUGUUUUGCUAAUACGUCAGGUAUGUAUAUGAUACAAAUCUCUCAAGUAACAAAUUAAAUACAUAUAUAUUCUCAAGAAUAAAUAAAUAAAUAAGUAAAAAUAAAGUGGUUCUUAAAAAUGGGUUUAUUAAUCUCUACUUUUCUCAACUACACAUUAGACACUUGAGUAAAUAUUCUAAUUUUUUGACAUAAUUCUAAAUAUAGUAACAAGAAAAGGGCAGUUAUGUCACUAAAACUUUCUUUGGACGAUUCAGGUGUAGCCUUGUUUACUUGGAGGAAGCUCAAAAAUUAGCCAAAACUCCCGUUCAUUCAGCCUUCUCUCGGACACAGUCUUCUUUAUGAAACAUAGCAUAUUGAUCCUCAAGUCCUACAUUCAAAGACCAAUCAUGUUGGUAAUAAUAGGGAUAUCAAAAUGCAAAACUAAACACUACAAUGCAAGUAGAGGGAAUCUCUAUAUUAUUUUCUGGUUCUUUAAAAUAUUAGUUCACGGUUGUUUUAUUUUCAUUAUCGAACAUUGGGUAUUUACAUUGACAAGUAUUUGAACACAUGUUGUGAGUCAAACAUAAAGUUUUCAAAUUUUUGUUUAAUGGUGACACUAUGAUAGAACCUAAAUAUACCAAUAUAAAUGGUAACCAAACUAUAAAAUAAACUAAAGUUUUUUCCAAUCUUGAGAUUAAUCUAAAGCCCUAGUUUACUCACCAAAAUAUUGCCUACCCUCCUCAUUCCCCUACCAUAUUUAUAACCAAGAAUAACAAACUCUCUAGCUAAUUACUAAUUACCUUCAAUACUCGGUCCCUGAUGCCAUCUCUAUCACACUAAUCACAAUGAAAAGAGACCUUGUAUUUCUUAUCAGGAAAGAAACAUAAGUUGAGUUGGCUGGGGAAGAAACAUUUAUACUUUGGGCAAAUUGAAAAAAUGGGAGGGGAAGUUGUUGGGAUUUUCUUCAAGUGUUUCUAUGCGUUUAAGUUAUAAAUGGUGAGAUUUUUUAAAUCCUAUGGUUUCAUCUGAACAGAAGUUUGAGGGAUAACCUGUUGAAGAGAACAUCUGUACAACAACCAAGAACUUAGGUAAUUGCCCAAAACUUCUUUCUACAGAUCAGCACAGAUUCUGGGUUAUUAUCUUUCGUUUGCAGUGUCUGCAUUUCAACAUCCCAUAGAUAUUUGGAAGCAAUUUCUUGUAUUCUUGAUGUUAUUGAAGGUUCGUCUCUGAUGAUUAUGUAUCCCUGUACAUGAAAAUGAUUCAAAGACAAUUUGAAGCAUAAAUUAGAAACAGUAGAAGAUAUGCCAAUAGGCAGAUUACGCUUGCUUCUCCCUUCCUAAAUUUUAGCAUUAUGGGAGGAGAUCUCCGUUACAAAGAACUUUGAUAACAGAAAUGUCAUGCCCAUGAAAUCUUACAAGAACAGAGAAAUGGAUACAUCAUACAGCAUUACGGUGACAUGCUAUUUUCUAAAAAUCUAGACAUACUAAGCAUUGUUCAGGACAUGUUUAUUAGAAUGUGCAUUUCUUAGAUAUACAUUCUUUAGAUAUUCGUUAAAAAUUCCUGUGCUAACCCUUUUAACUUAAGAUAUUUUCAUGCCAGAGAUAAUGUAAAAGAAGUAAAGAUAGCAAUACUUGAAGAGUUUGGAGAAACUAAUGAACUAUUUCUCAUGGUACAAUGACUAAUAUCAAACUUUUCAAAUGCAUAGAACAAACUAACAUUUUUGUUGAAAUUUAAAGCGACAACAUGGAUUAUAUGUGCUAGUAAAAAAUUAUAUAGUUAGACAAAAAGUUUAGUCCAUGAACUUGGAUGUAUUUAAAAGAUCUUUAAAUGUUAAGAAGCUCCAACGAAGGGCAUUUUUGGCCCAAAGAGUAGGAGAUUAGGGGAAGUGGAGUGGACUUCCCUCCUUGUUUGGUCAAAGAAGCUUGUGGACCCCACACACUUAAACAACUCUCCAAUUUUAACAACUACCCAAACUAAACAACUUCACUCCUUACCCAAAUGCCCCCCCCAUAAAUCUCAAAACUUUUAGUUUUAUGUUCCAUAUGUUCCUUAACUUUAUAAAUGUUUAAAUCCUUCAUCUUUCAUUUUUUUAUCUAUUAAGUCAUUGUCAUUGAUUUAUUAAUCAAACAUUUUGUAAACUAUUAAACAAAAUAGAAAAUUGAGGGCCUAUAAAAUGAUUUUAAAGUUCAAAAACUUGUCGACACAAAAUUAAAAGUGUAUAAACCUAUUAAGCUAUUACAUACUCUUUUAAGUUGAGAGAUUUAUAAAACACAACUAAAGGACUAGACUUAAAUUUUUAAUUAGACCUUAGGGGGCGUUAAAGACAAGGACUAUCCUAAGACUAUAAUAACUACCUCUUGCUACAGCUACAGUGAAUACUCUUUUAUACUCCCAAUUUAGCUGAAGUCAACACUAUUUCAAAGGCCCUCAUUUCCUACAAUAUUUACUAUUUGCUAAAGUUUUUACUAUUUUACAUUUUCAUUAAUUUUUAUUAUUUACUAGUCUCCUAUUUCCUUCUCAAACUAAAGUAGUUUACACCUCACACGCAUACUUUUAUAACCCAAACUAAAAUAAUCUACGUACCAAACACAAACUAUUAUAACUAAUCUAUAAUAACCAACUCCUUGUCCCAAACAACCCCCUGCUAAUUUUAUCCUAAUAUUUGUCCAUGUUUGUACUUUCUAUAUUAUGUGUGUAUAAAUAAAUAAAAUAGAUACUUUAGGUCCUUCAUUUGUUUAGUAGGGUCGUAAUUUCUAUAAUUUGACAUGUAUUUAUUAUACUUAAGCGUUCAAUUCGAGUCCAAUCAUUUUUAGACUCCUUUAAUUCAUUCAAUUUUUGUUAAUGAGUGUCAAACUUGUGUCUAUCAUACUUGAGAACUGUUGGACACAAGUACAAUAAGGAGUAGUGUGGAUCUGACGCAGACACAUGCGUAAGCUCAAAUGGAAGUGUCCAUGCUUCAAAGCAAAUCUUAUUUAGUUCACCAAAUGCACAAGGGUCGUGUUGUGAUGUCCUUUUUGUUUCCUGUUAUUGUUUCAGAUUGUUGAGAAAUGUGUGUUUGGUAGUUUUUGUAUUUUGUCAAGGUUGAUUGUUCCUUUUUAUUUCAUAAGAAAUAUCAAGAGUAGAUUCCAAAAAAAGGAACAAGAACAGCCUAUAGGCCGACCACAGGGUCAAUUAUUACAUGACUCUGGUUUCUUGUUUUUAAGAAAUAAUUUUAAAAUAAAAGACACGGCUAGAGAUUUGAUUUCUUCUCUAAUUUUCAUGGUAUAAAAAUUGAAGUUAGAAUUAUUGUCUUAUCAAGUUCAGUCACAUAAUUCAUAAUAAAUCCAAAUUAUUUUGACUAUUUGAAUAUUUAAAAAAAACAAAUAAAGUUUUCUAUUAAUUUAAAGUUCUAAAAAAAAGGAAUUUCCAAACAUAUUUCUAUUUCUAUAAGACCAAAAUGCAUUUUUGUCUUACUUUUAAAAUUUUGGAAAACAAAAACCAAAUAUUGAGAAACAACAAACAAGAGAGGUAAACAGAUUAAUCAAAACUUUUACGAUGCUAAACACAUAGGCAAAAGAAAAUGCAUUAUGCAAGCAAUGGUAGCAACGGUUAUACCAGAAAAACGGAGGUCUCAAGCAUAGCAUCAAUAUCUGCCAAAAGUAAUUUCCCUAGUUUUGUCUCUUCUUGUGGCUAUUACAAGCUUGAAAAUUGAAGGAAUCAAAUUAAUUACCUGAGGUCGUACAAUGCGGUCCAUUUCCAACAUUAUAUCCUCCAGCAAGCAACCCUCUCCACCACUUUUAUACUGAGAAAAUAGACGGUAUGCAUGCAACAAAUCGUAUGUGCGCGGAUAAGUUGAAAAUGGUUCACACCUACAUUAUAAGAGAUAUUAGAAAACCAAACAUUCAUUAAGAAAAACGAAAGAAACCAAACGGGCAGUAAUAAAAACAAAAACAAAUAAACAAACGAACAAAUCUAUGCAUAAGAGACCUAAGACGCUAACCAAAAAAAGCAAGAAAGCUGACCAUGGCUCAUACCUUUCCCGAGACAGCCCCCAAAAGAGUUCUAUUUUUUUUCCCAAAGCAAUAGAAGUGUUUGCAUGCCAAACAGUAUAAUACUUCUAAUAUUUGGAAGAUGUUGGAGAACAAAUAACUUACCAAUCAUGAAAGACACCAACCAGGCCCCGGUCAUAUAUAGCAGAGAGCGUGUUUUUCAUCUUUAUAGGAACUACAUUCAUAACCCAGACUGGAAAAUUGUUCAAUGCCACUGCAAAUCCACCAUAGAGAGCAUUCAUGUCCAUGACAUUUCGAAUAUCAGUUUCACUGACAUUCAUCAGUUUCCAGUACUGGUUAACUUGAUCUUUCCAAUAUAAGGUAUCCAAAUCAAAUUCCUCUUGACUAACACCUGUGAUUGAAGACAACAAUAUCAUCAUAAAACACAGCAAUCAGAUUUUCUAGGUAAGAGAAAAUAGAAACUAAGAAUAAUCGAGGCACUUCUUAGGAAGGAAAACUAACAAAGGUUCACCUCGUACAAUUUGCUAGCUCAAUGGUUUUAACCAAUACCAUUAAUAAAAAAGAUUGAUUUACUCAAGACUGAGAAUAAGAAAUAAUUGGAAGGAAAUCAAUGGGAAUAGAAGCGGUAAUCCUAUGUUUACUUGGAAGUAACUAUAAAUAGACUUAGCAGCCUAUGCGUGCCACUUAUUACAUUAGAAAUAAGAACAAGACAUUACAAUUACCGAAACGUUCCUUCAACACACCAACGAACUAAGAAUAUAUUAAUCAUAAAAAAUACCAAUAGAAUUUUGGGUCGUUUUCAAAUAUAGUAAAAUUAACCAAAAUAUUUACAAAUAUAGUAAAUAUCACAGUCUUUGUCUACAUAUGUCAUGAUAGACACACGCACAAUCUAUUGCAAAUAGUCCUAUCUUGUUAUGUUUGUAAAUAUUUUCAGGAGUGGUAUCAUUUAAAAUUAUUUUCCUAAAAGUUUUAUAUUAGAAGAAUACUUAUUAGUAAUAAAUUUUAAUUUAUUUUAUUGUCCAUAAAUAGUAAUAAAAUAUAUCUCAACACUUAUUUGAUUCAACAAAUAAUAACAAACUAAAAAUAAAUAAUUAACAAAUUAGGUAAAAGUCUGAAAUCAUGGAUAGUAAAGGCUCAAUUGGAGAGAAAAAAAAGGAAAGGAGUGUUGUUAAAUAUUCGUCAUUUUCUGGACAUUCUUUUCAGUCUAAUUUUGAAUUAACAGUUGAGGUUCAAUGAUAAAUAGUCUUGAAAUCCCUUAGAACUUUAAAUAGUGAUAGAUUAAAUAAAUAAAUAAGCUACCAUUCCAAACAGUUUUUUAAAGUGAAGACAACUACAUCAAGUUAUCAAAGUUAUUAUUCAAAAGAAAAACACUCAGGAAAUCCACAAAUAGGCCACCGAGAUAUAAUUUCUGCUUUUGAAUGAGAGCUUGGUGAAUUGAAGAACCAAAAACAACUAGGAGGAUUCCUUUAGAAAGAAAAGGUAUACCUAUUUUCCGUAGAUUCCUUGAAUAUACUGAAAGGCGCUCUGGUCUUGGAGGUAACUUCUGAGCAUAUGACUGAUCAGUUACGUGAAUACAGUUUCUUAAAGGUAUUUUCCAUGAUGGUUGAAAAUCAUCCACAGCAUCACAUAUUUCCACAGCCUUAUUCUCUGCAUUGAUGAUGAGGCAUGCCGGAUUUUCCUGUUUGAUCCAGAUUGCAGUCUGAACCUUUCUGGCAAUGAGCUUCCAGCACAUUGCUGUAGUCAGAUUCACCAGUUUCUCCCAUAUCAUUGGGUAUUCUUUAUCUUUUCUAUAGGCAGGGGGUGCUGAAUAGACAAAAUAUCCAUUUGGUCGCAGAAGCCGAUCAACUUCUUUGAGUAAAAUACCAUCUGCAAGAAUAAAGACAGUGAAAGUUUAAUGACUUUCAAGUAUAAAUCAAAACGGUAAAAUUGACAAGAUUCAGGGUGAAGGCAUAUGAGAGCCUUCAUAAAAAAUUCAGUGUAUCAUGUCACAUUAUCACCCAAAAAGGAAUCUGAACUUAUUCAGCACUGACAAAGUAAACAAGUAGCAACUUUCUUACAGUUGGUAACUAUAAACGUGGACAUGGAUAAUGGCAUUGUGGUCUUCAUUUAUCUUAAUGCUGCUCUAGAGGUUUCAUAAGAUCAUUAGUCCUUUUUCCGUUAUUUAGAAGAUAAACAUAAAUAUUUUCUCUUCUUUUCUUUUUUCCAUCAAGUGACAAAAUUUCUCGUGGAAGAGAUGAAUAAAGAUCAAUGCUCAAAAAUGGCAUACAAACUCUCUAUAGCGCAUAAAGAAAAGUAGCAAGUGAGAAUAACAAAUAAUAAGUAAUGGCUGUUCAUAAAGAGUACUGGAAUACCAUUUUCAUGCCAAUCAACACGACACCUAGAGCAGUGGACCAUCUCAAAGGAACUUGUGGGAUACGGCAGUUGAUUUGUUGCCAAGGCAGAAAUCAUUGCACCAAUACCUCUCUCUAGCGCAAAUUGAAUCUGAUUCUCAUGCCCGUCCUUGGGAGCAAAGGACAUCGUUUGGAUGCCCAAUGAAAGAAGAUAAGCUGAGAAACUAGCAACGCCACAACCAACAUCUAAAACCUGAUAUACUCCAGCAGAGCUCAGAGUGCCUGUAUCAUUUGUAGUCAUGUUUCCUAAUCUGCGUUAGAAUAAAAUUUGAUCAAUAGAACAGUCUGAGAAGAAAAUCUAAUCAGUAAUUCAGAUUGAUCAUAAAUACAAGGAAUCCAUUUUAAUAUUACUUCCCAAAUUGAAAAUCAAAUUAGAACAGCGGAAGGAUGAAUAUGAACCGACUGAUUAAAGGGUAUGAGUAUAUUCACAUCCCAAUAAGGAAACAAAAUAAAGAGGAAAAGGGAAGAUUCAAUAAGAGGCAACAACGCUACCUUUGGAUGUACUCAGGCGCCCCAUGUUUGAAGUGAGUACCACCUCCAGGAAACCACCAUAGUUGGUCCUUCUCAUGGACCCAAUUUUGUCCUCCUUUAACUUCAGCAAGGCGUGUGUGAUUCACAUUACUUCGCCACACAUAAUCCCGACUGGUUGGCCACUUUACUGGGAUCUUGUAGUCUUCUGGUGGAGGUACCAAACAAAACAAGCGGUUAUCAAGUGGAGGGCAGUGCCUCUCGAGCUCUUCUUUUCUUGAAAGAUCCAAUGUAGGAAUCAAUUCUUUUAUGUAAGAAAUGUCGUGGCAAGGAAUAUACUCGGUGUAGUUUAAAGGACAUACAUCCACACCAUUCUCUGGAAUCGAAAGUGGUACCUUCCUGUAAGUGAUUGAAACUUGGUUUGGAAUUGUGGAAUUUCCUGCAGUAUAAGAGAUAAACUUUGAGACAAGGAAUUGAUUGCAACGAUAACUUAAAACCUUUAAAGUUCCUAGAAACACGGAACAAUUUCACAAACCCAGAAGGAACACACAUCAUCUGAAAAAGGGAGUGUGUUAAAGAUGAAGGAUAUACAAAGAACAAGUCAGAUAUUGCUUUGUUAGUUUGACAUUUCUUAGGCCACAUCUUUGACUUGAAAUAAAAUCAACUAAAUUCUAUCAGAGGAAAAAAUCGUCAGAAGACGAAUUUUAAUGUGAAGCUGUAACGUUUCAGAGAGAAGUCAAAUAGUAUAUUUAAGAAAAAAAUAUGUAUUUAUCAUUAAAAUUAAGGAAGACCCAUUUCAUUUACCCACUAGACUAAUUCAAAAUGUUGAAGUGGAUGAAGUUUGAGUUUGAUUCCCCUUCCUCUAAGCAGGAAAAAGUUAGUGGUAACACUAGUCUUAAUCACCGUGUAGAUAAUUAGUUCACUAAGCAUCUCCCUUCCAAGUUACACUUUCCUUUCCCAACUGAUAACGGGUCUUCCUUAAGAAAGUAAAGCAUCACUGCCAGAAACAAAGCAACCACCAGAUAUGCUUAAUUCUCUUAGUCUCUACACUAGUCAAACAAUCAAGGAAAUAAAACAAGCCAUCAACAAACCCAAUCCAGAACGCAGAUAUCCAGCAGAGCACAAGGAAGAAUACAAGAUCCGAAGCAUAAACUCGAGCAUUAAUUGAAUAGAGAUAAAACUUAAAAGCAAAAAAGUUAAUGAAUUUGGAUUCAGUUUUCGAAGAAACAACAUAGAGAGAGGACAGUACCGAGUGAUGAUGAAGAAGUGGAAUUGGAAGGAAGGUGAGAAACGUAAAUAGGAACAUUGUCGCCAAAAAGAGUACCAAAAUAAAAAGAUCCAACCAUAAGUAAGAGAGCGAGCAUUAUCAUCUGCCCUGACUGCAAAGCAAAAAAAUAACCCAAGCCAUAGGAACUGGCCAUUGUCUUCUUUCUUCCCUCCACAGAGCUUGGAUCUCGGAAACGAGCUGGAAAAUUGAAGAAUUCGUCAAGACCCAAAUGACAUUGCCAUUUGAGAGAGAGAUCGGAGUAGGAAUAGCUAUGAAUGUGGAAGUAAUUUGAAGCCUAAAGCUGAGAUUUCAGGAAGAGAAUAUUUUCAGUUUCGAUUCGAAGAUUUCACCGUUCGCUUUCACAAAUCUUCACUUCUUUAAUUUGUAGAGACGACAUACGUAUUCUCCUAAAAUAUUUAUAGUAAAUACUAAAUAAUUUGUUGAGAUACGUUUUUAAUUCUUUUUUUAAUUGUUCUUUUUUACUGUUGUAAAUAUUUUACCAAAUUCAAUAUUUUCUUAAUGAUAUACAAAUAAGGUUUAAAAUAUCAUAUUAUAACCCUCAAAUUUAUACAAAUUUGAUUAAACAUUAAUAAAACAUAUCUUUCAAUAUAUUAUAAAAACAAUUUUACCAUAUUUGAAAAAAAUUAGUCCAUGAUCCAUAAUUUGGAUUCCGACGUUUUUCUAUAACUUGACUUAUUAAAGUAAAAGUGUCUCUACAAACCAACACGAAUCUUUUUAUCAUACUUUGUCAUAACUCACAUAGAAUUAGUCAGAGUUCCUAUAAUCGAACUAUCGUACACCGAUUCAUUAAAAUCUCCCUCUUAAGCUUAGAACAUUAUAUACAUAUAAUAAGAUUCACGAUGUUUAGCAUUUAGAAAUUCAUCAUGAAGUAACAACUAUUUAUCAAAUAUAUUGAUAAGACAAACAACAAUAUCGUUUUAGUAUUAUCAAUAAACAAAAUCAUGAUAUUUUCGAUACCUUAGUAGUGUUUUAAAUACUAGCUUUGACAAUCUUAUCAAUUAAUUUUUUUUUGUGUAAUUUCUAACAAGAACCAACUAAAUAAGUUGCCAAUAUCAUAUCACACAAGUCCCAAUAAGAGAUAAACUUCAUUUUUAUCAUUAUAUUCACAAACAUGUCUUUCAAGAAUAAACAACAAAUUUAAACUCAGACAAAUGUAAUAAUUUAUUUACAAAUCUCCUAAAACAUUCACUUCAAUUUCUAUAAAAUAUAAAAAACAUUCCACAUAAAUUACCAUUUGCACACAACCCUUUGGGCAACUUUCCAAAUCAAAUGAUCCAUGUACAAGUUUUAGAAUGAAUUAUCCAUUAGCUUUUUAUGUUUCAACCUCAUGAAUGUUUAAUUCAUUUAUGUACGGUAUUCAUUCAAUAACUCAACAAUACCACUUUUCAAUCCCUAAACAUAAUUCCAAACAAUGGAUGGUUAAACAUAUAUGCUUUUUAAUUUGAUUUAAAGAGUAUUACUUUUUGUAUUAUGAUCAAUGAUAACUUUAUCUUUUUUUCUCUCUCUUUCGUUCGUAGAUAACAACCUAACAAGCAACGUACACAAACUAGCCAAAAGGAGGGUAAAACUAUUAAGGAUAAAGACAGCCUAAAUGAUUAUAGACUUUCGAACUUCUAGUAUUUAAUGUGCUAUACAGUGGCCCAAUUAAUUCUAAUUAUGAUGACAAUGAAAAAAAACCAAUAAUUCUCACUUUGUUCCUUGACUAAUCUCAUGAGACAACCCGUUUAACCCUACAACAUUUGAGUAUAUAUUAAGAAAAGUUGUAGAAAAUUAAUUAUUUGGUAGGUGGCCUCCAUGAAUUGAACACAUGACUCAAAACAAUCAAAUUCAACCAAAAUAUUUGAGAUUGAUAGGAAAAAACAAACCGAACUCUGAUAGAGCAUAUCAUCAUUCAUUUAAGAACCUUCACGUCAUGAAUAAACUUGAAACAUGCAUUACAAACUUAUCCUAGAUGGGCUUGAAGCACUCAACCAAGACCUCCCGAGUCCGAAUCGAAAGAAGAAGAAGAAGAUGGCAAAGUAACAUAUGUGCUCAACUUUCAACAAGGAACCCGAAGAGAAUGCCAACCAAUCAUGGGAGUGUAUUGUUAAUUGGAAUCAUCUACUUAGCUUUGGCAUAUCGUGUCAAAACUCUACAAUACAUUUACCAAUCAAAACACUAAAUAGGGUUGGAAUUAAUCAAGUAGAUCUUUGAGAAAACAUCACUCACGUAAACACUCUACAAAAUCUAAAAGAGAAAAACAAAAAGAAGAGGAAAGAAGAUAAAAACGAAUGAAAUUGAAAUUAGGAGAGAUGGAUGAGCCAAAGAAAGACUAGUUACUACAUUAUGCUUCUAAACUUGUAAAGAUAAAUAAUACUCCAGCUUGUUUGGGCAGAAGGGACGGCGGUCGGUUUCUCGGGUCGUCUGGAACACCUUUCAGAAACAAAACCAGGUUUUCCCAAUUCGUAGCGUCGUUUCUCAUCGCCGGUUCCGCCAUAUUCAAAUUUCUCUCCAAUUCCGACAGGCAAUUGAUCAAUUACAGGAAAGCUUUCGAAAUUUGAAACUUCCGGCGAUGCCGACUUCUACUGCAGGAAUUGCAGGUUCAGGAGAUUCGUCCAAUACUAUAAUUGGUUCUAGUGCUGAAGAUAAAUCCCUCAAGGAAUCAGCUGCUGCUCAAUCUCAAUAUCGUGCUCAAAAUGAAGUGCAAGAACUUGAAAAGUCUAGCAAACAACUUUAUCCUUGCCAACCGGGAGAAGCUCAGGGUGCUGUGGCAAUACCUGCUGAUCAAGAGACAAACCGAAGUUCCGGGAACGAUCAGAACAUUGUUCCCCAUCAUGGUACGUUUAACAACAUUGCUGUCUCAUCUUCUAGCAACUUCAGGUCGAAUGUUGACGAUGCGAGAGACAUUGACAUUGCUGUUCAGGAUGCCGUGUUAAGGGAACAGGUAUGCACGAAUAUAUUUCAGUUUUUCAAAUUCCUUAAAAAAAAAUCAGCUUAGUUUUGAAUACUAUAAUGUGAUGACGCCUCCAUGUUCUGUUUCACAUUUAAUGGAAGUUUUGGUUAAUCGUCUUUUAAGUUUUUGUUUGCAUUGGUGCUCCCCUUUCAUCGUAUCCGUUCUGAUGGGGACUAAUUUUAUGGUUUUUUAGAGUUCAGAGACUAGAUUUCUAUAUUUUCAAGUUUCUCAAUCUAUACACCCCUAUUAUGAUGAUAAAUGAUAUGGACGGAAUGGUGAGAAAUUUCUUUUGGAAGGGGGAGUCUUUCAGACGGGUAGUCAAUUGACUAAAUAGAGCUGAACUUUUCUGCCUCUUCAAUAUGGGGGUCUUGGGCUGUCUGCAGCAAAGGAACAAGGCCAUGCUCCUUAAAUGGCUUUGGUGCUUCAUCUACGAAGAAACUGCCUCGCAGAGAGUUGUGAUUGCCUACGAAGAAACUCCCCUGUGCAGAGUUGCGAUUGCAAGCAUAUUGGUCUUUGGUGUGGGCUGUCUUGUCUCGAUGAGUGACAAUUAGAUUGAGGGUUGAGAUUGAUAGUGCUUAUUUGUCCGUAUGGAAUUGUAUUUUCAUUAUGAUUGAUACGCGGUAGUAGAGGCUUUAAAGGAAGUAACUGAAACUAUUUCAACGUGCAACCCAUUCCUUGUUGACUAAGAUGAUCUGUGUUGAGCUUGACUUGUAUGGUGAAACAAAGGCUGGGCGUGGUUGUUAAGAAUCUCUAUUGGCACUUGUAGAGGCAGAAUCCUUUUCUUUUGCAUGCAUGGCUAAAGGUUAGUUUAGGUAUGGAAUUCUUAUUAAUUUUUGCAGGAGUCCUUUGCAUGAUCAAAACAUUAGUGCUUUGGAACAGAUUGGGAGAGCUUGCAGGGAUAAUUGCUAUGAAAACAUUAAGGAAUUUAAACCGUAUUGGAACCUCCAUUGAGGUUGAGAACAAUUACUGUGGCUUUAUCCUCGCUGAAAAGUAGCAUAAUGACAUAAUUCGGAAGUUAUUCUAUGGUUAGCGUAGGGGAAUUGUGUGUGUGGUGGGGGAACCCUAAACACUCAUCUUAUAGAUUAAAAAUAUUACUUGCAACUUGUUUUUUUUUAUAGAAUUGACAUGUUGCUGUUUGUGUCCACUGUCCGGUGUCCACGUCUAUGCUUUCUAAUUGGUAGAUUUUGUUGGAGGGAAACAAUGUUUCCAAUACGAAGAGGAAGUUGCACCUAUCUGGGGAUUUUGGUUCUCUUUCAGCUUCCUGAUGGUGCCUCAAGUCUCCCAUACAUUGACAUUGGAGAGAAUUAUAUAUUUAUUUUAUUUCUUCUUGAAAUUUCUUUAGCUCUCCAUUUGUAAUUUUAUUCAUAAGCAAGACACUGUUUCUUAUCUAUGUAACUAAAUUAUUUUAGUUUUCAAACACUUUAAUUAGUUUUUUUUUCCCCUAACAGGAACUUGCUACCCAAAAUAUUAUUCGUAGCCAAAGGUGAUGGUUCUUCAUUUGUUUUUGAGUUAUUACAGUUCAGAUUGAUAAUGAAAACUAAAUAUGUUACCAUCCCCAGAGAUUCCGUGGGUGCAGAUGGACUUCCGGUUGAGCGAUCAGAUAUCUUUUCAGAACGUUAUGACCCGAGUUCUCUUAAAGUAUGUGACUUUCUACCUUUAUACAACUUUUGUUCAUAAAUUUUCUUUAGAAUGUAGAAUAGCCGCAUGCUUACACCCAUCAAUAGAUUUAGUUGUAUGUCAUCACUGCCUCCAUGGUCCCUAUUUAUCUACUUUCAUGAGAAAUAAAUGUCUUAUGUCAAGUUUAUGUAGAUACGAAAAGAGGAACUAGGUUUUGUAUUACAAUUUGAGAACAAUAUUGCACUUUGAUGUUUAUUUUAACAAGCCCAUUUAUAUGAGAACUUGAAGAAAAAAAUUCAUUAGUUAAGGCAGUUAGUUUAACAACUAAAAGGAAACCAAUCCUUAAGUAACUAACCUAACAAAAAGAAAGCGUAAUACACAUAGUAUGUGUAACGUCUGCGUUUAGGAUGGGUACACGUACAUGAAUGACAUGAUAUCGCAUUUGAAUGAGAGUAUGGUUAAAAGUUGUGAAAGUAUGGUUAAGAAUGACUUAAAAGAAUUUAAAGAUAUUAUCUAUACCAACAAGGUGCACCAUCCUUUUGGGUGACUCAAUUAUAGGAACUCAUCCUAGGAAUUUUUCUGGGAAGCAUGUGAGUGAGGACAAAACAUGUUAUAAAGACUCGUGUAAUUGUGUUGGUUUGAUGUAAUAGUCUUCACGCUUGAAAGGAGUUUAAGAUGAGCAAAGAUGAUGUUGCUAGGUCGUAGGGGAUGCAGAAGAAUGUUGGGGCCAUCAUGUGGCGAAUAUGGAUUUCAAAGCUUAGGUUUGCGGCGUUACAGAUGGUAUUAGAGUGGAACCUCUCUUAGUAAAAUGUGGUUUGAGGACGUUAUAGAAAAACUAUUCUAGUGUAGUAUCUAACUACUAGCCUUCUUUUCUGAAUUUAACUUGCCUUCAAGAUUCUUGUCUUCGAAUGAAGCUCAUCUUGGAUCAUGUGGGGAGUUAAAAAAAGAUCAUGUGGGCAUUGGAUACUCUGUCGUAAGAUUGGUUGUAUACUUCUUGAGCAUUUAUCUUAUUGAAAAACUUCUUAAGCAUUAACGCAUGUUAGAAAAUAUUCUUUGUUUUGAAGUGCAACAAACAUGCCUUAACAGAUUAAUAACCUAAAACAUGAGGACUAUUCCCUCCAGCCAAUGACUGUAAAAUUUAACCAGCUAUUAUUGGCUAGUUUACAAAGAAGUCCCACAUCAAUUUCAUGCAUGUUGUCAGUCCUGCCAUUAGAAAAAUUACCAUCAAGUACUGCAACCACUUUCCUAUUCCUAGACUAUCGGAUUUGUUAGAAUAACUAUUUGGAUCCACAAUCUUUUUAAUGAUAAAUCCUUUGCCUCAGCCUGCUAGAGGUGUGAUUUGUUCAACUUUUGGCUGGUCCCUUGCAUUAUCUGAAGAUCCUUUCGUUCUGAUUGCCCUGAUACUUGUCGCCAUUGUCGGUUACCCAUUCAAGGAGGGAGAACAAGAUCAUUUAUCUCAACUUUUCUAGAGCCUUUUAUGGUCUCUGUGGAGGAAUAAACAUAAUUCUUAAGUCUUUAAGGACAAUGACUGAUGGUUCAGCAACGCUUUUGAUUCUCCAUCCUUUUUCAGCUCCCACAUGGUGUAAAUUAGUACCCACCUUUUCUGAUACAAUCUCUUCUCUUGUAGCUCAAAAACUUUUUUUAACUUUUCUUUAGGGUAGGAUCCCUCCCCUUUUUUAUAAUCUCAUCUCAUAAAUACAAUGUUGCUUAUCCAAAGAUAAAAAGGGAGUUACUAUAAUUAUCAUUAUAAAAGAGGAGGUAACUCGGGGAAAGAUGAACCAAAAACGCACAGCCAAAAAUGUGAUGAGAAGGGAUUAUUUAAAUCCUCCCUAAUACCUUACAUCAGAAUCGUUCCUAAUUACCCAUUGUGAGACCAUGGACAUCUGCUUUGCUCUCUUGUUUUUGUUUAUAUUGCAUGACACUGUUAUACAGACAAAGGCUUAUUAUUUGUUAUCAUGUUUUGUAGCUUUAAUUUUUUUUUCUUUAUGCCUUUUAUCUCAGGAGCAUCUUUUGAAGAUUACUUCUGAACAUCGUGCAGAAAUGGCUAUAAAAAGGGGAAAGUUGAAUCUUCCAGAAGAAGGUCGGUACUUUGUGAUAUGGCUUCCUCUUCCUAUUGAUGUUUUUCUCUUCACUUGAUCUUCUUGUGGUGCAAUAGUAGAUGCUUAAGUACUCUAAGGUGAAGAUAUCAAUUGUUGGAUGAAAAGGGUUUAUAGUACAAUUACACAUUGUUAGAGAUAUGUAUGGAAGUGCUUAGGGCUAUGCAAGGAAGAAAUUUCCUUUUAGAGUAUUUGGGUCAACUUAUAAGUAUAAACUAUUCUCAUGGGACAGAUUGUUGGAUGCUACAUCAUGCAGUUUUUGAGGAACACUAGGAUUUUUUUCUCUAAUUGUAGAUAGGUGGCCACUUUGGGACUUGAACCCUUGCCUCAAAGUCCCCAAGUUCUUCAUGAGGCCCUUUACCUCUUUGUAACUCUCAUUAUUGGACCAAGUCGGGUCGAUCUGAGUGAGAAAGGUAAGGCCCAAGAUUGGUUGAACCUCCAAAAUCCUAUUUGAGGGCCUUGCUUAUGCUGACUUAUUCCAUCAAAAUUUGUAUGGGGUUUGGGUUGACCCAUUGGAUGAUUAACUUUUAAAAAUUACUGUGUUGGAAUUUUCUUAAACAAAAUUGUACUGUAACCAUAGGUUAGGUUUCAUUGUACUUAACUAGGGUUCAUCCCUUUAGUGGUACCUCCUUUUUGUUGGCUUAUUUUUUCUAAUGCUCUUGUAUUCUUUCAUCAUUUCUCAAUGAAAAUUAAUGAAAAUUUGGUUCUUUAUAUGAGAAAAAACAAAUUAUAUUAAAACUUGUGAUUUAUAUUUUGUUAUAGAAGAUGCCGACAAUUCUGUGCAUGAGAACAAGUGAAGAAAGGAUUGGUUCUUAUCCUCCUUAUUUUUCCUCGUGCACCUCAAGGAAACAAGUCCCUCGAACACCUCAAGGAAAAAGGCAACAAAAAGGCCAUAUUUGAGUGGAGCCAGGUGCAAUGAAUAGAUAAAUAAAUAAAUAAAAUAUUUAGGUUGCAUGGCUUUGUUGGGCCUAGAUGGUGGGUUAUAACGUUAUAAGCAUAUUUGUUAAAUAAAAUAAGAAAAAGAAACAGAACACCCUAUUAUUUUAAUCAGGGGCCUUGGACUAAGCUAAACAGUCAAAGGUGCAUAGGGCUAGUGCCCAACUGAAAAAUCGCUUGCCCCACUUUCUUUUUCAAUCAUGGGAGAGAGUUUCUUGGUAGGUCAACUUCUUGUAGAUCUUUUAUAAUAGGGAAAGUGAGCACAAUUCAAUUGACAUUAAAAUUUGGUAUCAACCUGAAUGUCAAAGGUCUGAAUCCCCCACCUUCUUGUUGAGCUUUCGACCUUCUGUAACAAUUUGCUCAAGUGUAACAUGGAAUGUUUUUAGGACAGAUGGAUACUGUUGGAAAAUGAUCACAAUGUUGUGUGCUUGAAUUCUUCCUCUUAGGUUUCAACUUCUCUCUUUCAAAAAAUUUCCAUUAUACUGUUUAUUGCAAAUUGGGAUUUCACUUGUUUUUCUUCUUUUUUUUUUUCCUCUUUUGUGUUUGUGGCUUGCAACUCUUAUUCUUGUUUUGUGCAACUUCCUUGUAAUUAUAAUUAUACUUUAACUACUAUAAACGCCAAGUGGGUACCAUUUUUUCUUUUUUUAACUCGGCUUUUUAAUGUAAUUUCAAUACUGUUAAACAAAUUGUCCUCUAUAUCUAGAACAAAAUAUUUUAUGGCCUUUUACAAUUAAAUUUUUUGUAGCACAGAGACCACUUUGAAAGAAUUAAUAAAAUCAGCAGAUAUGUGCCUACUUCUCUAGAUUGUUAUUCUAUAUUGGAGAUUCCAACAAACUCAAACAUAUAAUCUUCCUUUUCCCUUUCAAGGAGAAUGACAUCUUGUUGUCAUGUCAGGGAACUUGGAAAUUGGAAAUGGAUACGGAGUACCUGGUGGAUGUGCUUUCUAUGGUGCUUCAAAGCCUGGAAUUGUUGCCAAUGGUUUAAAACUUAAACCUUUUUCCUUUUGCUUGAUUUUGAUGUUGAUUUCCAGUUGGUUCAUUUGUCCUGCUUUCAGGAAAUAAUGUGACUGGCCAGAAAAUCCAGGGACAGAUCAAGGAAGCAGAACAAAGUUCUGCUUCCAAGGCAUUGCCCGAGUACCUCAAGCAGAAGCUAAGAGCUAGGGGUAUUCUUAAAGAAGAUGCAGAACACAGCAAUUCUGUAAGGGCUGAUGUGCGUAACUUCCUAAAACAUGUCUUGGCAGGACGCCUUAGUUUUAUUAUUUAGCCACAGACCUAUUUGAUCCAUUUAAACCAAUAUUUACUCUUUUCUCGCUGAUGGGGAAACACUUCAAUUUUUUCUCUUUUCUUAUCUUUAAAAAGCAGAUUUACAAAGAAAAGCUUGUGCACCUAAAUUUUGUUCAGAUUUAUAAAUAUCCUUUUGUUUCAAUUUUGAGAUUUCUAGAAUUUGUGUACUUCUGAUAGCAAUCAUAGUUCCAUGGUUCUGCUGAUAUUCUUUAUUCAAUUGCUUCUCUCUUAAAUUACAGACAAAUUCUGACGCUGUUUCAAACACAAAGUUGCAAGGAGAAAAGCUGCCUCAUGGAUGGGUGUGUACUGUUUGCAAUUCCUUUACCAAUUGUGUGCAGUGCUCUCUUUCUCUAUCAAGCUUGUUAGAAUUGCCUAUUGCAACUUGGGAAGGUUAUUUUGUUUGAUAGCUGAGCUGAUUAGGUGGCCUUAGUUUACAUUAUUUUUUAAAUAUUUCCAAUAAGUAGGAAUUUAACAUGCUUAACUAUUUAUUCUGUGGGGUAAUAAAAAAGUAUAUUAAAUCUACUUAGUUAUAAUAUAUCAUACAUUUAUAUAUUACUAGUGUGGUGUUUACUAAAACAGUUAAGUUUGUGAAGUGAACGAGUUUUGUCAGAAUAAUUACGGAAGGUCAUUUUCCUAAGUGUGAGUGAGUAGACCUAGUAUCCACUUUGCGGGAACUUUAUUAUGGAGUUGAAGCGGCCCUUACUGUGUUAGGGACUUGGGGAUUUUAUUUUUGUAAUUCUUUUGAGUCAUUUAAGGUUGUUGGCAACCUCUGGAUUUUGGGUAGCAAAAACAUUAUCAACUCUGGAUGUGAGUAUUGUACUUUCUUUUCAAACAUAAUUUCUAUUUGAUUCUAAGGUUUCCAAAACUAAUACUUUUGGUUCUUAAGAUUUGAAUUUGGUUGUUAUUUGAUUUUUGAGGUUAUAAAAUUGACAUGUCUAGUUUUUUAUAUCUAAAUUUGAUUUCUAGUUAAUCCCUGAAGUUUGAAAUUGGUUUUUAAUACCCAAGUAUAAAAAAUAAUUCCAGCAAUGUCUAGUUAGCAUAUUGUAACUGAACUGAUGUAUUCUGUUAUAUCAACUAGCAGACAAUUAUAUUUAGGGACCAUUUAGGAACCUAUUUCAAACCUUAGGAACCAAUUAUAUCAAAUUUAAACAUAGGAAUUAAAUAUGUUGCUUUUGAAAUCUCAAGGACCAAUUACAAACCAAAUUCAAAUAUCAAGGAUCAAAAGUUCUAGCUUUAAAAACCCAUUGACCAAACAGAAACUUAGUAUCCAGGGACCAAAAGUAAGUUUUUCUCCCUCAAAAAAAAAAAAAAAAAAGAACGAUUCUAAGAAGUUUCAAUAAAAUAUGAAGAUGUGUUGUGAUGUUUCUUGUUUUUGGAAGUUUGUCCUUAGGCCUCCAUUUUAUAAACUUGUAUGCUUCUCUGCAUAGGUGGAGGCUAAAGACCCUCACAGUGGUGUUUCAUAUUAUUAUAAUGAAAGUAGUGGAAAGAGUCAAUGGGAAAGGCCCUCCGAACUUUCUUCUAAUACGCAACUUUCAUCAGCUGUAUCCCUUCCAGAAGAUUGGAUGGAGGCAAUCGAUCAAACAUCAGGUCGGUAAGAGAUUUAAUGAUUUAUGAUGCUGAUAUACCUUCUUCCAUGCAUAAUUUGGAGGAGAAAAGAUAAGAAAUCUGGAGGAAUUACAGCACGAUAAUCCUUGUUGUUUCAGUUUUACCAUACUUUUUCUCAAUGCAUUUAUACAUUUCUGGUUUCCCCUGUCCUGCAUCCCUACCUUUUCUACGAGUCAUUGAUGUGGAGACUGUAGAGUCUAGAGGUUGAAGGCUAGAGUAAUUGGCUUGAAUUGCGUGGAAACUUUUGUAUUUGGCAUCUCAUGAACCUUCUUUAUAAAUUUUGCAAGCCUUGAAAAUGGAAUUAUCCGUUGAGGGACGCUUAUGUCGUGCCUUUAUUAUGUUGUUCUAGUUGUAAUUGGUGGUUUUCCCAACUUCAAUGGAGAAGUGUUCAGAAAAAAGUUGCUGAAUAACAUAAUUUGCAGUUUUGCUCCCAUUGACAAAUUUUCAUACGACCGCAGGCGUAAAAUACUACUACAAUAUGAGAACCCAUGUAACCCAGUGGGAGCGGCCUGUUGCAUCUCAUCAGACAACUUUGACACACUCGAAUGAUAAGUUUCCUGGGCCUUGGAACGACCAAACUUUGGAGCAAAGUAAAUGCAUCACAUGUGGAAGUGGAAUGACCCUCGUGCAGGGUUCAAGAUACUGCAACAGUUGUACAAGGUAAAUGAGAUAGUCUAUAUAUCUAUGCUAAGAAAAUGAAGGUCUUUUCAUUAAGAGACUGGAAAGUACAAGAGAGGAUGCAUACGAGUGAACAAACUUGAUUAAAAGAGAUAUUGCAAUACGUACGGAAAUUUGAGUCCCCCACUCUCCCCUCCCACUAGACUACUCUAAUCUAGUUGGAGGAGUUACAUUUUUGUUAGGCAAAUCGGUUUGCCAUUUUUAUGAUGAAGCCUCUGCAUUAUGUUGUAAGGCAGUUGUUAGUAUUCAGCAAAACCUGAAGCUGGGUUUUUCUUCUAAAGUCAUAUAACCUGCCUCUGUAAGGAUGCCUUGGUGAGCAUUAGUAAGCAUAAAGUUUUGUAGAUUCUUCUGCCUUCAAAUGAGGCUGCAGUAACAUAUCUAAUUUCUAGAAAAAUGUGGGCUCUUCUUCCUUGAUCGGAUUUCCUUCAAGUUUCAGAGUUGCUGUCCAAACAACUUGAUUUCUGAUUUGUGGGAAUAUUUGAGCCAUUCUUGGAAAAAUUACAUUGAGGAGACAUUUGAAGGAUAACGAGAUUAUGCAUUUUUAGUGACCUAAUUUUACUCUUGGAAGAGGUUCAUUUAGCCCGUGGGAUGAUAAAAGAAGUACUGCUGCUUGGUCAUAUGGAGUCCACAAUCAAAUCCCUAAUUAGUAAGCUGUUUGGAAAUCCCAAUGUCCUCUUCCUUGUUUAAAGCUUGUCGUAAAUCCAAAUUUUCAAAGAAAAUCAGCUUCUUUUGUGAUUUUUUAAUGGUCGGACAUCAGAGAAAGCUUGCUUUCAUUGUAUGAUCCCCCUGGCUUGCCCCUUUGUGGUUUCUGGACUUAGAAGACCAGAAGCACUUUUCAUUGUGGGUUUAUUGUUAAAAGGUGGGGGGAAAGCCUCUAUUUUAUUUUCAAUUUUAUCAUUAAAUAUUUUCCAUCUCUCUACUAAAUGCUAUACUACUCGUCAGCCUCUUUUAGAUUCUGACUAAGAGCCCACAGAUACAUCUUACUCAUCCAUCAAGAACAUCCUCCUCCCCUCACCUCACAUUUCCUCUCAUACAUGAUACUUGUUUAUUAGACACAAUUUACUGCUCAACAAGAUGGGCACCCACUAACUGUUUUCUUACUGCAAUUUUAUCUGGAUAAAUUCUCACACUUCGUUCUUCAUUGCAUUGGUUUUGUGUCUAAAUUGACUAGUGGGGUUUCUACAAGUUCAACCAAUGGGAUUUGGCAGGAUCAACCGUCUGAGCAAAAUAAAUGCAUGGGAUGUGGUGGCUGGGGACUAGGCCUUGUGCAAGCUUGGGGUUACUGUAUUCAUUGCACACGGUAUGUUGAUCACUCUUAUUAUUCAGCACUAUCAUGUAGCAUAUCAUUGUAUUUGGUAUGAUUGUUUGUGACUAUGUAUGAACUGAUGUGUGGAUGAAGGUAGUUAGGGUUAGAAGUUCAUUAGCUAGACUGCUUGAGUGAUGCAAUUAUUUUAAUUUAAAAUCCUAGUUGUUUCUAUGACACGUUUACAGUUUUUCAGCCAUUACUCUCGAUAAAUUCAUACAAAUAUUUUUUUUUCCUCAUGGAUUAUGUAUUCGCUUUUGUUUUACCCUCUUUUUAUUAUUAUUAAUAUUAUUUUUUAUUUAUUUAUUCACAACGACUUUCAGAAUUCUCGGUCUCCCCCAGUGCCAGUACUUGCCAACCAACAACAUUAGUAAUCAGCAGAAGAUAGAGAACGUCAAGCAUAGCGCUGAUCCCUCCAUUAAAAAAUCUGUGACAGAUAGGUAAAGAAACAGUCCUCUGACUUCGGACUUAGUUAAGUCGAGAAAUAGGGGAGGAUUAAGUUAUGAAGCUAAUGAGUAUCGGUUGUCAGGUCCAAAUGGAAACCUCCAAUAGGGAAAGGUGGAAAGCGAGAAAGUAGGAAGCGUUCCUACAGUGAGGAUGAUGAAUUAGAUCCAAUGGAUCCUAGCUCUUAUUCAGAUGCUCCUCGUGGUGGCUGGUAUGUCUUCAAAAAUUAGCUCUCUAGGUUGAAUACUAGUUGAUUAUUUAGGCCUCAUUUGACAAAGGUUUUAGUUUUAGUUUUUUGUGCCUAUUUUCUUCCAUUUGUUUAUAAUAGUUUUCAUCUUUCGUAAGAAAUUAUUUAAAUUGCUAUUCAAUUAAGCAAUUGAAAUCAUCGUAAGGAAAUAUCUAAAUUAGCUCUCUGGGUUUAAUUGCUAUUCAAGUUUUUUUAAUAACUAUAUUUUUAAAAUUUCAAGACUUGGCUUGGAUGUUGAAAUCAUCCUUAAAUAAUAGAUAACAAAACAAAGAAAUUCAUAGGAUAGUAGCUGCUUUUAUAAACUUAACAACUAAAAGUCGAAGGGUUAUCAAAUGGGUCUUAGAAAAUCUGUCCAAGAAGUAGAAUGAUAUUAAUUGUUUGUUUUGAUUACUUUUCAGGGUUGUGGGUCUAAAAGGUGUGCAGCCUCGGGCAGCAGAUACUACUGCUACAGUAAGUAGUAACUAAUCAUUUUAGAUUUUUAGCUGUUUGCUGUUGCAACCGUCUCACCUUAUAAUGGGCAAUUAUCAUUUCAUGUAUAGACAUGUUAUGUAGUUUCACAUAUACAAUUUAAAACAUUUCCUUCACAAUGGGCCUUGGUUUUAGUCUGUUUGAUGUAAUGUGCUGACUCUAGCGUCUGCAGUGAACUCUUGACACUGAUUAGAACAGGGGCUGUUCUCUUGUUCCUUAAUCCAAUCCUCAUUGUGUUGGAUCUCAUUUAAAAUAUUUUUUUUCUUAUUAAAUCGAAAUAACUUCUAAUUGGAUAAUAUAUACUUCCUCUCAUCGAUGGUGAAUGGCAGGGUCCUCUCUUUCAACAGCGGCCAUAUCCAUCACCUGGAGCUGUUCUGAGGAAGAAUGCUGAAAUUGCUUCACAGACCAAGAAGGGAAGCUCUCACUAUGCACCCAUUUCCAAGAGGGGAGAUGGAAGCGAUGGCCUUGGUGAUGCUGAUUGAUCUCUUCUAAUUUAUUCUGCUCCGACGAUACAGUGACCACUAUUUAUGUAGUGUAGAAGUACACUUUUCACUGGAGAUGCGACAUAUAUCUUUGACCGUAUAGCCUUACCUGAAGUUAUGGAUCAAAUGCACAUCUCACUUUCUGAAGGAGAGGAACGUGGCUGUACGAUGGUACGUUUCUUGUAUAUAUACUAAUUACUAUACUUCUAUAUGGAAAACUUGAGUCGUGGACAAAACGGUCAAUGAGGCAGAUUUUUAACCUUCACAUAUGUACCAGAAGAUUUGAAUUACUAGACAGGAGUAGAAAAUUCAAACUUAUUGUAUUUUGUUAAAAUGUUACAAUAAUUUAACUUAACGUCGACUAUACGAGACAAGCUUAGAAGUUUAUUAAUCCUACAAUUAUGCAAACUCUAAGUUUACCUUUCAUACUACUUCGAUAACUUUUGAUUUUAUAUUUCAUUUUUACUUUUGUACAUUAUAAUUUCACAAGUUAAACACUGUUAUUCAAACUUGAGGUUAUCGAUUCUGAAUUUUAUAAUUUAGAUGAAUUAAGUUGGUAAUAUGAAAAGAGAUCUCGGUGUUACACCGCCUUGUUGGGUUGCUUUUGGAUGGUUCCCUGGGAGUUCAGCCAAAGUGAGAUGGCAUUAGUUGUUUGUUGCUGAUGGAGAAUCAAUAUUUCAAAUAGAAAUAAGGAGUACAGUAUUUCUUUCUUUACUAUAUGAUAAUGGCAUGUGAUUACAUUGGUCUCAUCUGUUUGUUUACUUUCCAUAUUAGCUUAUUAUUGGGACCAGCUGUCUUACUAUAGAUUGAUCAUCAAUGUGAUGAUGUGUAUGUUGGUUACCUAUCUUUUCAAAUCCUCAAGUCAAUAUAGUAAAAUGACUUAUUACAUUACAUGAAUUGGAUUAUCAAUUUUAGCUGAUUACAUACCUCCUUAACACCAAUGAAGAUACUUAAACUAGAGAUUUCUAUGGGCCACGAUGGAAGACUUCCACAUUCUCGACCCCAUCAUAUUUCAAUCUUCAUCCUAUGAAUUGUUUUUCAAUAAUUUUGAGGAAAGUGAAGAUCUUUGCGAGGAAAUUAAACAUAUCAUCUUAUUUCUUUCUUUCUUUUACUUUCAAUCGAAAUAUAUAGUUUUUUUUUUUAAUUCUUUAAAUUGAGCAUUUUUAAUAUUAUUUCUAUUCAAAUAAUGCAAUAUAAACUUUUCUAAUAAAAACAAUAAUUAAAAUGUUAAAUUUCCAUAAUGUCAAAAAAGUUGAAUGCUGAAUUAUUACUACUUUACAGUUUUUCAACUUAAAUAUUACAAAAUUAUUGUUUUAGAGGUAAGUACGUUAUAAUUAUCCUAGAAAAUAUCUAUAUAAUUAAACAAAGGCAAAAACAUACAAUUAUCCUAGAAAAAAAAUAUAUAAACAAGGAAAAGGCAAAAUAAUUUGUUGUAAUUCAUAUCUCUUCCAUGAAAGGAAGAUAGAAGAAGUUGGUCGAUUAAAAAAAAAAAAGAAGAAGAAGAAGAAGAAAAGAAGAAAGAAAGAAGGGAACAAAUGUAAAAUAAGGUGAAUUUGAAUGAUAAUAAAAAAAUAAAAGAAGUUCAAAGAUAAGUAAAAAAUAAAAAUAAAAAAUUAAACUAUUAGUAAAAUAUAGACAACAAAAUAAGUUAUGUGAAAAUAAUAUCUAUUUAAACUGAAUUUUAAAAAACAAAAAUAGUAUUUGAGUGUAAAAAAGAUCAAAAUUUGAGUGAGAAAUGAGUAAAAAGUGAAAAUGAUAGCAUUAGAAAAAGAAGAAGAAGAAAUAAACAUAAAAAAUAGAAAAGUGAAAACAAAAAUGAUAUAGAAAACAUCCCAAAAACUUUUUGUAAUGGAAAAACGUGUCCUUCAAAUACCAAAGUGUUGGAUUUAUUGAAAGUCCAGCUUCGUGCUUCUUCUCUACACUCAAAAGGAUAGAGAAAACCCAAAAAAAAAAGAAAGAAAACUUUGGGAAUAAAUUCCAUUUUCUUCACUCUCCAUCUCCAUCUUCAUCAUCCCCCAUCUUUAGGGUUCCCUUCCCAUCUUCUUCCUUCUCUUUACCAUCACUUCACAUUCACAAAGGUGCGUUUUUUUUUUUUUCCCAUUUCAAUUUCUUGCUUUCUGUACUUCUCUAUUCCCUCUGUUUCUCCAUUCUUCACUGUGUUCCAUUGCCCGCUUUCCACUUUUUAUCUGAUGGGGCUCAUUCUGUUUUACAUUUUAAUUUAAUUGUUCUCAAGGUGUAGCCAAUGCUUGCAAAUUUAAGUUGAAUUUCCUGUUAAUUUCUGAUUUUGAUUCUCUUUUUUUUCUUUCUUUCUUUUGACUUGAUGUUGUUUCAACUAACUUCAUUGACUUAUUUAUUCGUUUGUUGAAGUGGGAAAAUUGAUUCCUGAAGUUGGUUUCACUUUUAUGGUUUGAUAGUGCUAUUUUUCAUACUUGAACAGUGUCACUGGAUCUAGGAUCGAUAUGUGUCUCAUAUGGUACAAACCCAUUUCUAUGCUAUUGUUGGAGUAUUGAUAUGAUUAAAUUUAACAUAAUCCAUUAGCUCUAGUGUUUGGAUUGAUGGAUGUCAUUUUUUCCUCAAUUAAUUCUGAUUUCUAUGUUGGAUCUAGUGAAGCAGUGUUGAAGUAUUGGUAUAAUUAAAUUUACUAUAACCCAUUAACUUAAGCUUUUGGAUUUAUUAGUGAUUUAAAAAUUAAGAUCUAAAAUGAUAAUGAUUCAUAUUGCUACUUUGGUGAUUAUCUUAGAGAAGUAUGCUUUGCUUAAGUUCUUGGACUGAUACUCCUUGGAAUUACCGAAUGGAAAAUCAGACAUUUUCUAGAGCUUGAUUUUAUUACGAACUAUUACUCCAAUGUUCCAAAGCAUUUUUGAGGUGAAGUUGUUCUUACACUAGCCUAUCCAACCAAUAGGAUGCUCUCUCGCACAUUGAACUUCCAAAUGCUUCUUCAAGCCCCAGAAAAUGUACUCUUACUGAUAUAUAUUCCUAGAUAUGUGGAUGUGCAUCAUCCAUUACAUAUUCAUGAUCGAAAUAGAAGCAAUUUGGGUUUGAAAUGUUUAAACUGCAGCUCUUUUGAAACCAUCAUUGGCGGCCUAGUGGUAAAUAAAAAUCUUGGGUUUGAUGAAUGACUUAAGAGGUUAAUUGAUCUAAUCUAGAAUCUGUUAUUUCAGAGCAGAGUUCUCAAACUUUUGCAUCUUGUGAUAAAUGAAACAUGCAUAUGAUGUGAAAGUACUUAUUUUGUGCUGAUUAAUUAAAUCCAGAAGUAAAAGGACAAAAGUCACCCAAGUGUUUUCUUUGUCAGCUGAGUACAUAACUCAGGCUUGAGAUUAUUAAACUUGAAAGUGACAAGAUUUAUAUGUAGCAAGCUAACAAUUCAAUACGUAAAGAAUGAGGUAUUUCACGGUUGAGACUUGCAGGGAAGAGAAGAAGGAUGUCGACUGCAAACACCCAUUGGUGUUACAGAUGCGAACAGCCAGUUCGACUUCGUGGGCGAGACAUGACUUGCCUUAGCUGUAAUGGAGGAUUUGUUCAAGAACUGGAUGAAAUGAUGGAAAGAAGUCCCCUUGAUUUAUUUGGAGCCAGUGGUAAUGAAUACCAAAACCGCAGGCUAGGACUCUUGGAGCUUUUCUCAAACUUUAUGAGGCAACGAUUGGUAGACAGAAAUGAUAUCAGGGGAAGGUUGGACUCAAUUCCAGAUCAUGGUCCAGGAUUUGGUCCUUGGUUGAUCUUUGGUGGCCAAAUUCCUGUUAGAUUGUCUGGACAUGGUGGAUUUGAAGCGUUUUUUAAUGGGGUACCUGGCAUUGGUGUGAGUAGGAGCAAUGGUGGUGAUUAUUUUAUUGGUCCUGGACUUGAAGAAUUGUUUGAGCAGCUUUCAGCAAACGAUCGACGAGGGCCACCACCGGCAUCAAGAUCUUCGAUUGAUGCAAUGCCUGUUGUUAAAAUUACACAAAGACACAUUCGUUCCAAUUCACACUGUCCUGUCUGCCAAGAUAAAUUUGAAUUAGGAUCUGAGGCUAGGCAAAUGCCAUGUGACCAUAUGUAUCAUUCAGAUUGUAUUGUUCCAUGGCUAGUCCAGCACAACUCCUGCCCUGUUUGCCGCCAAGAACUGCCUGCACAAGGGUCGGGUAGUAGCCAUAGCUCAUCUGGAAGCAACAAUUCUAGUCGAAACAGCCGAGAUAGGGAGAAUGGUAGAACGACUCAAGGAAGGAGGAAUCCAUUUACAAGUCUUUGGCCAUUCCGAGCAUCAAGCUCGAACUCUAACCAUAGUGCUACCACUGGAAGCAACUCACCAGCUCUACACGAGACUAACCAACACGAAACAGGGUACUACGGAUGGCCUUUCGACUAGCAUCAACACUGCGUUCCUAAACUUGUUUGCAGCAUUCAGUUUUUGUGAUUGUUAUUUAAGAUGAUGAAAAUAGUUCAAGCCCUGCAGUCCACUCUCUUGUAUAAUAAAUUGAUAAUAAUGGACUUCCUGUGUGAUGUAGACGACAUUUUUCUAUUCCUUAUCGAUGCUGCUGGAAUUUGUAUAUGCUUCAUGUAUAUUAGCAUGGCGUUUCUUUCUAGAGUUGCAGGUGGUCGGGAAAUCUGUCUGUUCAAGUGAGGAUUGCUGAAUCUUCUUCAACUGAAAGUUAAAACGUCCAAAUCAAGCUAUUCUAGUAUCUACUCAAAUUGACCAAUGUUUUCCUUAUGCAUCAUCAUUCAUACUAAAACUGUACAUGUUUUUCUAAAAGUAGAGGACAACAUAUUUUAGCAUUUAAGAAAUCUUUCAAGAUGGAUUGAGGAAAAAAGAAAAAAAAGGAAUGAGAUCUGAGAGUUACAGAUGCAAGAAAAAAAAGAUAAAAACGUGAUCCAAUAUUUGAGAUCAUGUGAGUUCUUAUACUUGAACAGUUUGGUUCUUGUACUUUGGAAAGUUACCAGGGUUCAAGGUUCAGCUUUUCAAAAAGUAUACAACAGUUCUUUAGAAUCUUUUUCUUUUGCCACGUACUAUUCCAAACAUAAUAAAAACGAGUUGCGAAUGGACAUGUAGUCCUCUCAAACUUAAAUUUAAAUUUAUUUAAAAAUUUAGAUCUUUGUUGUAUUUUGUUAUAUUAAAAAGGAAAAAAAGAGUGUUUUACAUAUAAAAAAUUAAAAGGCAAGCAUGGGCAAAUAUAACAAGUUUUGGUGUGAAAGUGUUGGAACUUUUAUCUCCUUAGUUUCAAGUUUGAAUUCUAGUAUGUUACAUUUCGAGUUUGGUUUUCAUUUAUUUUGCUUUUGAAGAUUUUAAAAUUAAUUAUAAUAGUAUUAGAAAAUUAGUGGAAAAAUAAUAAGUUGAGAGUGUAAAUCUUUUAAAACUUAAGCGUUGAAAGCAAACAAAAAAAAAGAGUAACUUUUUAAAAUGAAUAUAGAGAAAAUGAAGUAUAAAAAAUGUAUACAAAUUUAAAUUACAAAUUUGAUUAAUUUGAUUGCGAGACAGUUUUAACAUAUUUUAGUUAUAAAAGGUAACGAUUGUGUACUGCCAAUAGGAAUAAGGAGAGGGUGAGUUAGUUAAAAUAAUGAUUAUUGUUAUUGUUAUAACUUACAAGAAGAAAGAUAUUGAGAAUUCUUUACCAAUGAGCGAGAAUUGGAGUAAAAUUUCAUAUGAUUCUAGAAAACAAAGUUCAUAAACAAUUGCACAAACUGUGAAUACUGUCUUCUUUUUCAUUUAAGUUGGAUACAGAUCGCAGUUUUGGUGCCUCUUGAAAAAAGAACGAACAAAGCUUACUACAAACAACUUCAAAUCAGAACCAAUUUCAAAUGCAAAUCUUUUUGUAAGAAAAAAAAAUGCUCAAAAGAGGGAACUACAGCUACUAAAUAUGUCGGCUACUCGGUUAUUGGAGAACAAACAGACAUACUCUUCUUUCUGGAUAUCUGGAAUAAGGGAAUGAUAAAUGUUGCUUCAAUCUUCAUAAAACUCGGCCACUGAUUCAGUUGGCACUGGCGAGUUGAGUUCGGAGGAGCUUUGCGGCAGCAACCAUGUUCUUGAGAGCAGGAUUCACCUCGGCGUACUUGCGAGUUUUGAGACCACAGUCUGGAUUGACCCACAAGAUGUUGGUUUCGAGCACUGCAAGCAUCUUGUUGAUUCUGUCUGCGAUCUCUUCUGUUGAUGGUAUUCUAGGGGAGUGAAUGUCGUACACACCGGGGCCAAUUCCAGCACCAUACUUGACUCCCUCACGGAAAACUGACAAGAGCUUCUCGUCGGAGCGAGAGUUCUCAAUGGUGAUCACAUCAGCAUCCAUAUCGAUGAUGGAUUGGAUGAUGUCGUUGAAGUUAGAGUAGCACAUGUGAGUGUGAAUCUGUCAUGUAAUCAUUAGGUGAGUUUAACAUAUUAUGAACUUGUUGAAGGGGUAAUGAAAAUCCCAAUUGGUUAGUGAUGUAAACCUGAGUUGUGUCUUGGACACCACAGUUUGUGAUACGGAAAGAGUGAACAGACCAAUCCAAGUAGAAAGCAUGCUCAGACUUCCUUAGAGGUAAUCCUUCUCUUAAAGCAGCCUCAUCAAUUUGGAUGACAUUAAUGCCAGCCUUCUCGAGAUCCUCAACCUCGUCCUUGAUGGCCAAAGCGAUCUGAUAGCAUGUUUCGAAUCUAGAAGAUGAUAAUGUACACGAGAAGGAUUAGCCAUAAAGUCUGGUAUAAACUAUAAAGGGGAAAGAAAACAACUACAGUAGUUUCUUUCAGCUUGGAAACAUUAUCUUUCUUCUAUUACCUUGGCUGGUCGACUCUAACAAAAGACCAGUUGAGAAUGGUGACGGGGCCAGUGAGCAUUCCCUUCAUUGGGCGGGCUGUCAUGCUCUGAGCCAUGGUAGACCAGAAGACGGUCAUGGCUUUUGGGCGGCUCACGUCACCGUAGAUGAUUGGAGGCUUCACGCAACGAGAUCCGUAUGAUUGCACCCAACCAUUGACGGUGAAUGCAAAACCAGACAAUUGCUCCCCAAAGUAUUCAACCAUAUCGUUUCUCUGCAGUGAGGAUGAAAUUCAUAUUAGAAGAGCCAAAAUGAGGAGAAGGUACUACAACCUCCCUCGACAAAAACAGUGCUCUUGAUUUUCUGCUAAAUAGGCUCCAAAUAACUCACCUCGGGCUCUCCAUGAACCAGGACAUCAAUGUCGAGCUCUUCCUGGAGCUUGACAACCUUGCUAAUUUCUUCCUUGAUUGCCUUCACAUAUUCCUCCUCAGAGAUCCUAAAGAAUGGUAAAAAAAGAUGCAAACAUUAGAAACAGGGUUAAAGUAUUUAUGAACUUCAAGGAAAGCUGGUAUCAAUUUUUACUCACUUGUUAGCUUUGUAUUCACGACGAACCCUCCUGAGUUCAACAGUUUGAGGGAAAGAACCAAUGGUGGUGGUUGGAAGGAUUGGGAGAUUAAGCUUCUUCUGUUGAGCAUCGAGCCUUGCACUAACGUUUGUUGCACGGCGGUGAUCAGAGCCCUUCAAAGCAGCAGCCUGCACAAUCAAAAAGCAAUUAAUCAGUUAAUGAAAUCCCUGCAAACAGAUAGUUAAACACCUUAAAGAUAAGAAAUGAUUGUACGGACCGCUUUCUGAACAGCCUCAUUGGUCACCCUUGGGGAUGACUUCCUUGAAGCAUGAGCUUGAGCGUUAGAAGCAAAGAAUGCCUGAAAAGAAAAUUCCAAUAAGCUUAUGAGUUUGUGCCCAUCAAUUUCAAAAGGGUUAGUACCAAGGGAAGAACGUUCAAGAAAUAAUCUAAGUUACAACACAAAAGGUUAGAAAUCAAGGCCUAAAAACAUAGAAUACACCUUCAAUAGACAAAUGUCAUCCGAGUCAAGAAUAUACCUCAUCCUUUUGACCAGCCAAGGCCUUAGCCAAUGCAUUAACUUCAACAAUCUUUUGAGCAGCAAAAGCGAGCCAUGAUUUGAUUUCAUUGUCCAACUUGGUUUCAUUGACAAGGUCAACAGCAGUGUGAAGAAGUGAGCAGGAGGUGGAGACAACAAGAUGAUCUACAUAGUUUUUUUGGAUGAAGAAGGAAUGAGUAAAUAUGAACUCUCAAAUAAUAAUAAUUAAAUCAAGCAUCAUGAACCAACAUAGUAAUACAAAUGUAAGCAAAAGAAUAUCACCUUUACCCACAAGGGCAGUCAAUUCCUCCAAUGUGCUAACUGAAGCAGCAAGAUCAUUGGCCCAAAUGUUCCUUCCAUCAACUAGUCCAGCAAAAAGGUAUUUUCCCUUGGGGAAAUCACCCUUAAUCAAUUCAAGUGUCUUAGUUCCACGAACCAAAUCAAAUCCAUAGCCAGUGACACCCUUCAAAGAAGUAAGGGUCUUGUAUGCCUCAGCAGGGACAUCAGCGAAGUAUGUCUCAAUAAGAACAUUCAAGCCAGAGAGAGAUGAUUCUAGUUCAGCAUAUGCAUCGGAGAAGGCUUUCAAUUUGUGAGAAUCAAGGUCCAACACCAAUGUAGGCUCAUCAAACUGGAUCCAAGAAGCGCCAGCUGCUUUAAGAUCAGCAAUAACCUCCCUGAAAAGUUGGGCACCAUAUUAAUAUGUGAGAAAGAGAAUCAUUAUAGAAACACUAUGGAAAAUCUUGAUAGAGUGACGAAUUUUACUUGUAGACAGGAAGGAUCUUGUCAAGAAGGGAGAGGAGAGAGAAUGUCUUGUCAACACCCUUUGCAGGUUUGGAGAGCAACAAGUAUGACACGGGACCAACGAGAACUGGAACAGUGUCUACUCCAAGCUGCAUAAUCAAAAAAAUAUUUUUUACCUCAAUUCUUUGGUACUUGUAUACCCAAAUCAGAUUUCAUAGUCCUAAAAGGUAUACGCUCGUCUAAGUCAUUGAAGCAUGUCAACACAUUCAUAAUACAAUGCAAUCUGUUUUUUGCAAAUAUUAUACCGAAAUUCCACUCCAUGUGACACGGAUCUAUGGCCUAUUUCCAAUAACUUUAAUUAGGGACAGUGUUAAAUAUAGCAAUCAGACCCAAACUAUUAACAUAUAUAACACAAAGCAAAAUAAUUUAUCAAUACAACCAAAUUUAAAUCUAGCUCUCAGAAAUAGGAAGUCUAUUGGCGAUAUAGUUUAUUGAUAGAUUUUGCCAUACUUACAAUUCUUUAAAAAUGUUAUUAUAUACUUAACUAUUAACCCUAAAACUGCUACUCAAUGCAAUUAUCCCUUUAAAAUAAUUAAAUUCUCAAUUCUCAAUCAAAACUUCUGUUUCAAUUUUCCAAUGUAUUAUAUAUCUUAUUUUAUGAACAACCAACGCAAAUACCAGAUUCAACAACUUACAGCUUUGGCUUCUUUGUAUUCGUCCACUGCCUUAUGGGAAGCAUAAGAGAACUUCACCUCUGGUCCCAACUCAGGAACAAUGAAGUGGCUGCAUCAUUGAAUUGGCAACAUUAAUUAUACUGAUCUCAUUACACUGUCAUUGCAUACUAACAAAAGUAAAAGGCUAAGUGGGUUACUUACUAGUUUGUGUCAAACCACUUGGUCAUUUCCAUAGCUGGUACAGAUGCAUUUCCUCUAGCCAUGGAGAAGUAGGUAUCAAACCCAAUCUCACCACCAGUCCAGUUAUAUCUAGGAGGAACAGCCCCAAGCAAUGCAGUGGUGUCAAGCACCUGAUCAUAGCAUGAAAAAGUGUUGCUGGGAAUGUAUUUGAUCCCUGCAUCAGACAUCUGUUUCCAGAUGGACGACCUCAGAUCUGCAGCCACCUUCUUCAAAUCCUCUGCUGUGCUCUUCCCAUCCCAAAAUGAUUCAAGAGCAAACUUGAGCUCCCUCUUGGGACCCAUACGAGGAUAUCCAACGAUGUGAGAUGCCAUUGUUCUGCUCAAGAGAUCGCGGACGUAACGAAAUUCAAUUAGAUCCUCUCAACACUACUCUUAUCUCAAAUCCCAAAUCCAAUAGUCAACAAGUAACGGAAACAGCUAACACCAUGUUAAAUUAAAAACGCAAUACGAAAUUCAAGCCAGUGAAGAAGACUUAAGAACAAAGGGUUUGUAACACAUGCAGCAAAGAUCCAAUGAGUAAAGUUCACAUAAGCUAACAAUUCAGACCCAGAUAGAUCUAAUACUUAAAAUAGAAAACAACCCAUUAAAAUACAUCAGAUCUAGGAACACAAGUCUUCCAAGAAAACAAAAAUCCCACCAGAUCUACACGACAAUACUGUAAACACAAAAAACAGAGGAAGGAAGUAAAAUUCCGAACAAUCCUUAAGCAGCAGCAAUUAGAAGAUGAAAUCCAAAAUGGGUUCAGGGCAAAGUAUAAAAAAGAGUUCAUAACACAGUGGAUCUGAAUCCCAAAUUACAGGAAUGCCAGCAUACAUUGACAAAAAAAAAAAAAAAGAAAAAAAAAGUGAAAUUUAGAGAAACAGAGGAAUGGGAAAGCAUGGAAAAAACGGGUAAGGGAAAAGAGAGAAAACGGAGGUAACCUUGAGGAAGUGGAACACCGACAGAGGCUCCCCAAGGAGAAAAGAAAGAAAUGCGAGAGAGAUAAGAGAUAGGGAAAGAGACGAUGAUACUGGGGGAGCCACAAAUAAGAGAGAAGGCGCGAGUUGGAAGAAAUGGGAAUGAAGUUUAUUUAUAGAGAUCAGAGAUGAUGAGGUGGCAGAAGCAGAUCUGGGAUAUCGGAAAGUCACAGCCGGAGAUUGGAUGGUAGCCGGUGACAGACAACCAAAUGUGUAUUUCAUUUUGGUUUAAUUAUUUAUUUUGUUCUAGUGGUACACCGAUCAAUUCUCAUUUCCUAUACUCUAAAUUACUAUACAAUAUUUGACUUUCAACACCAAAUGUAAAUGAACACUUUUUUAAAAUUUGAUGAAUUUGUUCAUAACUCACAAUUAAACCAACAUAUAAUCAGCAAAAACUUUAGACUUAACCAUUACCUACUAAACUAUAAAUGUUAAUUAAAGAAAUGAAAGUAUUGAAAUAUGAGUUUUAAUCCUUCAAUGAUUUAUUAGACAAUAUAUAUAUAUAAUGUGUAAUAAAAAUGAAAAGAAAAAAAGAAAAGAGAGAGAAAGUUUUGAGUAGGAGAAGAUGGAAUGAGACGCGUGAAGUUGGGGGCGUGGGAGAGAGGGAUUUAAGGGAAAAGGCGUAAUGUGGAAGUGAGGAAGUAGUGAGGGAGUGAGGGAGUGAGUGGCCACCACCAUUUCUUUUUCUUUAUUUUGCGUCCGAGACAAAUGCUGUGCUUCUCCCUAAACUUUCACCUCACCAAUCUCAUUCUAAUUCAAAUUAACUCAAACAUUAUUCAUCUUUUAAAUUGAAAUGCUAAUCCAUUCAACUUUUAACAAAUCCUCAUUCAACAUUCAUUUUCAAUCAUCUUUCGACAGAGAAGAAAAAUAUAACAUAUUUAGAAUGGGAUGAAUCAAGAUUAAUCUUGAUCUAAUUUGUGUUUUGAUUUUUUUUUUAUUAUUAUUAUUAUUAUUGUCACUAUUAACGUUAAUAUUUUAUAGAAAAACUGCACAUUUUUAAUUAAUUGAUUGAAAAUCGACAACAAAAGUUAAACGAAAGUUUUUCUUACCUUAGAGGUAAAAAUGUAAUAUUUUAAAUGUUUGGGACCAAAUGGCAUACUCUACACUCAAUAUUAGAGAUGAGCAUAUGGUGGAGGAGUGGGGCUGAGGUGAGUUUCCUAUUCUUGUCCUGACAUCCUUUCUCCCUUUUUCAUUCACCAUUUAAGCAAAGUUUCUUAUCGUUUGACAUUUGUAGGAAACUCCAUUUUAAUCAAUUAACAUAAAGAACUACUAGAAAAGUUUUAAGUUAAACAACUCAAUUUCUCUCUAAACUUUUAAGUUUGGAUUUAAAGAGAAAUUACUCUAAUAUACUUGCAAAAUGGAAUCAUUAAUCGAUAAAAGUAUUCAAAUAUAAUGUAAAUUUGGUUAAUGCACAUUUAAUAUUUUGUUAGAAAUCGGAUGUAGAAAUUAAUUCUUACCAUCUAUUGCUAUAGUAAAUUAAGAUAAAACAAUUAUUAUUAAUCCUUAUCAUAAUUAAUUGUUCUAAAAUGAACUUUAGUAUAUAUAUUUAAAAGUGAAAUUACAAGUUUUUUUCUUCCAAACUUUUGUCAAAUAACAAUUCUUUAUACACUAAAAAAGGCCAAUACUAUUUGCAUCGGGAGAGAAUUAAUAAUAUGUAUCAACUACAAUACAUUUUACUAUUUACGUUACAAUAAGUUAGUAUUUUUCUUUUUUUAAAAAAAAAUGGUUAAAAAUAGAAAACUAUUUACCUUUAAAAGAAAAAUCAAGUAUGGUAGAUUUUAUAUUUUAGCGAUUUUAUUUAUAUAUAUAAAAAAAACAACAACAAUUAAAUAUAACUCAUGCCCUCCUCAUCAUAAAACCUUUUAGAAAAAAGGAAGACAAACAAAAGCUCAAAAAAGAACUCCAAGUAGGAAAAGAUGGCCAAUAUGAGGAGCAAGUGUGUAAAAAAAGAGACGGAUUCGAGUAUUCGUGAAAUGUUGAACAACAACGAAUUUUCAUAGUUAGAGGAAAGAUAGGGGAGAUUCGAAAUAUAUAAACAAAGCUCUCUUCCAUGUCCAAGCAUGGUUGAGGCAUAAUUUUAAUAUGUACAAUGAGUUGUCUCUCAAGUUUUUUUAAAAAAAGAAAGGUUAUAUGGAUGAAUUUAUAAACCCUAAAAUUGGGAAUGCAAGUGAUGUGCACACGCUUGUAGAACGCGUGGCAUGAGAGGAGAUUUUGCCAUUACAUGUUUUGUUGUAUAAAAUAAAUUGGAAUUUUUUUUUUUUUGUAAGACUUUUUAUUUACUUAUUUAUUUAUUUGCAAAAAUCAAUAUAAAAAAAGAAUGUCAUAUUCAGAAAAUUAGGAAAGCAAAGGAAAUUAGAAAAAGAAAUAAAGGAAAGCAAACGCAUUUGGUGGUUGAAAUUGAUUGGGGGAUUGGUGGUGGAUGUGACUCUAAACAACUCUUUUAUAUAUCUACCAGUUGGUUGCAGAUCUAUCUCUUCUUCUUUUUUUUUUCUCAAUUACCAAUUUUAUGAGUUAAUUAAAACACUUUCACAACUCUAUACUUAUUUAGAAGGAUUUAUUAAACACCAAAUUAAAAAUUCAAACACUUUUGAGAAAUAAGAUUGAGGAUAACAAUGCAAUCGCAUGAGUUGGUAGAACAAGUGUCAUCGUCUUGAUUAACUCCUUAUUGCCACUUUGUAGAUAUGAAUUUGUCUUUUCAUCUUCUUCUAAGUCAUUUUCUUAAUGUAAACAAAUUUAUUUUUAGCACACAUGCAUCAUGAAAUAACUUAGGUUUCGUUUUAUAACUAUUAUUAUAUUUUACAUAGUUUUGUGAAGUUAGAUAUGUUUUAGUUUUAAUUUGUAUUUUAAAUUUGUUUAUUUUCAAAGGUGAUGGAAUAUUUUAAACUUUACUAAACAAAAGAAAAAAGGUUAAGAAUGUUUAAUUUCCAACCAAACCUACCAAUCCUUACCCAAACUAGGUUGAUUAAUGUUAUAAAAUACUGAUACAAAAGUUAUAAUUAAUAUGGUAUUGUAAUAUAAUAGAUUUUUUAAUAGAAUUAAUUAGUAUUGUACACAAGCUAGAAAUGUCCUUACAAUGAAAAUUAGAAAAUGGGUCUCUUUUCUAUUGAAUAUUUAUAUUCCUUAUAUAUGUGUAUAGUCUUUUCUUAUUCUUAUUAGAAAUAUUGCAUUGAUGUAAGGUGUAAGUUGAAGCAGUAGAGAUGUAGGUCUUGGUUAAUUAAUGAACUAAAACUCAUAUUAAACCAAUAAAAUGAAAACAACAAUCAUUUACUCUGAUUGUGUAAUAGUUUAAUUAAAAAAUGACAUUUGAAUAAGAGACAAUAUUGAUAUUAUUGAUUCCAUCUAUGACUUAUAUAAGGUAGCAUAGAAAUUGAACUUUCAAUUUUGUGGUUUUGUUAGUUAAAUUUUAAAAUUUAACUUUAUGAUUAUACAAUAAAAUUUAUGGUAUUGUAUAAGACACUAAAUAUUAAGAUCUUUAAAUCGAGUGAUUUUCACUAUUAUAAUAAUUCUAUUCCAAGGAUGGUUUAAGAGAUUGUGUUUGUAUAUAUAUAUACUUUUGCUCAUGCACACCAUAGCUAUGCAAAUUAAAAACACUUAAAUUAUUAUUUUUUGGAUUACUAAGCACCUUAGGUCAUAAUUGGUGUAAUCAAAGUAAGUAUUUUAUUAAUGGGUGAAUUUGGAUGAUAGCAUUUACCUAGAAUUAUAAAUUUAUGGUUCUUACAUAUUAACUUUAAUAGUUAACCAAAUAGUAAAGGACAACAAUAAAUGCAACAAAUUAAUUGACGGACUUAAUUACAUACUUUGAGGCAGAUUUCAUCACACGAUGAUUAACAUUAACACAUAUGGAUUAGCUUUUGGGCUAAACGUAAUCUUAAUUUAUUAAUGAUGUUAAAAUUUAAUGGGACAUUCUCAUUAUAAUAAAUUCAUGAAAUGCACAAACAAAAAAGCCAAAAUAUUUAAUUUAUUGUUUUCACAAUAGAAGUAAAAUUGUUUUUAUUAACUAAUAAUUCAAAUAUUUCUUUUAUAGUUUAAUUGUUUUCUAAUAACUUCUUUUUUUUUUAAUAUCCAAACUCCACAUUUUAAAAAAACAACAAAAGGAAAAAGAGAUUAAAAACAAAAAACAAAAAUAAUAUAUAUAUAUAUAUAUAUAUGUUUAUACAAUUCGUACAUUGUACAGAGAGCAAAGCGUUGAGAUAAUCGUACUCUGUUUCACCAUUUUUCUUUACAAACCCAAUUCAAAUUUUGUUCCUCUCUCUUAAACUCGAAAUCUUCGAGCAUUACAACACAAACAAAAAACAAGAAAAGAUCAUAAACCGAAUUCCACUAACAAUUAAAAAUUGAAAUUGAAAUUAGGGCCAAAUCAAAUCAACACAAACCCUAGAUUCCUUGAGAAACUCAUCCAUUACAUUCUCAUCGGCACAGAUCCGGGUCUUGUAAUUAUUGGCGUAACAGCAGUCGGAUCUGGGCAACACCGAGUUCCCAUGGGCAGAAGAAGAAGAAGAAGAAGAGGGCAUGGUCGUUGGUGGAGAAGGGAGAGUGAGGGAGUAGUCGGGAUUGGUGUCGUGGUGACGGAGGAGUUGGGAGAGGAGGAGGAGAAGAGAAGCCAUGGAUGAUGAUGGGAGGGAAGUGAAGGAAAUUAGUUGGGAGGGGGAUUGAAUGAAUUGAAAAGAGUAGGGAGAUUUGUUAUUAAUAAUGAAGGGAAUUGAAUGAAUGGCAUUUAUGGGCUCUCUUCCCACCGUUUGUAAGAUUUUCCAAUGGGUAAUUUAAUUACAAUGAGUCCGUCUUUCCACUGUUUAAUGUUUAGUGUUCUUAGUUUUCUCCGCCGGUAUUCUUUGUUUUCUUUCACAACAAAUGAAUCCAACGCUUAACAAAACCAACGCCAAAAAUCAGUGGGUCUCCCUCUCUAUGUGUAAGAUUUGAAGUAUAAGAAAGAAGAAGAUGCCUAAACUGCUCUCAAACAUCACUAAUAACGCAUCACACUUCACACUUUCACUUGUGCUGUUUUUCUUUCUUUUUAUGCUCUUCUUAAUACUAACUUUAUUUAUUGUUUCUCACUUAAAGUCAUUUUCUUUCACUCAUAUAUUUUAACUUGCAUUUGGGUCAUUUUUUUAUUUUCUUCAAUCCUAGUUUUUCUCUCUCUUUUUUAUGGAGAGUGGUGAAUGCAUAUGAAAAAAAGACAAGGUUCAAAUUUAAAUUGAAACUUUAGUCUUUAUAGUUUUAUAAAUUAUAAUUUAAUUAGUGCGAUUAUAUAUGAAAUUUUGUAAACAAAUCUUAAAACCCUCCUAUCCACUAUUUAAAUUGAAGUUUAGCCUUUA
rnacentral:lncRNA from 1 species